rnacentral:lncRNA from 1 species
UUUUUUUUUUUAUCUCUCACUCCAUAAUUUUAAGAAAACUUCAUAUUGGCAUCUCCCUUGAUAAGGGAGCGUGAGCAUAAGCAGUUUACUGAAACUGGGGAAUGAUACUCCCCAAAAUACACUCAAAAGAUGAUGCCCACAAACCACUCCAAAAGAAUAAUGAGCAACCAUCAAACAUUCCAAGUUUUUCUGCUUGAACGUUCCUUCCUAUACUCAAAUAAUCAAUAACAGUUAAUGCAUGCAAAUUGAUCAACAACAACAACAACAAAAAGGAAGACAGAAAGAAAAUAGUAAAAAGCCCAGCUUUUCUCACUUCCUCAGAUCCAAUUUCCACCCCAAGAAGCUGAAGCCUAUUCCUGUCUCCACCACCUGAGAAUGCACUCUGAAGCACCAGCCAGAUUUCAAAAGGGAUUAAGCUCAUCAACCCUUUCAGUGUUACAGAUGUAUAUGUUUGAUCCCAAAAUCAGAUUUUACAGUUGUUGGUGAGCUCUGUGCCUUUGAUGUCCAACUGGGUUCAACUCCCCUGAGAACUCGCCACUGCUUGACGCCGAGUGGCGGGGGCCGUAGUCGGUCAUUGGCUCGCUGUAUUCAUCGCUGUACUCGGGGCUUGCCAGUGCUAUCUUUCUGAUCCUCUUCAUGUUUGAGGCAUACGACCCAGAGUCGUAGUCGGAGCCUGAGCUAAAGAGCAUGCUUUGCCCUGGCCGCAUACCUUCGUUCAGGUCCUCGAGCGAAACGUCACCCUCUAAUGCUCGAACAAUCUACGCAUAAUCCAUUAUUUAUGCAUUUGUUAUUGUUUACAUGUUGAACUAUAAAUUCAUGUUGAUGCACAAGAAUGAGCUAAAAACUAAAAAGCCUGUGAGUGGUCAAAGGAUCAUAGAACACAGUUAGGGAUCUCUCUAUCGUGUAGAGAAUGCAAUGUCUAUCUAAGAACUUCAGUUCAUACCUGACUCAUUUUCGGGCGCCUCCUCGCAGAAUGGCGAACAGAUGCAGCAGCACUCGCUACCAUGCGUGCCAUCUCCAUCAGAUCGUAGUUUCCUUCUAACCUUGGGUCAGCCAACUCAUCAUAGUUUCCAUCAGCCAAAGCCCGUGAUAGAACCGGCCUCGCCUAUAUAUGUACCGAGCGAAUUGGCGUGAAUCAACAAUUCACAAGUAAGUAAAUUGUUCAGUAUUUCCUUAACCAAACUUGGAUCUUAAAUUUUCAUGAUCAGCAUAGUAUGCUUACCCAAUCUACCAAGCUAUCUUCCAUGAAUGUGUGAUUAUUAUCGACCGGACGUCGUCCGGUUAUUAGUUCGAGAAGCAUCACGCCGUAUGAGAAGACGUCGGAUUUUUCAGUUAACUUGCCACUCGAAGCAUAUUCAGGAGCCAAGUAACUGGAAUUUGAAUAAAAUGAUAAUUUCGUGUUAAAAUGAUGUGAUUGCAUUUGAGUUUAGAAUCAACUUAAAUUUUAAUUUUCUUUUUUUCUACUCCAUGAUGCAUUUGGCUCACCCAAAAGUUCCCAUGACACGUGUCGAAACGUGUGUGUGGUUGUCUGAUGACAACUUUGCCAAUCCGAAGUCCGCGACCUGCAACGAAUGAUUUAUUGGUAAAAUCUUUUUAGUGUAAGAAUUUAGUGUCUAAAUUCAUGUUUCGAUGGAAUUUAAUCUAUUUGUGAGAUGGUUUAGACAUAGUUGAUACUGCUAAAAGUUAUGCAUCUAAGCUUGCCACAGCAAAACAAAGAAAUAAAACAACAUUGACUCUCAAGUGAAACAAAAGGCAUUGAGAUAGAAUCUACAAAAUGACUCUGUCCCCUCAUGAAAAUGUUAGCAGUAACAACUCAAAGAAAAUUCCAAUUAGAAUCCUAGGUUUCUAGAAAAUUUGCAUCUGGAAAGAAGAAAAAUGUAAGUACUGAAUCUGAGAUUUGCAGUUCUGCAGUAACAACAUAUCCUCACAUGGAAAAGGAGAUGAAAAUGUCAGGGACAAAAACAUGUAGUCUGAUACUCUGAAUCCCUUACCAUGGCUUCAAAUUUGAAAUCCAGCAGAAUAUUCGCGGAUUUGAUAUCGCGGUGAAUGAUCCGAGGGUGACCUUCAUGUUAUAAGAAGUAUGAAACAGUUAAAAAUUGAUCCGAAAACAAACCGAAAACUUGGGAUAAUUAAAGCCACUCACAAUCUUCAUGCAAGUAGGCAAUGCCUCUGGCUGAUCCUAGAGCAAUCUUGAGCCUGGUAGGCCAAUCCAUAACUGGAAGCCCCCUCCCUGUCGAAUUCAAUCAGAAGAUUCAGCAAGUUUUGAUUUAAAUUCCAGCAAAUUGCUAUCACUGAUGUAAGAAUUAUCUGAAAUCGAAAGCAAGCUGACCGUGGAGGUGAUACUCGAGGGUCUUGUUAGGGACAAACUCAUAGACCAACAUCCGUUGCGAGCCGGCAAUGCAGUAUCCGACGAGCGAAACGAGGUGGCGGUGGUGCACCCGGCUGAUGAUAUCGACCUCGGCCUGAAACUCUCUCUCACCUUGACCGCUCCCCGACUUGAGUUGCUUCACUGCAACCUCCUUUCCGUUCGGCAGCACCCCUUUGUGUACAUAACCGAACCCUCCCUGGCCCAAGAGGUUCGCCUGCGAGAAGCCGCUGGUCGCUGACGCGAGCUCCUCGUAGGUGAAAGUGCUUUUGUUGAAACCGAGGGCAAUUGGGGGGGAGGGAGGGGGCAAGGGGGGGCUGUGGGGGCCCGAGUAGGCCGAGCUCAUGUCGCCGCUGUUCAUCAUCUGCGGGUGCCAUCCGCCUCCGGGGGGGCUCAGCGCGCCCGGCGGUGGCGGCACCUUACCUUGGUAUCCAUUGUGCCAUUGCGGUUGCGGCCCACUACUGUAGUAGCUUCCUCCUAUGCACAAGAACAUGAUUCAGCACCAAUUUUAGAUCCAUUCAAAACUAAGAGUGUUUGAGUUACCUUUGAACCCAGAGGGAUCUGCAUAGUACUGCAUUGCGUUGUGGGGCUUCUUCUUCUUCUUGGUACAACAAAGACAUGCUAUGAUCAUGAGAACAAACAGCACACCAACACCCACACAAAGGCCCACGACGAUCGGCACGUUGACAUCGGCUUUGCCGCCUCCUCUGGAGUCUGGAGACGAAUGCGAGGGGGUCGAUUUGGUCUCACUCUUCGAAGCAGGAGCCGGCGGGGGAGGCGGCAAUUUGGAAGAAGGCGUAGACGACUUGACGGGGGGCGGCGGUGCUGGCGGGGAGCCUUCCGUUUUGGCCGGCGCAGGAGUAGACUCAUNCGAGGGGGUCGAUUUGGUCUCACUCUUCGAAGCAGGAGCCGGCGGGGGAGGCGGCAAUUUGGAAGAAGGCGUAGACGACUUGACGGGGGGCGGCGGUGGGGACUUUUCGGGGGGCGGGGUGGCCGUCGGAGGAGGAGAAGAAGGGGUAGAGGAAGGAGGUGGAGAGGACUUCGGCGGCGGCGAGGACGGCGUCGAAGAAUUGCUCGGGGGAGGGGGCGACGUCGAAGAAUUGCUCAAGGGAGGGGGCGGCGGCGACGAAGAGUCCGGCGACGCGGCCUUCGACGAAUUCGAGGACAUGCUCAAAUGAUGAAACUGCAACCCAAAUUUCUUCUCUAGGUGAUCUUUGUGGACAAUGCUGCUGCUGCUGCUGCUGCUGAUGAACAACUCCUACAAACAAUACCAAAGCACAAACUAUCAGAGACAGUUUGAGACAAAAUUUCAAAAACAUCAACAGGUAAACAAUAACACCUUUUAAAACAUACAAUUACAUACAAAUUCUAAUGCAACACCAAGGAAAAGGAGCUGUUUUUAACGAAUGUGCUGCAUAAAAUUGAUGCCUUUUCACCUGACAACUCAAACUCAAGAACAAUUCCGAAGAUGGUGACGCGGAAUUGUAUAUAAAAGCGCGAAAGAAGAUCGAUAAACGCGAUUACAAUUCGCGAAAAGGCUCCUUUCUCCUUUUUUCUGUGGGGAUGGGUUCUUGGAGAAGGGCGGCGUAGAGAAAGAGAGAAGUUGCAGUUAGGCGUUUCGCACUCCGUCCUUCUCCGAGACACCACCACCUCUACAUUUCCCUUUGGGCUUGUUGUUGUUGUUGUUGUUUGUUGUUGUUAUUUGGGGUUUUUACUAUUUUUGUGGUGGUGCAUUAACUUUUGAGGCUCAAAUUAAGCAAAGCUGUAGAAAAAACAGUGCUUUUUUUUUAUACAUAUCUAUUUCUAUUGGUUUUGAGAGUUCGUUAGAUUUUGUUGCUUAUUCUUAGUAAGCAGUUCGCUUUUUCCCGCGCGACCGCACGAUACAGCUUGUCGGUCGCACGUGCGAAGAGACAUGGGCUAAUGGAAAACUUUUACAUAAAGCCAAGUUUUUUUCCGAGAAAAAAAAUAUUUUUUCACUUUUCUAUCUAUUUGAUUCUAAAAAAAUAUAUAUUUUUAUGAAUAUUUUCUCAUAUUUUAUAAAAAAAAUUAGUAUUUUUUUCAUAAAAUAUGAAAAAAGGAUUUCUAAAAUACUUUUUUUUUUCAAACCAAACAGCUAAAAAACUAAAAUGAGAGUUUUUCAUGAAAAUUUUUGUUCUUACAAAAGUUUUUCCCAUAUUUUUCUGAAUAAUCAAACAACCUAUUACUUAAAACGUCUUCCCCUUCAGGUUCUCUGAAAUUUUUUUUUUUUUUGAGAGAUAGGUAGGUUCACUUAAAUCUUUUUUUUUUAGACAUAGAUAACAUGUUACUCGCUUUGUUUAUUUUAUUUAAAAAUAAACUUUAACUGAAAAUGUGAAUCAACUAGGAUUCAAACUCGGGGCUUCGGAUACCAACGAUUCAACCCUUUGCCAUUUGUGCUAAAAGGGAUGAUCGGUAGGUUCUCUGAAAUCUUGAUUUUCUUUUAUCUUCAAAUCAAAAUGUAUGCCUCAGAAACUACUUUUGUUUCAUGCAAACCAAGUACUAAGAACUAUAAUUUUCCUUUUAAUAUUGUUUCCUAAUAAAAUUAUUCAACUAGUUUUAAUAGUUUUAUAAGAAAUAGAAGCACCAUCUAAAGCUACAAAUACUUUUAAAAAUACUAAGGUAACCCUUGAUAGUUUUUUAAGAACUUUGGGCAACUUAGGCCAAAAGGCAAUGAAAAUAAAGUUUUUAGCAAAUUGAAAGUCUGAAAAGUGUUUUUUGUUUUAAAAGGAAAACAUCAAAACCGUUAGAAUUUUAGUUCGCCACAAUAAUUAAUUAUCCGUACCAAAAUUGGUAAUAUUACUGUUCUAAAUAGAGGGGACACAUAAUUAAAUCUGAUUUCACUGAAGAGCUCGUUAAUAAAAACAUUUAUGAGAUGUUACAGCGAGUCAUUAAUACACUCCAUAUUUUGAAAACUUUAAUAAAAGAUCUGUUCCAAUCUCAAAGUUUAGUGCACGAAUCUCCAGGCUGCUUGGGAAGGGCGGAUCCGGAUUGGAUGGUCCAUCGGAUGAUGUGGUGGACCGAGUUCAAUUACAGUUUGCAUCCACGUGUGAUGUAUUUAGUUUCCAUACCAUCCUUUCAUGCAAUUAAUAAUAAAAUAAAAUAAAAUUAAUUAAAUUAAUUAAUAAUUAAUAAUUAAUAAUAUUCGGACUGGGUAAAUCACCUAAAUUUGAUUCACAUAGAUCUCGUGAAAAAAUAGGAAGCCCCCAGGUGGGCCCCACCCAUCCCUUAGUUGAGUCACAAUGAGUGGUCAAUUUUUAUGUCCCAAUAUAUCGGUCCCAGGGCUAAAGUGACCUAUUCUAGGGUUUGUGAACCUCGACCGGCGCACGUUUACUCGAACCGGCGUAACGACCCGGUGCCAUUGUCCUAAAACCUGGUCCAGUUUCAGACAAUAUUGACCGUUAGAUCAAUAUCCAGGACACGAUCAACGGUUGCUAUUGGUUGACUUGUCCCGCGGGACACGCGCUGAGCCGAUCAUGCGGCCCACGGCGCAUUAGAUUCUGACUCGGACUUGCUAACGUGAGCCCGGUGGGGCCCAGUCCUCUGUACUACUCCCAAUCUCUUUGAGAAACGGUUCGGUAGACUCGGUUUAGUGAAUCAUCCGUAAACCAAUUAAAUCUGCACCCUCCAUCAUAGCAUCCUUUGAAUCCAAACCGUCGAGAUAACUCAAAAUUUGUUAUGUGAAGAAUUAUUUUCUUAAAAGUAGAGCAAAGGACAUUGCGGUCCAUAGGGUUCAUGGUGGACCGUGUCCAGGGGAUUAUUUCUUCGUCUCAUCCUCUUUCUUUAUAGGCUUAUAUUCCCCACCCCUUCUCUCUCUUCCCCGCGCCCACUCUCUCUCUCUCUCUCUCUCUCUCUCACUCUCUCUCUCUCUCUCUCUCUAUAUAUAUAUAUAUAUAUAUAUAUAUAUAUAUUCAAGCGAACGAGUUAAUUAGGGUUUCUUCUCGCCUCCGAGCUCCGCCUCCGCCUCCGCCCAUGGCCGAUCGCAACAAUGCCGAUUCACGCCGCCACCUCGCCGUGGUGACCCCGCCCCCGCCCCCUAUCCCCAAAGGUUUACAACCCAUGUCCCCUAUACUCCGAUCUCUCUCUGUGAGGAAAACCCUAGAUUUCGUCCAGGCUCUUUUUGCGUGGAUUCGUGGCACGAUUUAGCCAUAUAUGGCGCGAGACGUUCGGAGGCAGGGUUGUUGUUGAUCGGUGAUGGGGGUUUACGGGUUUAGGGUUUGGAUUGAUUCUUUCUCCUAGUUUUCCUUUUGAAAAGAAUCGUUUUUGGUGCUAAUUUGGGGAGGAGGAGGGAUUUUGUUGCGCUGCGCUUCAUAUCGCGUCCCCAUUAUGGUUUAAGGUGGCGAUUUUUAGAUUCGUGGCGAUUUUUUAGGGUUUGAUGUGGAGAUGUUCAGCUUUCGUGGGCAGAAUCUCUUGUCCUUGCCAUCAUCGAAGGAAAAGCUAUCUUCUUUUCACGGGACAUCUACUUUAUCUAUUCUCGUUUCUUAUAAAUUGUCUGCUACUUCUGGAAAAAUUCCUGAAGUUGUAGUUUUGGUGUUCAGCUCAGUAGGAUUUAAGGUCCUUUUAUAUAUUUCUUUACUACUUCUGUGCAUUCCUAAAUGAUUAUAGCAAUGUUAUCUUGUUGACUAUAUUAUUGUUCAAUAUUGAGACAUUCUAUUUUGGCAGAUGUUUUCUGAUUUUUUGCUUAUAUUGGUCACCCCUUUUUUUUGGUUAUGAGAAAUGAGAAUAGGGUCAUUUCUUCAUAUUCAUGUUUUGUUGAUAGAUGUAGAUUAUAAGCUUUGCUAACAAUCAUUAUGUUCCUUUUAAGUUUUCUUUUCAUGCAUGUCCUACUGGCAUAGUUCAUAGUGAUUUUAAUGAUUCAUUUUCUUUCUUAUGUUCCACUGCCAUUGUCUCUUCUCUUGUUAGUCGAAUCAAUCCUACUGUUUAAGAAGGCAGUAGGCAGGAAAGAUAGAGAGGUAGAGAGGGUAGUUUUCUGUCAGAAAUGCCAACAGCCACUGAGAUUUACAAGAGAGGCCUUAUGGGUGUGCCUUUUCUUUCUUUUACUUUUUAGUUUAACAGUUUAUCAACCAUAAGUGUUGUCGUAUUAGCUUUUUGCUUUUGCCUUUUUAAUUUGACGUAGAUAUAUUAUACCAGGUAAUUGCAUUGCUUUGUCUUUCUAUUUUUGUUUUUUACUUAUUUCCCUGUUGUACAUCUUGUUGUUCUGAUGAUCUCUUUUGAUCUUUGCAGACGUACAUGGAACUGACAAUCUUCCUCUUUCUCCUCAGUGGCUUCUGCCAAAACCUGGGGAAAAUAAACUUGGGACUGCACCUAGGGUAAAGAAUUUCUUUGUGUCACCUUGUCUUAUUCCCUUCUUACUCUAAAGUCUUGUGCCGGUUAAGCAAAAAAUUUUUUUGGGUCAUGUUGGAAAAAACAAAAUCAUCUUUGGUCGUGUUGGAACUAUGUACCUCGCGUAGUUUAUUUCCCUGUUCGGACAUUAGAUUUUGAUCCCUGCUGCACCUCUGGUCUAUGUAGGAUUUCAAUCAAUAUGGUACUCAGCCAGAUACUGUGAAAAAUGGUGAAGACCUUAACAAUACUGGAAAGAGAAGGGAUGUUUUCAGGCCUUCAAUGCAUGAUGGUGAAACUGGGCGCCACGAUCGGUGGCGUGAUGAAGAAAGGGAGCCAAACUCUGCUAUUCGUCGAGAGCGCUGGAGGGAUGUCGAUAAGGUUGAACGCUGGUCGGACAAUUCCUCUAGACAUUCUGGUGAAUCUCGCCGUGCCAUGUGGAGUGAUUCUGGUAACAAGGAAGGCAAUUAUGAUCAACGCCGUGAGAACAAGUGGAACACUCGUUGGGGGCCUGAUGAUAAGGAGCCUGAGAGCUGGCGUGAGAAGUGGGCCGACCCCUCUCAUCUUUCAAGUCACGGAAAGGACACAAACAACCUUCAUGAAAAGGAUACAGACAGAGAAGACCAUUAUUCUCGGCAAAGGAGGUCAAACUAUUCUGUCAGCCGUGGCAGGGGAGAUCCUGUUUAUCCCCCAUCUCAGACACCACAGAAACCGUCCACUGUGUUUGGCUAUGGUAGAGGGAGAACAGAAAAUGAGAGUCCUGUAACUAUUAGUGCUCGUGGGAAGCUUAACUCUAACAGUACUGUAAAUAGUGGUUCUUCGCGGCCAUUUCACCUAGGUUCUGCGCUUGACAAGUCUGAUAGUGCGCCUGGAAAUCCCUGUGUUAAAUAUAGUAGGAUGAAAUUGCUAGAUGUAUACAGGGUUACUGAUCUUAAAAAAGUUAGAGCAAAUCUAGAUGGUUUCAUUGAAGUUCCUCCUUUGACAGAACUGGAACCAUUGGAGCCAUUGGCACUUUCGGCUCCUACUUCCGAAGAAUCAGUAAUUGACUAUGAUGUUGCUUUAUUAUCGUAAUUCAAUUUUUGAUGUUGCAUGCUUCUUACUAUUCUGCUUUAUUGGUAGGUUAUUUUGAAAGGCAUCGACAAAGGUGAUAUCAUAAGCAGUGGUGUACCUCAGGGUUCCAAAGAUGGCUCUGUUGGCAGGAAUAUCUCUGAUGCAAUUCCACCAAAACAAGCUAAAUUAGGUGGAAAGUUUUUUCUGAUUUUAUUGAAUUGUGAUCUGAAGGUGAUCGUCUCCUUAUUGCUAAAUGGCCUGCUUUUAAUUUUAUCAGGUAGUAGGGAAGAUAGGCCUGCUGCCAUGGAUGACUAUAAAGAUGACAAUACUGACAAUAUGAAAGGUACCCAUUUCGGCUCCUUUGAGAGUUCAUUAGGUGAAAAACAAUUACAGCACCAUGGCUCUGAACAGAGAGUGGGAUUAAAUCUGAGGCAGUACUCAUUCCAGGAGAAAACACAGAAUGCUGACGGUAUUGUCUUUGUGCCUUUAGAUGCAUCUCAUAAACAUUGUUUCUAUUUGUCAUAACUUUUCCCUCGAGUAAGUACAAUAUCCACAUCCAUAAUUUACGUAAAGUAUCUCGCAUAUGCUGAAUCCAGCAUUUAGUUAUUUGUAUGCUUUGGUCUGAGAUACAUUUACAGAUUUACUAGCACCAAAACCUCUGCAAUGAUUGCUUUUGCCUAUUACACUGGUUACUAUUUCGGUCAUCCACCAUAGCAUUUUGCACGCUGACAUUCAGGCUACCAAGAGAGAGAGAAAAAAGAGAUGUUCUUUGCCAUUUGAUUUUGUUUCGUAACUUUGAAACUGAUUGGCGAUCAAACAUCCUAGCUUAAAUGUAAUCUUUUUUUUGUUUAAUAAUGUUUACUUGACAUGCAUGUGCUCAGCUUCUUGAACUGAUGGUUAGCUAUCAUGUCACUUUGUUUACUUCAUCUUCUCCUUCCUUCUUUUAAUGUGCUUUCCUUUUUUGCCCCUUAUUGCAGUUUUUUUGAACGUGCGAUUUUAAUAUUAUCAGUUGCACCACAUAUCCUAGAAUCUCUAAUGUCCCACCCUUUUUUUGCUCUCUUUAAUGAUUCAAUAGGUAUUCUUGAAAACCCUGAUAAGCCAGCCAUUAUAGAAGCAUCUAGGCCGGAAAUUUCUCCAUCACUUUAUGUUGCCGGACCAAGGAGAUCUCAAUCGGUUGGAGAUUAUGCACUGGGCUCAUCUCAUGAUUGGAAAGAGUUCUCUACUGAAAACGGACCACGGACAUCUGAAAUGAGCUGGUCUCAGUUACAAAAGGAUGAAUCUCACUGGCAAAAAGAUGAAGGAUUUGGUCCACAGCCAGACCCAAAAAAUGACCCCAAGAUUAAGAGGCAAUUAUCUGAUGUCUUGAAUAGAGAGGGUAAAUCUAGUAUCAUGCUAGGGCAUGAAGACUCUUAUAAUAGAAGGUUGCAAGCACAUCCUUCUCCAGAAGAGCUUUCUUUAUAUUAUAAAGACCCACAAGGCCAAAUUCAAGGCCCUUUCUCUGGAAGCGACUUAAUCGGGUGGUUUGAGGCGGGGUAUUUUGGUAUUGAUUUGCUAGUUCGGCUGUCAAGUGCUCCACCUGAUGCUCCUUUCUCUUUACUUGGGGAUGUUAUGCCCCACCUACGAGCGAAGGCAAGGCCCCCACCAGGCUUUGGCACUGCUGCCAAGCCUAAUGAAUUGUCAGAGAUUUCCAUUCCCUCAAAAUUUGCUGGUUCUACAAAUAUUCAUGCGGGCAUGGGGGAUGUUGAUAUUCUCAACAAUGGGUCCAGAAUCAGGAAAGAUGCUGCAACUGAAGCACAAAACCGGUUCAUAGAGUCAUUAAUGUCUGGCAGCAUAAGCAGUUCCCCAUUAGAGAAAAUAGCUCUUACUGGAGGUUAGCACUUUAUAGGAAUGUUCUUUAUGUUUUUUAACAUUAUUUAUAGGGGAUAUUACAUAUUUUCAUCUCUACAGAAUCUGAGUUAUCAUACAUCAUUUGAAAAUUCAGAUUCUUGCAAGUUACCUUAUCUUAAGCUGCACAGUCAUCUGAUGUGGGGAAGCGGGUUUUGUUUUAGAAAAGGGUUUUUCAAAGAAUAUCAUCCUUGAAACUACAAAAGGUGUAUGCAUAGGAAAUUAAGUUAUUGGAGGGCAUAUGAAAUUUCUGAUUUUUCUAGUUAUAUUUAUAUGUAGUUAUAUAAUCUUGCUGGGAUACUUACAUGUAAUGCAAGUAUUCUAAAUUCUAAUAUUUCUUGUGUUAAUUUGGAUAUGAAUUCUUGACAAUAGGUGAAGUCUCUGUCUUCUUAGGCUGCCUAUACAUGCAUGCGUUCGGUGCUUACAUAUUUUCUUUUAUCCGGUUCAACUUUUUUGAAUCUAUAGGUAUGCAAGAAUAUGGUGGGAGCAGUGCAGUGGGUGGUGAAAGUGAGAAUGAUGUGAAUUAUCUCUUGGCCCAGAGAAGAUUGUUGGAAAGGCAGAAAUCUUCAUCAAAUUCUCUUCAAUUUUGGCCAGGAAGAGAUGUCACACAGAUGGUACCAAAUAUAAAUGCAGUCUCUGAUUCGUCUCCUUUGCACUCGAAGUUGCUUCCUCCCAUGGGAGACGCUUCUCGCCAGAUCCUUCAAUCUCCUCAACAAGUGGACUUGCUAUCCAUCCUCCACUCAGCAGCAGAUAAACCUCAAAACCCAGCUAUAUCUGGAUUACCUUUAUGGUCGAAUUUCCCCGAAGCUCGAAACAUGAGUAACACAUUACACGGUAAUGGCAUGGGAAUCUCUCAGAACCCAAUAAGCAUGCAACACAAUCUAAAUAUACCUCCACAAAUUGGGGUGGGUAAUCAACAGCAAAGGUUGCUGCAACAAAACCAACCACCUUUGCCUCAUUUAAGCCCUCAACCUAUUGAUAUUGCUCCUGCCUUGCUUCCACCAGACAAGCUACCCUCUGAAAUUCCUCAAGAUCCACAAUUAUUAAGCUUAUUGCAACAGCAGUAUCUUCUGUCACAACUGCAGAUGCAGGCUCAGACUUCUGUUACCCCUCAGCUUUCUUUGCUGGAUAAGUUCUUAACGAUUAAGCAGCAGCAGGAGCAGCAAAAGCUACAAGAGCAACAGAAGCAGCAGUUGCUGCUGCAGCAACAGCAGCAGCUGCUUUCGCAGGUUCUAUCCGGGAAUCAACAUCUUCUUGAUCCUUCCUAUGGGCAAAUAGGUAAUUCUUCUCUAGAUCUUCUAGCGCUUCAAAGAGCGCAAGAGGCUCUUCAGAUCAAUCAACAGAUGUCUAUACAAAGUUUGCUCGAUCCACAACCACCUAAUCGUCCGGAUGUGAGUUUGGGUAUUUCGCCUGCAAAUUUGCCCCAUCACAUCCUCAAUCAUGUACCUUCAAAAGAAUGGGACACUUCUCUUCCACAGCAGGCUGAAAAUAUUGUGAAUGCCGAUACUGCAACAGUAUCAGCAAUGGCUGGUAGUUUGCCUCUGAUGAAAGAUAUAGAGAGAGAUGAACAGGAGGAUAUCCUGGAAAAGAACAACCAAGGGUUGGAAAAUGCUGGAGCAGAACAUAAGACACUUUCAGUGUCUCAAUCUAGUGAAGUCAUUGCCCCAGCUUGUUCUGAAGCCAAGGACACUGCUGAAUCUAAGGCCAAUGAUCCAGGAUCUUCCGAUCGUUUAACUUAUUUAUCCGAUCAGGUUCAUGAUAUGAAGCUCUCUUUGAAAGAAGUUUCAGAGCAAAUUCGUCCUGAUUCAUCUUUGGCGAAAGAAACAAAGAGCGUAGAGACACCAGAAGUAAAGAAAACUUCAGAAAAGAAAUCAAAGAAGCAAAAGAACUCGAAGGCACAAUCGGCAGCAGAUGCUGCUGGGAAAGGACAAUCAAAGACAACUCAAUCUAAAGUGGCCUCUGAAGUUGAGGGUUCAGAUGCUGUUGUCACUGCUGCUAAACCAGAAAUGCUGAAUGAUACGGAGGGAUCUGCAGCUGGGGCUUCAGUGGAGGAAGGUGAACUGGAUUUUAUAAAAGCUGAGCUACCUUCUUCCAAAAAUGAUAGUGUUCGGAAUGAAGUUGAUCGUGGGGAACUUGUUAACUUAUCAUCGAAUGCACAAACCGCUUCUAGUCAUCGCGCAUGGAAGCCUGCAUUUGGGCUUAGACCUAAAUCACUGUUGGAAAUUCAAGCUGAAGAGCAACUAAGGGCGCAGAGGGAAGCAAUGCCUGCUGAAUUUGCCAAACCAGCUGCUCCAACCAGUGUUUCAUCCUCGGUUCCUUGGAGUGGUGUAGUGCCCACUUUGGAGCCUAAAUUCAAUCCAGAUGUCACUCAACAAGUUGUGGGUAGCUCAGGAAAUGCUGCAAAUUCAAAGAGCAAGAAAAGCCCUUUGCAUGAUCUAUUGGCAGAAGAAGUCUUGGCCAAGUCAAAUGAAGUUGAAAAAGAUCUUGGUGGCAGCAAUACUAAAACAGACAUGGUAGUUCUUGAUGAUGAUGAUUUCAUCGAGGCUAAGGACUCCAAGAAAAACCGUAAAAAGGCAUCAAAGGCUAAAGGUGCUGGACUCAAGUCCCCUUCACCUGUUGGUUCACUUGAUCAAACUGCCACAUCUGUCCGUACAGAGAAGGGCAAAUCAACUCAAAAGACACAAGAGAGAGAAAUAUCACCUGCUCCUCCCUCUGGUCCAUCUCUUGGUGAUUUUGUUCUCUGGAAGGAGGAUCAAACUGUCUCUGCACCAGCUCCAGCUUGGUCCGCCGACCCUGUGAAUCUUCAAAAGCCCUUGUCCUUGAGAGAAAUUCAGAGGGAACAGGAGCGAAAGGCGGCUUCAAUCCAGCAGCAAAUCCCUAUACCGUCUGCCACAAAACAACAGCCAACGCGUGGGAAUCGCGGAAGUGGGUCUUCGUGGCAGUUUUCUGGGUCAUCUCCUUCUAAUAAGGCUGCAGCUCCCAUCCAGACCAGUUCACAUGUUUCUUCUGUUUCAAAAUCUAAAGGUGAAGAUGAUUUAUUCUGGGGUCCUCCGGAGCAGUCCAAACAGGAAGCAAAGCAGUAAGUAGUAGCAUCCACUUUUUAUAUUGAUUGUCUGUCAAUCCAUUAUGUUGCCCUUCACUGCAUGCGCAUCAUAUUAAACACUAAAGCCUCUGUUUAGCAUAUGACUAUGUAUGGAUUUGAAAGAAGAAACAACUUUUGCAACACAUGUCGGAUAUCACCUAGUUUCUUCCAGGUCUUAUUAUGCUAGCUUCUGGGCAUCUUAAUCUCCACACCAUGGUGUGGAAUAGAUGUCUCUCAUUUAAUCAUCUUGAGUUAUUCUUUUUGCUUGCCGGAUGCUGAAAUACAAACACAUUGCUGAUUUCUUUGUUGGAAGCAGGCUGACUUAGCUGUCUCUUUCAAAUGGGUUAUAAAAGUACUUGCUUGUUAUGCUGAAUAAUCUGAGGGGUUUGGAUUGUUACAAUUGAAACUAUUGAGGAUGGAAUUGAAAUCAAAAUCAAACUACGAGGGCUAAAUUUGUAAUUAACCCCUUAAAAAAAAUGGAGAGCACAUACUGAAGCAGAUUUUUUACUGAUGUAUAAACUUAGUAAUGGUUUUGAUUGGAUUAAUUGGAAACAGGUCGGAUUUCCCAUCCCUAUCAAACCAGAGUGGCUGGGGAGUCAAAGGCAGCUUCGCGAAAGGAGCACUGUCAGUGGCACCGAGUCGUCAGAAGUCACAGAGUGGUAAAUUGCCUCUUUCUUCCCCACCCACCUCCUCUGGGUUGUCGAUUGCAAAAGGGAGCAAAGAUGCAUCAAGCAAGCAAUCAGGUUAAUCUUAUAAGUGUCAGUUUCUCUCGACUAACUUAACUGAAUUUGCUGGUGAUUACAUUGUGUUUCUAAGAUUCUGUAUGCUUGCAGACGCUGUGGACUUCAGGAAUUGGUGCGAAAGCGAGUGGGUCAAGCUGACAGGAACAAAUGGUAUUGAGUUUUAACCAAUCUGGCUUUUUUUUUUUUUAUGCUAUACAGAUACACACAGCCUGCAUGUAUUUCUGAAAACACUGGCUUGUUCCGUUCCUACAUUGGAUCUGCUUUGAUACCCAUGCGCACACAUUUUGAAAGACGAUUGUGUGGGACUGUUGACACGGUUACUUGGCACUUCUCUUGAAGCACUUGUGAGCGGAUCUUGAUUCUUGACUUGGAUCUGAUGCGUGAAGUUGGAAACACUUGGAAACCAGUGCUUUUAGAAGAACCCUACUGCAACUACACAUAACACAACACGCACACACAAUGAUCAUUUUGCGUCUUUUGUGCUUGUGAAGCAGAAUAAAAUCUAAUGCGUUCUUAUUAUAUCAGAUACCAGCUUCUUAGAAUACUGCAUAAAGCAGUCGGCAUCAGAGGCUGAAACACUCCUGAGAGAGAACCUUGGCUCACUGGAUCGCAACUACGAGUUCAUCGAUAAGUUCCUAAAUUAUAAAGCUUUCUUAUCAUCCGAAGUUGUGGAGAUGGCCUUUCAACUUAAAAUCUCACGCCCCACGGGCGCGGACGAUGCUGAUACGGAAGCCGGAGCUGACGGUGCAGCCAAAGGGGGCGGCGGAAAGAAGAAAGCGAAGAAAGGGAAGAAGGUGAGCCUGUCGGCUCUAGGGUUUAAUGUGGUCAGCAACCGUAUUAUGAUGGGUGAGAUCCAGAACGUCGACGAUUGAGGCGGUGAGAGCGCGGGGGAGAGCGCGGGGGAUGAGUGUAUAUACAUUAUCUUUUGUUUACCCUUUCUGUAAAUGUUCAACCUUUUUUUUCUUUUUCUUUUUUUUCCCCCUUUUUUCGUGCUUUCCUGGGACCUUUCUGUCCCCAAAGGAGCCCUUCUAUAGAGCAGUAGUUGCAGGUCCGAUGUGUCAUCAGCUGAAGCGGUUUUGUGGGAACUCAUAGCAGCUCUUAAUGCUUAUUUUGAGAAAGUAAGCUUAGAAGAGGGAUUAUUAAUUCUAUUGUGUGAGCUGUUAUUUUUGCUUAUUUGCCUGUUGAUUUCGGAAAUCGCUCUGCUAAUGAUAGAAUACAGGAUGAUAAUCCAGAUGUUAGUAUAGUGAUGCACCGGCCUUGCUCUGUAUAACAAAUUUUAUAUAAUUUGAUGUACUGGUAGAUGGACUUAGUUUUAAAAUUGAGAAAAAAAAUAAGUUACUGUUUACUUGUUCAGUUUUUCUGUAGUUGUUGAAUAAAUUUGCAGAGACUACAGGCUGUGUAUCAUCCAUUUGUAACACCAUCAAGUAUAACUAUAUACUUCUUUUAGAAAGUAACAAUUUCACAGAGGCCAUAAAUUAUAAUUUAUAAUAGAAAAAAGCAUCAACCAGUAACAAAUUUUUCCAAUUUUUACAUACAUUGACUCGACAGUCUUAUAAAUUGUAGUAGUAAAGGGUAAGUAAACAAAGCAUAUCUCCAAGAGUAAUGCUUAUCUAUACACCCAAAAAAUUGUUUCAAGACUUGCACUCUCUCGUCCAACAAUUUAGACACUCUUUUUAUAUUAUUGAUCUUUAAAAAAAUAAUGACUAGCAUGAAAAAGAGUAGUCUUUCAAUUUGUUAAUAUUUAAAAAAAUUAAAAAGACUAGUAUAAAAAGAGUGGCCUAUGGAUUGCUAAUAUUAAAAAAAUUAGUAAGGCUAGUAUGGAAAAAGAGAGUGGCCUAUGGAUGAGAGGAUAUAAAAUUUAUAGCGACUUUUUCGUUGUACAAAUAACAUUUCUCGUUCUCCAAGUUUACAAGUCACAUGUCAUAAGAAAUUCUCGCGAGUUUACAAGUCACAUAUCAUAAGAAAUUGAUCCACUACUAGCAAGCAAACAGCUCUUGAUUCUCCAUCAGGAGGAAUUCUACACUGUCACACUUGCACCACGUCAUCAAUAACAAGCCAAUCAUAUUCCUUCUUUUCAAACGAAAGUACAAUAAAAACAUUUUUUUACAAUAAUGAUGGGACAUAUACUCUUAAAAGAAGACAUUUAAUUGAUUUGUUACGCCACGUCACCAAUAUACCCGUUGUAUUUUAGAAUUUUUCCUCCACCAGAGGCAGCUCCCUAUAAAUAGAGAGAGGUCUCUCUAUCUGUUUAGAGAUAAAGGGAGGGGGAGAGUUUGGAGUAGAAUUACUCAUCUCAUAUUGAGUCUUCUCUGUAUUUAUUAGUAUUGACAUAAUAUAUGCAACAAACACAACAGUAGAAAAUAUAUAUAUUAAAAAAAAAAAUUCCUUGCCUUCUAGCACCAGUUAACUAUGAUAAUGAUGCAGGCCAGUUCUUACUCCAUCUAGCUUUUUUAUUUGACUAAUCAAUCGGAACCACAAAGCCAUCGUUUAUUUACAUCUAAAAUCUUUAUUGUGCAAAAAUAUUAGCUGGUCACUGCAUAGCCCUAAACUGAGUCCACUAAUAUCCACACUGGAUUAUGUUCAAAACAACUAGAAGAUCACAGCUUUGAUCAUCACUCUGUCAGGUUUUUAUGCAAAAUUUGACCGAAAAAAGGAACCUUUCAAAAAGUUGUCUACCAAGUUCACUGGGUUGUACUUAUUAACCAGGCUGGCUCACUACUUGAUCCUGAAGCUUCAGUGAGCAUGUGCUGUGGCUUGUCCUGAUUUCCUGCCCAAAUAAAUAACAACAUCAACAAAUGAAAUGAGAACUCAAAAACUACAACAGUAGAAGCUUGAAGUUACUUACUGCUAACUAUGUUUGCAAAAGGAAACCUAAAAUGGAAUGCCAGCAUAAGUGGGAGUUUUUUUUAAUGCUGUUGUUGAGAUUAACCGACAUCUCAUGUUGUUUGUAUAAUAGCACAUUAACAGACUGCUGGUGGGGUGAUCAAUAUCUCCACUCGAGAAAAGAAAAGGAAAAAGAGUUAUCACGAAAUAGUUAAUUAAGAGUUAUCAUAAAGUUACCAGAAUUACUAACUAUGAUGAAGCUCGCGCAACUAAUGUUCAAAACCAACAAAAACAGAAGUCAAAAUAUUAUUCAACCCAACUUUGCAGAGUAAAUUGGAAGAUAUCUCGGUGUCCACAUCAAACUUUAGUUUUUAAGACGAAAAUAAACGGGCCUAAGCUCAUCGAUGAUUGCAUAAUUAGGUCAUACAAAAUCAGACUAACAAGAACUAAAAGGGAUAAUGGAAGCAAUUUUAGUAGAUGUUAGGGGGAUUCAAUGCACCUAGAUCUGUGACGGUUUGAAAGAUUGUAUUAAAUUAUAUUUGGUAUAUGAGCAGAAGCCUCCAAAAAGAUAUUAACAGUUUCAACAAAGAUAUACUUCAUAUUCACAUUUGCAACGUUAGCAAAUCACCCAAGCAUAUAGCAGUAAGUAGUUAUCUAAAUUCUAGUUUCUUAACUAAUAAAAUCAACCCUAUGAUGCAACGGUCAAUGGGCUUUUGGAAACAGAGGAAGCAAUCCUACAAAAUAUCUGCUCCUAGUAUUGUACAUAUGGUUGCCAGUGGAAUUAGUUUAUUUUUCUUUUAAAUUCAAACAUGACAUUUAACAGGUAGUCAAAUAUAGAAGAGUAAAGCAAUCGGUAAUCAGCAUGGAUAUAAAGCUGACUUAGACAUUACUCUUGCAAACAAUGGUUUCAACAAACUUAGAUUGAAGAGGACUACAGGGAUUAAUGGUAGCAGUUCUGGGGCCUUGUAAUGGGGAGUCAAUAUACAACAAUUAAGAUUAUAAGAUGAUGUUGAUAAAAGAACAGCGAUGCCAAUAAAGCUAUGUACAGACAAUUGGCUUAAUUAUGAAAAGGGAGAGAGAGAGAGAGAGAGAGAGAGAUUGUUCACUAAAUUGAGGAUAGAGUUACUACAUUAUUGUCACUGUAGUCUCAGAGAUAUGGUAAAGUAAUAAAAGAUCUAUUUAAUCUCAGAAUUAACAACAAAUUAGUAAUAGGCAUGUAGCCUACUUAAAUUAUAGCCUCGUCAAACAAUCCCUUUCAAUCAUGCUUAGGUUCAAAACUUGUACAAAAUUUAAUCACAAAAACUGCCAAAUCAACAUAUAAAAUGCAGGUCGUAACUUACUUUGUUAAAUAGAGAAAUAUAUACGAAAAAAGAUUAAAUAUCAAAGUUCGAUUUUAUCGACUCGAAUGUUCCCAAACUAUAAGUGGUCUCAAAAGGAUACUUUGUGAUGCAACGCAAAUACAUUGCAUAUAUUUACUUCCCACAUAAAGCCACCUACAUAGUGCAAGUGAUAUUUAAGCAGGACACUGUAAUUUUACACACAUUUGAACACAUCUCCAUUCUAUAUGCUGAUAAAAACAGUCAACAAUACACAUGUUCAGCAUCAAUUCCGAGUCCUAAUUUACUUUGCAAAAUAAUCAUGAAAAAGAGAGCUAAAAUUGUAUGGAGGACCCCUCAACUAUAGCCCAUUCUCAAACAAACCCCUCAACUUCAAUUUUUUAAUUAUGCCAUUACACUUUGUUAAAUUCAGCGACAAUCAAUUAUUACCAGUUAAUUAAUCCAGCUAUAUUUGUUAUAAAUUGAUUAAAACUAUUAAAUUUGAUAAAAUUAUCAAAAAAAAAAAGCAAAGAAGGAUAAAAUCGUUAACUUUUUUCUGGGUUCAAAUCUCUUAAUUCCAAACAAAGCAAAAUUUCAAAAAAGGUGUCAGUUUCAGAAUAGGCUACAGUAGAGCGUCUCUGUCUCUCUACAUUUAUUAUUAUUAAAAUUUAAGCUAAAACAGUAAAUAAAAAAAAACAUAGAGAGGAGGAGGAGGCUAAUGAGCCCUAGUAUGAUCUUACCCUUCGUCUUCUUCCUCCUCCUCCUCCUUUAUCAAGGGGGAAUCCUCCUCCUCGUCGAGCUGGUUCAUGGGGAGCACCGAGGCGAGGGUGUUGAUGUGCGCCACGUACUCGGCCUCCCCGGGGCUCGGCCUCGGCCCCGCCGCGGCGAUCACCCGCGCGCGGCGGCUCGCCACGUCCACCGCCACCACGUCCCCCCGCACCCACGCCACCACCUCCAUCUCCGCCCCGUGCGACCUCAGCGGCCUCGGCCGCUCCCUGAACGACCCCGCCGCCGCCCCGACGGGGAUCGACCCCACCUCCGCCCACUCGUCCCCCUCCCCGAGCGUGUACGCCACCGCCGCCUCCUCCGUCGCCGCCACGCAGCGCAGCGCGGCGCCGCCCCCGCCCCCGCCGAGCUCCCACCACUCGUCCCCCUCCCAACCCACCGCGGCGGGGCAGGGGAAAACCCUAGCCCGGUCCGCGGCGGGGUCGUAGCCCACCACCGUCCCGAUCGCCGUCCUCCAGUACGCUCCGCCGCGCGCCGCCACGCCGGACCCCGCCACCAGCCCCUCCGCCGGCGCCGCCGCCCCGCCGGACACCCACCACCCCCCCGCCGCCGACGAGAACGUCUCGAACCCGUACACUCCCGUCCCCCUCCCCGCCUCGAACGCGCACACCAGCGCGUAGUCGCACCGGAAGUUGUAGUGCGACGGGUCGAAUAUCAGCACCAGGGCGUGGGCCCGGGGGUCGAAGGGGAGGAAGCGCGGCGGGGAGGAGGACGCGUGGCGGCGGUCGAGGAGGAAGAGGCCGGAGGGGCGGGAGAGGUGGGACCCGGCCUGGGAGUGGGCGAAGAUGGGGGACGAGAUGACGGCGGCCCAGGACGGGUGCACGGAGCGGAACCGGAGGAGGGCUGCAGGCGGGAGAUAGCGGAGGGCCUGGUCCCGGAUCACGGCCGCCAGGGGCCGGUUGAUCGCGCCGAUCAGAUCGCCCACCCGCGCCCGCAGCCGCUCGCGCUGCGCCGCUCGCCUGGCGCGCCGCGCCGCCUGCAGCGCGAUCGCCUCCUCGCCCGCGUCGCCCAUAUUGCCCACCGAUCGAUCCACCCCGUUGAUGCUCUUGCUCUUGCUGUUGCUGUUUACUUGUACUACUACGACUACUAUAACAACAACAACAACAACAACAACGGAGGAGGAGUUGUGUGGUUUAUGGAGAAAAAGAGGAGAGAUGGGGAGAGUGGAUCGUGGCGAUUAACGACGACGACGACGACGACGACGACCUCGCCAAAGUCUACAUGGGAAACAAUAUAUAAAUAAAUAUAUAUAGGGUUAGAACUACUGUACUAUCACAAGCAUAAAGUAUUCGAUGCUUUUGAUUUUUUGACCUUUGGAUCAAAAGUUAAAUGGUUGAGAUGAUUGCGGUCCUCUCCAAGGUUGAAUAAUAUUUCUAGGAUUAAAUGGUUUCCAUAAAGUAAUAAUAUUAAUCAAAAAAUUUAUAAAUAAUUAAAAAAAUUGAUUUAAUAUAUAUAUAUAUAUAUAUAAUUAGACUAAAAUACUAACAAUAGCACCAAAAGUUAUUGAUGCUAUUAGAUUUUUAACCCUUAAAUUGAGAAAUGUACGGUUAGGAUGAUGUGGGCCCUCUAGGGUUGAGUGAGUGGUUGGUUUAAUAGUAUAAUCUAACAGAUGAAAAUAAUCAAAAUGUUAAAUCUAACGGUGAAAAACUCGACAAUACAAAGUUCUUGAUACGGCAGUUGGAGAAGUGAUCUCCUAAGAAUUGGAAAAAUAACUUUUGAAAAAUUAGCCUACCGCCGCCCCUAACACAAGAGACAAAUGACUUGAUUGAUACUUAAAAUUUUAAAUUCGAAUUCUAAAAUUAAUUCAUUUUUUCAUGACAAAGUGAUUUUUAUGAAUUAAUUUUAUAACGUUGUUUUGUAUUUUUUUUUUUUUUUACUGUUUGUAAAUAAUAAUUUUUUUAACUAAGUUUUAUUUUAAAAUCAUUCAAAAUUUAAAUUUAAAUUUUAAAACUUAAAAUAUGAAAUUUAAUAUUUAAAACUUAAUUUUCUAAAUUUGAACUUAAAUUUAAAUUUGAAAAUUUUAAAUUAAAAUUAAAUUUGAAGUUCGAGUCCAAAAUUAGAAACAGAUUUUAGCUACUUAUAAUUUUAGGCCUUUAAAUAAGAAAACUGAUUCUUAAAAAUCAGAGUCAGAUUUCGAAAUAGAGAUUACUAAAUGCUCAAUUGGGAGAAAAAUUAUUUUUGGUUCGAAAAUUACUUUCUAUCGACGUAGAGAUGAUGUUGGAAUUUUCAGAUAUUUUCCUAGAAAAAUAGUAAAUUUACAUCGCAUUUUUCAGAUAUUUCAGAUAUUUCCCUACAUAAAUAGUAAAUUAACCUAGAUAUUUUGGAAAUAGGAAAUAGUAUUUAAAGUUUACACAAAAACUUUUUGAAGAAAAUAAUAUAUUUGUCAUUACUUUUAUCUCUUUUAUUUUUCUAUUGUGUUUUUUCUUUUUUUUGAGGUACGAGAAUGUAGGCACUUUCCUAGAAUUCUUAUUAAUUUCCUCCAAAAUUUAUAAUAAACACUAAACUUUUUGAAGAAAAUAAUAUAUUUGUCAUUACUUUUAUCUCUUUUAUUUUUCUAUUGUGUUUUUUCUUUUUUUUGAGGUACGAGAAUGUAGGCACUUUCCUGGAAAAAAAAAAAAAGUUUAGUGUUUAUUAUAAAUUUUGGAGGAAAUUAAUAAGAAUUCUAGUAGUAAAUUAUGGGUCGAAUGAGAGAAGUUAAUUAAAAAUAAUAUAUUCAUUAUUAUUUUUUAAAAAAAUAAAGAAUAUAUUCUUAAAAAUUAAUUAUUUUUGGGAUUAAUAUAUUGGGAAAAAUUCAAAUAUCCCUCUUGUGGUUUCACUUUUUCUCACUUUAGUAUCAUAUGGUUUAAAGUGUAUCAAGUUAGUACCAUGUGGUUUUGCACUUUUUUAUUUUAGUAUUAUAUGGUUUAAAGUGUAUCAAGUUAGUACCCUAUGGUUUCGUAGUUUAUCACUUUAGUAUCCUGUGGUUUCUCACUUUACCACUCCAGUACUCUGUAGUUUAAAAAUCACAGGAUACUAACUUGCUAUAAAAAUAAAAUCACAGAAUACUAACUUGAUACAAAAAUAAACCACAGAGUACUAACUUGAUACACUUUAAACCACAUGGUACUUAAGUGAUAAAGUAAGAAAACAUAUGGUACUAACUUAAUACACUUUAAAUUAUAGGGUUCUAAGAUAAAAAAGGUGAAAACACAUGGAAUUUUUUGAAGUUAGGGAAAACUUUCCUAAUAAUAUUUGAAGAAACGUGACGUUCAAGGAAGAUAUCGUCAUAAGUCUACGUUGGAAAGUAUUUGUAAUUGGAAAAUUUUAUUCAUUUUUAAUGAUAAGGAGUAUAUUGUAUAAGGAAACUGGAUUUAUUUGGAUUAAAAUAAUAUAUAAGUGGGCCCUCACAUAAAAUAGUGAAUACGAUGUCUAAGCAGUAAAUGGUACUGUUUUUUUUAUUAUUAUUAUUUUUUAACCAAAAAUUUAAAAUAGUGUUGGUGUUUCAAAACCUGCUGGUGUGAAUAAAAAUGUUACAUGUCAAAACCUACACCUGAUGUAUAAAUACCCUCCAUACACUAUAUUUAAUAUUCGAUAACAAAUAUUUUAAAAAUCCAACUCGAUAGAUUAAAAAAAAUCAAUCGCGAGAUAAAAAUAAAAUAAAUUUAAUUUAAUUAAAAAAAGUAAAGUUCGAGUUCCUAUUUCAAAAUUUCAAAAGUGGUGUGGGGUCUCUAUCAUCAUAAACUUUUGAAGAAGCACCUUUCACUAACGCGGUAACACACAAAUGCACGUAAAAGCAGAAACUUAACGCCCAAGAAUUCAACGUAGGAUGGUGCCCAAAAGUAAGGUAACAGCUUUAUACUUUAAAAAAUUUUAAAAAAAACUUUAAAAUAUUUUUACUUUUUUAUUUUUAUACUAAUUAUUAUAAUAAUAACCAUCACGGAAAAAACAUAUGAGCACAAGGAAUCUCUUCAACAUAUGAUAUACAUCGACAUAAACAAGAUAUUACUAUAUCUUAUUAUUCAUAUUUGCCUUGAAAAUAAUUGAAGAUACACUAUUGAAAACUUAAUAUUAAUUCAUUUUACAUCAUUUAACCAAAACUCUGACCCAAUUUUAUUGGCUUUAAUAUUAGGAAAAUAAUAUGAUAUUGAGUUUAAGGGGGCGUUUGGAUUGAACGAAUCUGUAGAUCCAACAUAACUCAUGUGCAGUAGUAUAUGAGUUUUUCUGAAGUGCGAUUAUUUUUUUAUUGUUUGUUUUGACGUAACUUGUACAAUUUGAAAAUUAAAUUUAACUACUUCUUUUAUUUAUUUUGAUGUAAUUUAAUACCGGUAAAAUUAGUUUUUUAAAAUUAUUUAAUAAUUAUUUUAGAAAAUAAUAAAUAUUUUAGAGAAAGCUAAGUGUGAUGGAUGUUGAGUUCAACACUUUAGGAAAAAAAAAAAAAAUCGAAAGAACAUAAAAUGAAGAUCUAACAUAACUUGGGUUAUACUAUAACUUGAGUUAUACUAUAUUUUUGACUUAUAUCAAAAUAAAUAUAAAAAAUAAUAGAAUUUAGGUUACAUCCCUCCACUUAAGUCAAAAUAAAGUGCCCUAAAUGGUUGAAAGUAUUUAGAAUAGAAAUCAAACAGUAUCAUUGAAUGCUAAACUUUCAAAAGAAAGUAAAGAAAAAGGAGAGAGAGAGAGAGAGAGAGAGAGAGAGAGAGAGAGUCAGAAAGAGAAGUACUCCCACACUGGGAAAGACCAUCUAACAAAGAAAGUAGGAAGAAGCUAAUAACUGAUGCUGAAAAAGUGAAAAUAUAUCAUAAGUCAAACCAAGCAUUUUGUCUAACAUAUAAUCAGCAGAAUAGUCAAUUAAUACUGCACCAAGAUCUCAACAGAUAACAUUGCAUACACUUCUUAAUCAAAAGAAACAAGCCUUAAUAGAUGAAGAUAUGGAAAAGCAGGCCAAUAUAGAGACCUUUUUCUUUUUCUUUUUUUUUUUUUGGAGAGAGAGAGAGAGAUAGGUAGCACGCUACCCGCUUCGUUUAUUUGAUUUAAAAAUAAACUUAGCUGAAAAUAUAAAUCAACUAGAAUUCGAACUUAGGUCUCGGGUACCAACCACCAAAUCCUUUGCCACUUGCUCUAGAGGCUUUUAUUAAUAAUAUAAUAUAAUAUAAAAUUUAUCUGAAAUAUAUAUCAUUUUAAUUUUGAUACCCAACAUUUCAAAAUUUUAAUUUUACUAUCUAAUUUUUCAAUUCGUUUUAUUUAAAUCAGUUUAACUUUAACUUUAAAAUUUAAGCUAAGUACGUACUUUAAUAAAUUUAUAAUUGCAAAAAUUAUAUGAAAUAUACUAACUAUCUAUAAAGAUAAACGACACACUCAAAUUUAAAGUCAAACUCAUUUAAAUCAAAUAAAUUGAAAUGUUGAAUAGUAAAAUCAAAAUUUUAAAAAAACAGAUGACCAAAUCGAUAUGAUAAAGAAAAAAAGAGCUACCGUAUAUCUCUAAAUAAGAUAUAAAUUUUACACCUCAUCCAUCCGAGAGUCGAUACUCUUUUGCUAGUGUUGUCAAUUUUUUUUUCCUAAUACUAAAAACACUUCAAAAAAAUCUUAAACACUUCAAGGAGUGAAUGUAAAAUUUACACCAUAAUGAUCUACCACAAGAAAGCACUAAGAGAGAGAAACAGAGUUUUACCAUAAUAAUCUACCCAAAUAUUCCAACUACAAAAAAUAAUGCAUGGAUAAAUAUCUUGUAUUCAUCUUCUAUCUAUUGAUUGAGGUAAUCUAUAGAUAAAAAAUGUCAUUUAAAAUUAAAAAAAUGCUACCAAGAUAAACACCAAAGCUGAAGAAAACCUCAGUAAUUCUCAAAACAGUAAUGUUCGCUGUACUAUGGAAGGUUGGGCAAAAUAUUACUGAUGAUUCGGGAUUAUUUGCGUAAUCGUCAGUUGCUUUAGCAUUAUAGGUUCUUCGCCUUUUCUGGUGUGGUAAUUGAAAGUUCAAAUGCUGAAUGCGAACUCACCAAUAAUAUUUUUCGGAAUCUUCGCAUAGCAAAGCCUACAACAUUAGUACCCAUCUUUUUCAAAACGCUUUAGUCUACAUAUUAAGUACCCAUUUUUCAAAAUGUUCAUACAUGUUCAACCACUGGUGGUGUUAAGGGGCCUCGAGCUCUCAUUACUCUUACCAUUAAUAUUACCUUCUUCAUCCCUCUUCCUCUUAUUCGGCGUAGAGUGUGGAUUUGGUGGGGCGCCAUUGCAGCUCUGAUCUUUCCCGUGCUCAUCAAGCUCUUCGCCUUCACUUUCUUCUUCAUUGCUCUGAACGAAAAGUUUCGGAGUGAAUAGAGAUAUGAAAUAAUAGAAACAAACAUGAAAAAUAGGAUAUGGAAUCACAUAAAGAUUAUAUCAACCAAAACAAGAACAAUAUCAAUUAAAUGCACCCUCCCCAAAAAAUAAAAAGAAAAAGGAGAAAAUAGCUGACGAAAAAGAAGAUGAAAGUCCCAAUUAUCUGAAAAGUUGCGAGUCUAUAUGACGACUUUUUAAACAUCAGGUGCACUAUAGAUGUGUGUAAAGUUACCAAUGCGAACUUCACCUGUUGAAGUACAAAGCAAGAAUCCGGUGAAAGUUAUCUGAAAUAUGACAUAUUAAAAGUAACGAAAAGAUAUUCCAACUCAAAACAUUGUGGCAACAUAGGAGUGAGAUCUGCCAAUUAUCUAAAUUUUCCCAAACGAAUCAAUUCUGCAUAUCGGCUCAAUUCUGCAGUUCAUCAUAUCUUUCUUUACAGUUCUGCCCUAGUCAUUAGGGGCUAUGGAGAAGGUGAGAAGUGAAAACAUACUAUACCUGCAUAUUUGUUCAGCUUCCUACUCUAGUUUUACUCAAGUCAAAUUAGCACCCCAUUCUAUGAUAAGUGGGAUCAGCUGUUCAACCUCUUUGUUGCCUUCAAAAAAGUUUUAGAUCUUGUCAAGUUUACCUAAAACAACCUGCCUUGUCUUUUAGGCUUAGGACAGGUUGUACAGAAGUAAAACCCAAUCUGAUGAAAGAAUGGAACUACAAUAAACAAAUAUGAACUGAAAAAAAUCACAUCCAAAGAGCAAGCUUGUUAGAUUAAGAGCGGCGGCAUUACCCAACAAUAGUUAAAGAAUCAAAUAUAUACUCUAAUUGUUUAGCCAUAGAUAGCAUUAACCUAGAAAGAACUACUUUAGCGUAAAAGGAAUUAGUAAAACAAGAGAGCAUUAAAACACUGUUUAAUAGUAAAUUACCAAAUUGGCUAGCCAAUCCAAACAAGCGAAGAACACAUGACAAUUGUGGAUGGUGGGAUCUUGUGUAUUUGUAAAUGGGAAAUGUCAGCAUAUGAAGUGAACAUCUGCUAAAAGCUGAACAAAUAAGCAUACAACUAUUGCUACUAGUAAUAAUAAACAUUUAGGCACAUCACAUUAUAAUAAAUUCUACCAGUUUUACAGUAGAAAAUUAUAUAGAUAAUUUGUUCUUCAUGAUUAUUUGGUAUAUCAAACGAGUAAUUAAUUAGCAAAUGAACUUUAGACUGAAGGGAAAAAUGAAAAUAACGAACCCUGGAUUUUCUGGGUAAAUUAUGUUGUCAAAUACAUGCAAUAGGUUCACACAAUGCAGCAAUGAAGGACUAAACUAAACAGAUCCGUAGCAGGAUCAAAUGCAGCUAAAGAUAGUUAGAUAGAAAAGAAAACUAGAUCUCACCUCAUCGUCUUCGCCUUCUCCGUCACUCCCCUCUCCAUCCUCCUCCUCCUCCUCCUCCUCAUCCUCUCCUUCCUCCUCGUCGAUCUCCUCUUCAUCCGCCUCUUCGUCCUCUUCCUCGUCCUCCUCCUCAUCGUCCGAAUCCAACCUCUCCUUCCCAUCCGCAUCGAUCUUAUCCAGGUACUUCAACGACGGUAUCAUCCCGAACACCUUGGACCUGUAACCCUCGACCCUCGUCACUGGGCACUCGUAGAGAUCGAGGGACUCGAGCCCCAGCGCCGCGAGGGGGGCGAGGUCCUCGGCCGCCGCGAUCCGGUUGUUGGAGAGGUCGAGGUGGCGGAGCGCGGCGAGCCCCGCGGCGGCGAGCGCGGCGAGCCCUCCGGCGACGCGGUUGUCGGAGAGGACGAGGCGCCGGAGCCGCGGGAGGCGCGGGAACCCCUCGAGCGUGCAGAGGCGAACGUUGGCGAGGGAGAGGAGCUCGAGCGACGGGAACCGCUCGAGGAGCGGCGGCGCGGGGAGGCGACCGUUGGAGCACUUCACGGCGCCGUCGAGGGUUAGGGUUCGCGGCGGCGGCGGCGGCGGCGCCGCGGAGGUAGAUGGCUUGAGGGCCGCGGCUACGGCGUCCUCCCACGCCUUGUCCAUGGCCGUGAGGAUGAAACCCUAACCCUAACCCUAACCCUAACCCUAGUCGAUGGCGGCGCAGUUCACUGAACACUGACGAAGCCCUCGAGCGUCGAGAAGUAGCCGCGGAGUGUUUUGGUGCUGUUGUGUUAAAAUCCGAAGCGCCUUCGCUCCUCGUUUUUGAAGGUGAGCAUACUCUAUACACUGUAUACACUGUAUAUUAUAUUAUAUAGUACAUUAAUAGGUAGCACAAAAGUAACCAAAUUUUAAAUUUUAAAGUUUCCAAAAAAAAAAAUUUAAAUAAUGAAGUUUAGCACCUUUUUUCAUGUUCUUAGUGAAGCUUGUAUUAAUUUUGGAUUAAUUUCAUCCUCAGCCUAACUCUUUGAUUAGAAUAGAGAAUAGAAUUUUUUUAAAAAAUUAGAAACUUUGUAAUACAGGAAUAAAUUUUAAAAAUUUUAUUUAUAAUUUUUAUUUAAAAUUAGUAAUUUGAAGAAUUUCAAACCAAAUUUUAGCUGGGCGAACAGUCACCCUCCCCCACUUCAAGCCCGCUCACUUCCCGCACGCUUCCCACGUUUCCCGCCUCGCCAAUUCCCUUCUCCGACCCGUGGACCCCACGAGGCUCACACGCUCCCGCCUACAAUACCCAAAACACCCCUCCCUACUCCCGUAGUCCUCGGCUUACUCCCGAACAAAUCGCAAGGUCAUUUUAGACAUUUCAUCCCUAACUUCCCGCUUUCCGGGUUCCCAAGAACUCCAUAAAACCCCCACCCCGCCCCCCCCCUCAUUCACCCACUUCCCACACCACUCCGCCAUGGCCACUGCCCUAACCCUCCUCCUCCCCUUCUUCUUCUUCUUCUUCUUCUUCCUCACCUCCGCCAACGCCGUCUCCGGCGACGGCGGCGCCUGCGCCGCCGAGGCGGCGGCGGAGAGUGGCGGCGGGUGUCAGGACUCGGCGGCGGCGCUCCGGCUCAAGGUCGUGGCGAUCGCGUCGAUCCUCGCGGCCAGCGUGGUCGGGGUGUGCCUCCCCCUGGUCUCCCGCUCCGUCCCCGCGCUCCGCCCCGACCGCGACCUCUUCGUCCUCGUCAAGGCCUUCGCCUCCGGCGUCAUCCUCGCCACGGGCUACAUGCACGUGCUCCCCGACUCCUUCGACGAUCUCCGGUCCCCCUGCCUCCCCGACGAGCCCUGGGCGAAGUUCCCCUUCACCACGUUCAUCGCCAUGCUCGCAGCCGUCGUAACCCUAAUGAUCGACUCGCUCAUGCUGAGCUGCUACAAGAUCGGCAAUGGCGGCCACGGCGCCGCCGAGAUCGCCCUCCAGGGGGCGAGGGAGAUCUCCGUGAUCGGCAAGGAUGGUGUUGAAAUUGAAUCGGAGCGGUUGCGAAGGAAUCGCAUUAUAGCUCAGGUUAUUAUACAAAGAAUGAAGAGCACUUAGUUUUCAAGCUAAAUUUCUCUGAAAUAAUUACCAAGUUUAAAUUAAUGAUUGAUUUGUGCAGGUACUGGAAAUGGGAAUAGUGGUGCACUCUGUGGUGAUAGGGCUUUCCAUGGGAGCCUCGCAGAAUCCGUGCACCAUUAGGCCCUUGGUAGCUGCUCUUUGCUUCCACCAGAUGUUCGAAGGAAUGGGCCUCGGCGGUUGCAUCCUCCAGGUACCAAGUUGUUCGGAGAACUAAUUCCUACUGCCUCAAUAGAAUUUUUUUGGAAUGAGUUUCUGAGUCUCAAAAGUAAAAACCAAAAUCUGAUCAACUAAGAACAUGAUCAAACUGUGCCGGAUAAGGUCAGAUCGAAUCAAAGUAAAGAAAUUGAUGACCUGAAUCUAACCCAAAUUUCUGCAUUGGGCUUGACCUAACCAGUACUGUAUUGGGCCGGGCGGGCCUGGAUUUUUAUUUUUUCUAGGGUAAUUGCUCAGAUACAUGCAAUUUGAAUUUGAAUUUUUGAUAUCCAACUUUUGGUUUGCAGGCAGAGUAUGGAAUGAAGAUGAGGGCCAUCCUGGUGUUCUUCUUUGCCACGACGACCCCGUUUGGGAUCGUGCUCGGCAUCGCGGUGUCGAAGGUGUACAGCAGCACGAGCUCGACGGCGCUGAUCGUCGAGGGCGUGCUGAACGCGGCCUCGGCCGGGCUCCUGAACUACAUGGCGCUCGUCGACCUCCUCUCCGUGGACUUCAUGGGGCCGAAGCUCCAAAGCAGCGUCCGGCUCCAGCUCUUCAGCUACGCUGCGGUGCUCUCCGGCGCCGGCUUGAUGUCCCUCAUGGCAAAGUGGGCGUAAAAAUGAAGAACUAGCACGUUCAUGAAGUUUUGUUUUUCUCAUUGUUUCUUAUUGUUUCUUACUGCUUCUUUUGUUCUCUACACGACCAUUCCAGAGCAGUGUGUGGAUAGGAUAAAUAUAAAAAUAAAAAAACAAUUUUUGAUUAUCAACAUUUGACAAAAGUCAAAACAUUCAUUAAACAACACAUUCAAUCAAAUAAAAAUUUUAUUUCUAACAAAAAUUUUCACAAUAAAUACAGAACAACACUUUAGUAGCAUCUGUGGUACAGAUUUGGUGGUGGUUAAUUAUUGAGUUGUUUUUAUGUCGCUUUCAACAUUAAAAUAAAAUACAACAAAUGAAAAAGUUUGGGUGGAUGGGGGUGUCCUGCAAAUUUUUAUUCUUUUUUCUUUUUUUACAAAUAUUCCAACCUUAGAUUCUCAAAUAAAAAAUGCUCAUACGGAUAAUAAUGAUAAAUAAAUAAAAGCAAUAAUAAUAAGGUAAUGAAUGGGAAAACCCAUCCGCAUCAAUGGGGGAUCGUUCUCGGCCGCUGAUCGUGGCGAUGAAGGGCCACCCGGGGACGGGCAAAUCCACGCUCGCCCGCGGCGCCGCCGCGGCGCUCCGCCUCCCCCUCCUGGACAAGGACGACGUCCGCGACUGUACCCUCCCCCUCCAACAAUCCCCAUCCCCAUCCCCAUCCCCAUCCCAAUCCCAAUCUCAAUCACAAACCCUAGGAGGGGGAGGGGGAGUGGGCGCCGCAUCCCUGAACGAGCUCUCGUACGCGGUGCUGUGGCGCGUCGCCGAGACCCAGCUCCGCCUCGGCCUCUCCGUCGUCGUCGACUCCCCGCUCUCCCGCGCCACCCACCUCGCCGCGCUGCGCCGCGCCGCCGCGCGCUGCGGCGGCGCCCGCAUCGCGAUCGUCGAGUGCCGCCCCGGGCGCGAGCUCGAGUGGCGGCGCCGCCUCGAGGAGCGCGGCGCCGCCGCCGCCUCCGCCGCCGCGGAGGAGGAGGAGGAGUUGGGGGGAGGAGGAGGAGGAGUANAGGAGGAGGAGGAGGAGGAGGAGGAGGAGAGGGGUGGCACAAGCCGAGGACGUGGGGGGAGCUGAGGAGUCUGGUGGAGGCGUACGAGGGGCGCGCGGAGUACGAGGUGGGCGACGACGUGGCGCGGCUCGUCGUCGACACCACCGAGGAAGGGGUCGCCGCCGACGAGAUGGUCGCUCGGGUUGUGGACUUUAUCCGCUCGCUGUAGCCCGUGGACCCGCCCUACCACGUUGUCCAUGAGCCCCAACUCCUUUAUUUCAUUUUAUUUUAUUUUAUUUUAUUUUAUUUUUUUCUGGGUUUAUGUAACUAUAAUGCUUUUUUAAUUCUCUGUGGCAUGAAGGUGUAUAGUCCAUUCUCUUUGAUAAGCCCAUAGAUAAAUCAACAGCAAAAUUAAGACUUAAUCUUUUUGAAUACCCAACUACUAGCAUAGUUAGUGUACAUAAUUUUUUUUUUUUUUUAAGAGAUCAGGAUUUAUGUUCUUAGGGGUGAUGAUUCACAAACCCUUAUCACAUAAACCCUCCAUAUAAGUCAUUUAGAAAGUUGAAUACUAUAUCUUUAUUUUAAAACAAACAAGCGAGGAUUGAAUCCUAACCUUAUUAUCUCUCAUCUAUUUAUAAAUUCUUUAUCGUUUAGAUGUCCCCACUGCUACUUCGCUAGUCGAUUCAUAAUGGGGCCCAAAUGAGUUAGUCGCAGCUGGUUGGUGAGAGAGCUCUUAAUCCCUAGCAUUUUAAAAAGUGUUCAUUUUUCUAAAAAUAAUAAAAUUGUCUUUUUUCUUUCGAGAAAAAGAUAAUAUACUAUCUGCUUCGUUUAUUUUUUUACUGAACAUAUGAAUCAACUAGAAUUCGAAUUUGUAAUCUCGGAUACCAACCACCCAACCUUUUGCCAUUUACGUUAUGAACGGUUGAUAUAAAAAUUUGUCUUUAAAAUAAGAUGUAGAAGGAAUGUUUUAGUAAAAUAAAAUAAUUGAAAAAUGUUAAAAAUGUCAAUUAAAUGUUGCUCCAAAUGAAACCUUUUAAUUUGCAUUUCAACUCAAAUGAAAAGCUUUUAAUUUGCUAUUACUUUUUCGAUAGAGAUAUUAUUUCACAAGCUAAAAAAUGCCGUUUUUUAAAAUUAUUUUAUUUUUAUUUGUAGCACUAAUUAUUUUUUUAUAGAAUAUUCAGUAAUAAAAGAUUUGAAAAUUUGCAUUGAAGGAAUGUAAUGUGCCGCUAAAGUGCAGCUAAAACCUCAUUUUUUUUAUAAAAAUUGCUGAAAGAAAAUAUUAUAAUAUCUUUAUUAAUUUUACUUUUUAAAUAGUACUUUAGUAAAAAAAUAUAUAUAUUAGGCUAAAUUACAUUAAUGUUUGUCCUCAAUCUAUAAGCCGCGAUCGGUCACACUGUGGUCCUCAAAUAUUAAUGUAUUAUAAUUUCUAACUUAAAUUUUUAAUUGUUAUAAUUAAGUUUUAUAAUUCAAUUUAGUUAAUUAAAUAUGAAAGUGAUUUGUUGUUGUGAUCAUUGUUGUAACAUUAAUCAUAAUACUGAUAUAUCACUAUCACAUUAACAAUAUGUUGGUAUUUAGACAGCUAAAUUAUAUCACAAAACUUAAUUAUAAUAAUUUAAAAUAUCUGAACUAGAAUUUGAUUUAAAUUAAAGUUUAAGAUCAAAGUUUUUUAGUCUAGGAACGUCGAUGAACACGGAUAUCUGAAAUUUUAUCCAAGCAGGAUUAAUUUAUCUGAUGCUAAAUAGAUAUAGUUUAAAAUACAUGUAUAAAAAAUAAAAAUCUAACAAAUUUGGAUUUGGAUAUGGAUUUUAUUUGUAUUCGAUCCGAAUCCGAACUCGAACUCGAAUAAAUUUUACAUUAUAUAACGUAUAUAAAUAUUUGACGUUAUAUUUAAAUUUAUAAUUAAAAAAUUUAGAUUUAGUGUACUUUUUUUGAAAUAUGGUAAAAUGAAAUAAUCAUUUUCGGUUUGAAUGUUCGGAUUCAGAUUCAAAUUCUUAUUUCAAAUUUGAUGGUGGGUUCCCAUUUGUAUUUUUAGAAACUCGCAACGAAUUCGACCAGUUGACAUCUCGUAUUAGAAGUGGAGAACCAAAAUUAAAAUUUAGCCAAAGUAAUCUACCAAUGUACCAACCAAACAGACGCUAAAUAUUAAAUGUCAUUUAAUAGUUAAGGGUUUUCCGUGCGAGAAACCAAAGUAGUGGAGAUACAUAAUAUAUAUGAUUAACUUCAUACAUAUCCCUGUAAACAUAAUAAAUAGUAAAUAUAUCUUUAUAAAGUUCAACUUUUAUAUAUUGUCUCUGUAAAAAUCCUGAUAUUUUCAAAUAUGUUUUUGCCGUUAUAAUUCGUUAAAAAAAUUUAGUUAAUCAUAGAUUAAAUACUUAAUUUUAAUUAAUUUUUGAUAUUUUUACCUCUUUAUAUUAUACUGUUAUGAUUUUUGGAGGGAUAUAUUUGUGAUAACAAAAUUAAAAAUAUAAAUAGCUCUCUAAUAUAACAAAUCAAAGAAACAUAUUUGAAAAUAUCAUGAGUUUUGUAUAAAUAAUAUAUAAAAGUUAAAUUUUAUAAGUAUAAGUUUGACAUUCAUUAUAUUUGCAGGGACGUACAUGAAAUUAUCCCUACUAUAUAAAUCACACCACUUAACAACUUUCGUGAGAGCCUUCUUCUAUUUGGGCGUGGCAUUUCCCUCGUGACUCCUCUUCUUCUUUUUUUUCCCUCUUUUCUUCUUUUUUUCCCCCCUUUUUUUGGCUUUUUUAAGAAAAUUUGUUGUGAUCCGUUGAUGUGAGCAUGGCCACGGAGUUCGCUCCCACUAUUCGGUAGCUUCUUCUCCAAAUCCCGUUCCCACACUCUAAGGUAAUCGCUCUUUACCCAUUUCUCUCCCUCUAGAUCUUCGUUUUGAUCUAUGAUAUGAUGCGUUUGAGCCAUUAUUGCUUCGUGAAUUAGGGCAUUCCCCAUUUUGGGUUUGUUUUGGAGGAGAUUUCUCUGAUUCCGAUCUUUGUUUCAGGAUUUAGGUAUAUGCUUUUUUUUUUUUUGAUUUUUUGGUGGAUUAUUAGAUCUUGUGGGUUUUGAUUUGCUUGAUCUGCAUGGGGUUUGUGCAUUUUAGAGUUGUGGUAUUAGGAAAUUUGAGCUGAUCAUUUGCAAUCUGAGUAUGAAUGUGUGUUUUGGAUUUGCAAGGUAGAAAAUAUAGGAGAGGACCCGCCUAAUUUCUUAAAAUUAGGGAUUUUGUUAAAUAUGAUGGUGAUUCUAAUGUAUUUAAUUGCUGUGAAUGUUUCUCAGCUCAUGGAACUGCGAAUUUUGUUAAAUGGUAAUGGUUGAUAGCUAAUGGAGUAAUAAAUUUUAGUGAAUUGCUCAUAAAAAUUUAGAGUACUAAGUUGAGGGAGGUUUCCAUGCAAAUUUUUUUUAUAACCGAUUCUUUCGUUUUUUGUUUGAGAUGUAUGGUAUUGCUACUAUUUUCCUUUCCUACACUGAUUAGACUCUUCGGUACAGCGAUAUUCUAUGAUGCAGGGUUUUAAGUCUUCGGUCAUGACAAUUAAGUCAUAUAAAUACCAAGCAGAGGCACUGGUCCGGGACUACUUACUAGCAGAUCCAUUUGUUCCAUACACCUCUGUAAUGAGUGGCAUUUUCAUGUGCAAGGUGGUAAGUUUCGGUUUCAUUUAAUAUUGGUGUGAGUCGUAUAGCUUGAUUCUUAAUGCAGGAACUGUUAAUACAGAGGUAAACACAAGAUGAUGCGGAAAUGGAGAUAAAGAAAAUGAUUCUGCAUUUCAUUCUUGCUUCUUAUAUUACCCUAACUACUUUAAAUUAAUAGAAAAAGAAUUUCUUAGGACUUUUCACUUGUUGAUGCGACAAGCUAUCAAAAAUUAAUUGGUUGGUUAGCAGUCUAUUGUUUGGUAUCUGCUAAAGAGUUUGUUUAUGAGAAUUGAAGUAAUCUGCGAACUUACGACUACCAAAGGAAGCUUGGUGAUUAAUGGAAACAAAUAAACUGGUUGGAGAAAAACUGCUGUAAAUUGCUUCUGAAUGCCAAUGCAAGUAAAGAGGAGUGACCAAAUUAGCCCUAUUUAUUUUUCUCAAUUCAGACUAAUGGAAGCAUAAAUACUAAAUACGAAUGGCAAGGAAUACAAUAAUGAUUCAUCACAAUUCUAAUGAUCAUCAUAUGAACCUUGUAAUUUUUUACUGGAUGGUUAUUCAGUUUUCCAUAUAUAUAGCUAGUUUCAUGUUGAUCUGUUUGGUUUGAUAUGUUGUUGAUUGCUAGUCAAGUUCUAGUCGCCUUCCAGUAGAGAUACUGCUCUAAUUUUGGCUUUCAUUUUUUCCGAUUAUAAAGUUUAUUUUCUUCUUUCUCAGGUGUACGAUUUGACAAAAUUAGUCAGCUCAUUUUACUUCAAGGGCUAUGAUUCCCUUAUGAAGAUCCAACGAAUGGAGUGGAACAAUAGGUGAGAACAGAAUUGAUUACUUUCUGCACUCCACACCUUAUGAAAAUCCAACACUCUUUAACUUACAUCUGCUUGUACCAUUUUGCAGGGGCAUGUCCAGCGCUCAUGCCAUUUUUAUCACCAUUAUGUCAUUUUACCUACUCUUCUUCUCAGAUCUGUUCUCUGAUCGCCUCGAAGGACCAGUUACAUUUCGAAGUUCGAAUAUCUCCACUUUCUCGUUAGGGGUAAGAGUUGCCUUUCACUUUUGUUACAAUCUUUUUUUUUUCUUUGUGUCUAUCUUCGGUUUGUCUUCCUAUGCGAUGUAACAAUUUGUGACAAGGCAUGAAAUCUUCUUUUGGAAAAAUGGGGGCGUUUUUGGGAGUUCAAAGGUGUAUCUAAGAACUAAGUUUAGUAAGGCCUAUUAAUGCUGAGAUACAUUACCCAGUGAUAACUAUGCAAUAUCCAAUUUCUCUUUUCUGAUUGCAGUCUAGGAGUUUGAUUUUAAUUUACUGCAAAGUCCUUUCAAAUAUGUAUUUUUUUUGCUUUUUGUUUUUUGUCAUAAUGCAUUUAACCUGAAAUGUGAUUUAUCAUAUUUGGAUAAACAUGACUCAAUGGCCGUUCAUGUUAUCCUCUUAUCUAAAUUUUUAGUACUCCCCGGCAGCUAAUCACCACAACCUCUUGAGUAAACAAAAGAGAUGCUGAACAAGAUGUUCAUGCAUCCAAAGUCCGAGCAGGCCGUGAGCAUAUAUAUGAAAUUCUGAUUUUGUAGGGAUAUAUAUAUAUAUAUGGAGUAGAGCUACUAUACUCUUAUGAGUAUAGAGCUCUUUGUACUCAUAGGUUGUUUUUGAUGAUGGAGCUUCCGAAUCGACGAUCCACUCUGUUAAAUAUGAUCGAGAGUAUUUGAAACUUCUAAUUUGUAAUUUUUCGAAAUCAUAAUAAAAUCCAUCAAGCAGGCAUAAAAUGAAUGGUCAAAAUAGAACGGCGUACUAAAAAUAGAUGAUCGGAUCCUUCAAUUUAAGAUCGGAGUUAUUGAUCUUUAUCUAGAUAGUAAAUAGAAUUUUCUAUCAAAAAUUCAACUGAUUUUGAUUCUUUUACACCGUUAAACUAGCAAGUAUCUCAUACCGACCAUUAAAAAUUGUCAAUUUUGAGAUCUUUUGAUCAUAAGGUAAAUAAUGUCAAAAAAUUAUAAACUUUGAUUUCUAGAAGUUUUAAAUGCUCUAGAUAAUAUUUAACGGUAUCGAUCAUCAAUUCGGAAGCUCUAUUAUUGAAAAUGACUUACGAGUAUAAAGACGAUCGUAUUCAUAAGAGUAUAGUAGGCGGACUCUCUCUCUCUCUCUCUAUAUAUAAAUAGUUUAUUUUCUGGGGCUAUGUGAUGCUGUUUUUUUUCCUUUCCCUCGAUGUUACGAGUGCAAUCUGAUUUCCGGCAGGUUUCAGUUGGGUACUUCAUCACUGACCUUGCAAUGAUAUUCUGGCUCUUCCCUUCGCUCGGCGGAAUGGAAUAUGUUAGUAAUCUUCUUCGAAGCAUCAUUUAGCAAUGAGUGUAUAAUCUAAUUAGAGUAAUAUUUUAUUCCUUCCCAUGUAAAUCCUUUAUGUUUGGUGCAGUUAUAAACUUAUAAUUUAUACAAAUGGUUUUAAACAGUUGAUUGUAACCUAUUAUUAACCAAUAUUAUUAUAAUUUUUAAUACAGGUUGUCCACCAUAUGCUUUCCACAAUUGCAAUAGUUUAUGCUAUGUUGUCGGGGGAAGGACAGUUGUACACUUAUAUGGUUCUUAUCACGGAGACAACCACUCCAGAAAUAAACUUGAGAUGGUAUAAGGGGAUAAAACAAAUUACUAGGGCAACCAAACAGAUGCUUCACUACUAAAAAGUUAUUUUCACUUGUAACUUAUCUGCUUGUUUCUAUCUUGAAGGUUUCUUGACACGGCAGGAAUGAAAAGAUCCGUCGCCUAUCUAGUUAACGGCAUAGUGAUGUUUAUCACAUGGCUGGUAAGUUGGUUGUUGUUUUUCUUUAGUCUUUUGUUGUUUGAACUUUAAGAUUAUGUCAUAAGCCAAGUACAAGAAAAAUAGCUAGUAACUGACGUAAUUGAGAUUUAAUAUUUUUGCACCCAUAUAAGAUGACGUGUGAAAAGUCAUAUAGUUUUACUGAAUCGGACAUUUAUUUUUCUGCAUACUUGCGGAUUUGGGACUGCAUAUUAUUUAUCAUGCUUUAUAAAGAAUGCUUAUAUAUUUGGUGUUCUAAAUUUUGCAGGUGGCGAGAAUACUGCUUUUCGUCUACUUGUUUCAUCACAUCUAUUUGCACUAUGAUCAGGUACUUGAUCUUCACUCUUCAUAUGAUGUCGUGAAUAAUAAUACGCCAAAUGUUUGGAUAACCUUUGUGUUAUUAUUUUAUAUAUUUCCGACAGGUUCUUCAGAUGCAUAUCUUUGGUUAUGUGCUGACAUUUCUGGUGCCAUUUGUGCUGUUUGUCAUGAACACGUUCUGGUUCGGAAAGAUCUUAAAAGGACUUAAGAAAACAUUGUCCAAGCGUCGUUGAGGAUCUGAGUUUGUCCCAAUCUAUGAUCAUUCCUACGCGGUUUUACUUUUUCUUUUUUUUUCUUGUUCCUGUGUAAAGUCGAUGGAUAUAUAAGGUGGGGGAAACAAAAAGAGAGGUAAAUAGAAGAGGGUUUAGCGUAGUGUGGCUUUGUGCUGCUCUUUGUGGCUUAAUUGCUGUAUAUGGAUACGAAUUGCGUUUUCUUUCGAGUAAAAUUCCUGUCGUAGUUGUUGUAUUUUUUUUUUGAGAAAACUUCAAAUACCAUCCUGUCAUUUCGCAUUUUCUCACAUUAGUAUCCUAUGGUUUAAAGUGUAUCAAUUUAGUAUCCUGUGGUUUUAUUUAUUUAUUUUUAUUAUCUGUUUUACUAAUUUUUUUUUGUUAAAUUAUUAAUAAAGUUAAAACUAAAGGGUACUAAAGUGAAUAUUCUAUAAAUAUAGGUAGGGUAUCUGAAGUUUUUUUGUAUAUAAUUUAAUAAAAUAUUAACGGUGGAGCUGACGAAAAGAAAAAAAAAAUGAAAUCAUAGAGUACUAACUUAAUACACUUUAAAUUACAUGAUAUUAAGUGAGAAAGUGUGAAACUGUAAGAGUGAUAUUUGAAGUUUAUUAUUUUUUUUCAACUUAUGACAAGCUCUUUGAUCGAUUUUCUAACGGCAACUUUGGUGAUCUCUCUCUCAAAAAAUUUUAGACUAAGUAUUCAAUGUUUGUAUGUAUACAAAUUUUUUAUCUAAUAAUAACUAGAUAUGUUCACGUGGUAUUAUUUAUGGAAAUGAAUAAGAUAUAUUUUUUUUAUCCUACAAUAUAUAUUCUCUAUAAUUUUCGAUGGAGCCCAUUAUCUCCAUUGGGAUGGGGAGAGAUUGUAUUAAGCUUAAUAAAAAAAUGUGAUAAAAAAUAAAAUUAUAAAAAAAAUAAUUAUUUUGUUUUUAUAUGUAGUAUUGUCUUUUGGCAAUAGGCAGUUAAAAUAUAUUUUCCACAAUUUUAUUAAAAAUUUAAAAAUAGAAAAAAUAUUUUUAUAUAUUUUCAUUCUAAUUUAUUUUACCUAUUAAUAUUAAAUAAGUCUUAAUCAAGAAUUAAAAUGCUUAUCGGGAUGGACUGUAUCUACUGUGUCGUAUCAUGUCAGCAAAAUAUCGGCACGAUACAGUUCCUAUACCGAUGGCAAAAUUCAAAGCCCUCUUUUUUUGAAAUUAGUUAAUAAUUUUUUAAUAAAACUUAAAAAAAUUGAUAAAAAUACGUAAUAAAUAAUUGACAUAUUUAAUUGCUAAAUAAAUAAAUAUUUCAUGUCACGAUUCGACACGUACUAUGCCGAUAAGUUUCGGACGCGAGGCUCUUAAAUCCUUGGUCUUAUGAUAAACAGCUCAUGUGGAAUAAAUGAAUUGCAAACUAUACUUCGUUACUUUGGGGUACAUUCUGGGAAACCCAUAAAUCUACUCUCCUCGUCCAGCGAAUCCGACACUCCAUUUCCAAAACCCUUCCCUCGUCACCCCUUCCUCCUAAAUUUACGACCCCAAUCCACACCAAAACCCUUAUUCUCUUCCUCUACUACCCGAAUUUCGUCGCCUCCCCCUCUCCGAUGGCCUCCAAUGGAGCUACCGCGGUAGGUUUUCGCCAUGUCAAUCACUUCACAUUCAGAUCAAAUCCAUGCCAUUGUCGUGGUUUUACCAAAAAGAAAAAAUUGGUGUUUUUAGAGAGUUGGAGACGCGGAGAGUAGCUUGGAGAAGAUAAAGCGACAGCUUACUUCAUCCUCAGGGAGGUAUCUGCUCCAGGGCCCGCUUCUUAAGCGAUCUGAAAUGGUGAGGCACCCGAUCCAUUUGCGUUUCGUGGGAAUUGGAUUCAUCAGGUUCCUUUUGCGGGAUUUUUAAGAUAAAAUUUUGAUUUUUUUUUCUUUUUUAUUUUUGGUGCUCUAAGAUCCGUGAUCUUUCUCUUCUUCUCGCUUCUGGGGAUGUGUUUGAUGCUAUUGAUCCCUCCUGGGGUAUUAAAAUGAUGCUGUAGUGGAGUAUCAGAGUUGUUGGUUAUGAAAAUGGUUGCUCUUUGAUCUCUAUGAAUCAUUAAGUAUUCAAAUGACACUGAGUUCAAACAAAAUUUAUUCUGUGAAAUUGAGUUCCUAUUGGGGUUCUUCUUUGUGUGAAAUCAAUGAAUCAUGCUCACAGAAAGAUGAUAUGCUCAUAAUUUGACCUCGCACGAGAAAAAAAACAUGAAAUAGUUAGCAAAAAUAUCAAUUUUAACAGAAGUAAAUGGAUUAAUAAGUGCCUCAGCAGCAGUAUGUACCAACAAGAAGGUACAUGGGAGGAAAAAAAACUUACAAAAACUGCUGUAUAUUGGAAUUGGAAUUGGAAUUGGAAUUAAUUUCACAGCAGUUGUUCAUUCUUUCUGUUUAAUAUCUGAUAUCUAGAAGGGGAGUCUAAAAGCUUCUCCAUUGUUGUUACGUGUGCGAAUUGUAGAAACACACUUUUUAAUGUGAGUUUAAAUUGUACAUAUAUAUGACCCUCGCUGUAUCCUCAGUAGUUGGAAUCUCAUGUACUUGUUUUUUUUUUCAAAAAAAAUUUUAAUACAGUAUCCCUAUUCAUCUAACUUUGAAAUGGGUCUUAUUAAUUUCUCCCUUUGGAUGCUAAAUAUAGCAAUGAUUGGCGCUCGCUGUUACAAUUCCAAUUUUUAGUUGCUAAAUUUUAUUUCUUUCUUUUUUAAUAGCUGAGGAAGUGGAAUGAGCACUGGGUGAUCUUAGACCCCACUAGUGGGAAGAUGGAAUACAAGUACGGCAUUCUGGGUGCAUUUUGUUUGGAAGUUCUUAACUUGAAACUUGGUGAAUAUUUGAUCUUAUUUAUGUCGUAGGACUGGGAGAAAUGCAGCAGUUAUUAAGGGAAAUAUCAUAUUUGACUCAACGAGCACAAUCACAUUGUCCCCUGUGAAUUUCCAGUAUGCAGUUGCUUCUUUGCUCGUCAUAUUAGAAUUCGUUAUUGCUAUCUAGCAAAUGCCAAACGGCCUUUUGAAACAUUCUUGUUUAACUUGUGCAGUGGAUCGCCGAAAUAUGAUGGCUGCUGUUUCUGUAUCCAUAUGCUUUGCCUUCUAAAUGGCUGGACUUUGUCUCUGCUUUAAUCUGUUUGUAUUUAUGUACCAUCCUUACAUUAUACUAAUUUUUUGUAAGAUCGCCUUUCUGGUAUCUCUUAACUAAAUUGCCAGAUAUUGGAACUCCACAGAAAAAUGAUUAUUUCCUUUGCGCUGAAACUCCCGGUGCUGCAAGAGCUUGGGUAUCCACUUUACAGUAAGCUUGUGUAUCACUUGUGACUUUUAUUAUGUUUUACAAUGCGCUGUACUGUAGUUUUUGUGGCUUGCAAGCUUGUUAUGGGCAUAUUUUCUUUGCUAAUAUAUGUUGUAGCUGAUAAUCCAUUAUCUUUCUCUAGUUUCUGAGAUUCUUGCUUGUCAAACAGUGCGACUCAGUUGGUACUAGAGGCUCAUAAAGAGGCAGUGAAUUCAUUGUCCGGGAGUGGUUCUUCCAAAUUUGGAACAGUUACUACCGUAAUUGCUGCUGCUAAUGCAACUGCAAGGGAAGCAUCGAAGGAAAUAGAGGCAGCAAUGAAGAUUUCAAUGAGAGCAGCUGUAAACUUUGUGACAAAUAAGACAUGUGAAGGUCAUUUGGAUGAUCUGACAAUCAUGAAGGUGUGCCUUUUCUUUUAACUUCAUUUAGAUUAGUUAUUACCUAAACAUCUUGCACUCAAAUUCAAUUUUCUUUAUUUCUUGAAUACUGAGUAUUGGAUCAUCGUCUCAUUAUUCUCCAUGUGAUAAUAGUGCCUGUUGGGUUUGGCUUCUUGUACGUCUUUCAUACUUUUGGAAGCAGGUGAUUGGUAGUUUCUUUAGCUUUUUAGGUCCAGAAGAAAAAACUCCAAUUUGAAGCUUUUGCUUCUGUUGCAUCAAAAAGUGGUAGAUAAGGGGUUUUUUUCUUUUCUUUUCUUUUUUUUUGGAAAAACUAUUACUGCUUUGAAGAGCUGUACUCAAACAAAAAUUUUACAGAAGCUCGACUCAACCCAAAAACAGGCCUUAAGUGGAAAGCAAGUAGUUAAAUGGACAUUCUGAGGAUUGGAACAUCUUUGCUUGUUUUUGAAGGGGCUCCUAAAGAGUAAGCAGAUGCUGGACGUGUGAAGAAAGGUGGAUUUAUUUAGUUUGUGGAAACAAUUUUCUUGAUAUAUGCUUUAUUAAAUUUAUAGUCAUUCGGCACUCCAUGUUGUUCAUUGGCUUCAAAUUUUCCUUGGGAGGAGAAACUGGAAGCUAACAACCAAGCUAGUUUUAGUAUUAGUUAGCUCUUAGUAAGCAGCUGACAUCAUGAAGUGAUAGGCCUGAUUAAAAAUGCUUCCGUCAAAAUUUUUGUGUGAAUUUUGGUGCUCUAUAUUUAUUUUCUACAGGAGACCAUUAGAGUGAAAGAUGAGGAGUUACAACAGUUAUCUAAGGAUAUUCGAGCUCGAGAUUCCACCAUUAGAGAUAUAGCUGAUAAACUAAUGGAGACCGCGGAGGCUGCUGAAGCUGCUGCUUCUGCAGCUCAUUCAAUGGAUGAAGAGAGAAAACUUGUACUCGCACAUCUUGAGUACCUGAAAAAGGAUUUGCAUCAACGACUAGAGUCAUCUUCAAUUAAGGUGACAUACAACUUAGUCACUAAUAGAAGAGGCUUUACUUGCAUUUUUCUACUUUGUGUUCAAGCAAAUAAGUUGUGCUAAUUUCUUGUGUUUGUACAUGAAAGAGAAUGAAUCUUCUUAUGCUAAUCACUUUGCUACUGUAUUUUCAGUUAAGAGAGUUUGAAGAAAAAGCUAUAGUCCUUAGUAAAGAGAAAGAGCUUCUGCUGAAAGAAAGAGAUUCUGCCGUUCAAGAAGCACAUCAGUGGCGCUCCGAGCUAGCAAAAGCUAGAGAACGUGCUGUGAUUUUGGAAGCAGCUGUCAUUAGAGCUGAAGAAAAAGCUAGGGUUGCACAAGCAGAUGCCGAAACUCGUAUUAAGGAAGCUGCAGAAAAACUACAGUCUGCAGCAAAAGAAAAGGAAGAACUACUUGCCCUAGUGAAAGUUUUGCAAUUACAAAUCGAGAGGUUUGCUUUAUGAUUUCAUGUACUCUAUUGGAUUUCUUUUGCUUCUAAAGUACAAUUCAAACUGUCUCUAAGUUCUAUUUUUGUACAUGUAGAUUGCAUGGAUAGAAUAAUAAAUAUUCCAUCUUUGAAGUUAAUCAGAACUAGAUUACAUAUUUCUCGACAGACAACAAAGUAAUUCAAGACAGAUCUGUGAAGAGAGAUCCGAAUUGUGCUCCUACACCGAUAUUUCUCCUUCAUCAACAAAAUGUGCGGACUCUUCAGAGGAUGAUGUGGACAAAGCUUGCGUAAGUGAUUCGAGAUCGGUUUUAGUUUCUGAGGAGGAGAGCGCAGUCCAGUUUGCGGCUGAAGGAGUUGAAAUACGUACAGUUGGCGAUGCCGAGUGGGAUAAUCUUCAAUCAUCAUCAAAUGUAAGGAUUGCUGAUGUGAGGGAAAUAUCCCCCGAGGCCGAGGGAAGCAGCUUGGAUAUUCCUGUUGUAACCCAACCAGUUAAUGAUGUUCCUCAUGUUGGGAGCUCUUUGUAAUAGUCAUGGCAUCUUGUAAUGCUAAAACAAGGAGAGAAUUCUUUCUGAUUCGAUUGUCGAGAAAGCGAAAGUCAAUGGGUGUAGCUUGGAUAUGCUAAAUUGGCGGCAGAUCAGUUCAGGCUACUGAGAACAGAGGUGGUUCUCUCUUAACUUUGAUGCUCUUGUAGCCUAUUUAUUGCCACAAAUCUCAUUUUGCCGACUAUCGGGAAUUGCAGAAUAAAGGUGUCUGCUACUGUAUGAGAUUCUGAAAACAAUAGAGGUUUCUGUUGUGAGAUGAUUUUGUGAGGCAGCUAUUUAUGUAACUUUUAUUUAUAUGAAUGUAAUUGUGGAUGUGUAGAAAUUUUUGUUGCCCCCCCUUUUAUUCUACUGGGUACUUAACAUGUUGCAGUUGCAUCAUUUUAAGAAACUGAUUCAAAAAUCUCUUCUUUAAGCAUCAUAUACUUCAAAUUGUAAAAUUCUGCCUUCUCCAAUGUUGCUACAUUCAUGUUCUUUUAAGUCACGUUCGUGUUUGAGUACGGCGCGUAAUAUAAAACAUGUUAACCAAUUUAUUCUUAUUAACCUUAACAUUACUGGUUGAUUAGAAAAAAAAAAAAAAACAAAAAAAACUAGGGAGUUUCUAGGAGGGGAUUUAUGUAAAAUGAAAGCGGCAAUUCAAGCUCUUGCGCCAUAAAAUGAAAGCGGCAAUUCAAGCUCUUGCGCCACCGACUUAAAAAUAUGUCACGGAGUCGCAGUAAAAACGGCAAAACAUCCUUCUGAUCACCGACUUCUCCGACUAGUGUCCAGUAGAGUAUCGCCACGUGUUCAGUUGUAGCAAGUUUGUACGACUGAUGUCGUAGGAGAAUUCGCUCCCGUUGUCCGCGAAAUGAUUUUCCAAGAUAUCUGAUCUUCGUACGUCCGUCCGAUCCGAGAUCAACGGUCCAAAUGUCUUCUGCACCUCCUCCAAAUUUCCUAUUUCCCUGUAACUCAUUUCCGGUUCCCUGCAAGAUCCGAGAGGCGGCGCACACCGCCAAUUUCUUUUUCUUGGAGCCAAAGCAAAAGCCUACAACGGUCCCUGUUAUUAAAAAUAAAAACCCCACCUUUUCUCCUCUUCUCCUCCACAACACCUCUCUCUCUCUCUCUCUCUCUCUCUCUCUCUCUCUCUCGGGGAGUUUAAGGUAUUCGAUCUCUCUCUUUUCGAAAUUUCGAUUAGCUUUUGAUCACAUUAUGUUGAACUAAGUGCUAUUACACGAAGUUUGUAGCAUCAAAAUUGUGAUUUUUAUUGGCUUUUUAUAAGCUUUUCUUCAAGUUUGAGUGUACAUGCAAGCUAUUUUUCUCUCUUUGUGCGUUUUUAUUGGUCUAACUUGCGUCCUUUGUUUGCAGCUACUAAGAUUUCACGGAUUGGUGUGUGGAUUUAGCUCAGUUCAUGGUAAGAUGCUUCAAUUCUGAGUCUUUUAAGUGGUGCAUUUUGUGUUUCAUUGCAAUGCCCACUAACUGUUUGAUAGGGGUUCAUAGUGUCUACUUCGAUUGCUUUUAGCCAAUGUGUUAUUCUUUGGUGAUUGUGGUAUGAUUUAAUUAUCGAUAAUUCGUUGCUUAGCUUUGAUAAAAACCAUACCAUGAUUUUAGUUUUUGCUUAAUGUUUAUGAUGAUGUGCUUGGCAUUUUAUGGGCUUCCGUAGUUGGUCACUUGUAGUAAUUCCCCUGUUGAUUGUAUGUAUCUGAUUUGUAAAAUCAUCUGUAUAGUUUUGAUGUUGGGCUAAUACUUGUAUAGAAUGUUGAAGUAUUGAACACCUUUAGAUUGUUCUUCUUGUAGUUCAUUAUCUCAUUUGUCAUGUUAUUUUUCCUUCAUUUCAAAGUAAACAUGUAGAGAAUUAGAGAUGAAGUGAGGGGUAGCUCAAUUCCAAAGUUUUGAUGAAUUAGUAGUUUCUGCAUUAUCCUAGAAGAAGUAAAAUGUGACAUGUUAUUGUGUCUUUCUAUGCUAUUUCCUCUAUCUAUCUUAUGAUGCAUUCUGUUUUGUGUUUGUGCAUGUGCUUUGGAUUGCCAGAUGACUUAAAAGGCACUUUUUAGUUGGAAGAAAAUCCGGUACUACUAAUGCAUUCAUCUUCAAGAUGUGCUACCCCUCACUUUGUUUCUAGUUUUGCACUUCACCGUUUAGUUUAUUCCUGCAAUAUCUGAAAUCAAAUGCAAAAAAAAAGAUUUUUUCUGGGUAAAAGAAGUUAUUCCUCGCGCAAUGUGCGAAAAAAUUCUUGUAUAACAUCCUUUUCUGACCUCCAGUUUUUCCACUGUUGGUAUCGUCCUGCAUUUCUUUAGUGAACACUUUCUUUGGCAAUCUAUCAUUGUUUGGAAUCAUCAUUCAUUUUUGCGAUGUAAACUUACUAAUUUCUUCUCUCUUCUUUCCUUACCCCGCCUUUGCCAAUUCAGACGACUCCUUUAGUUGCUGGUUUAACCGUAGCAGCAGCUGCUUUGGGAGGCAGAUACAUGAUUCAGGCAUGGCAAGCAUUUGGUGGUCGUGCAGCGGUUCCUCGGGUACGGAGGUUUUACCCUGGUGGAUUUGAGCGGCAAAUGACUAGAAGAGAAGCGGCAUUGAUCCUUGGCAUUAGGUAUAUGUCUCUCUAAAGCUUACGUCAAGUAAAUUGAUUUAACUUAUAUUAACUACUUUUGGCUCCUUUGGGGACAAAUUUAGGUUGGAUAACUUUUAUAUCUCCAGUUUAUCCUGAUAUCCUGGAAUAAUCGAUCACCAAAAUAGUUUUACGUUUGCUUUAACAUUAGUGGGUUAAUUGUAAUGACUCUGAAUAAAUGAAACAAAGUGAGGGAUUUUAGAAUAACACGGAUGGACCGGAAUUUCUAUUUCUUCUCAAAAGUGUAUGUAGCCUUUGACGGACGAUGGGAUAACUUGGGUUUUCCUUUUGCUGUCCCCUAAACAAAAUGCGACCUAAGCCAAUAAUAUAUUAUGAUGGAUGUAAUUAGAACCGAGUCUCGUUCUGUUGUUUCAGGGAGCAUGCUGCAAUGGAGAAGAUCAAAGAGGCUCACAGGAGAGUGAUGAUUGCUAACCACCCUGACGCCGGAGGAAGCCAUUAUCUCGCUUCGAAGAUUAACGAGGCAAAGGAUGUGUUGGUCGGAAAAGUAAAGGGUGGCGCCUCCGUCUUUUAGUCGCAGCAAGGUGACAUCAAGAUUACACACACUUAUUUCUUUGGACUAUAGAGAAAUCACUAUAAAUUGGAGAUGGCAACAGCAUGACAUUCUUUUCAUAGCUCCUGAUUAGUUGUCCUGUAGUCAGGAACAGGAAUCACCAUUAAUGAUUAUAAAAUGUUUAUCAUCUAUGAUUUAGAGCAGUGAGUCAUUCUAGUAGUAACCAUGGCACAAAAACAACAAUUUAAAGCCUUAACUACACUUGACUACAAUGGUUCUCUCUUUAUCUCUCUCUCAAACACACUUAUGCACACACUGUGGAGAAUGUGAAACAACUAUUUUCUGCUUGAGGUAUUUGAGAAAAAUGAUUGUUUUAUAUGCCAUCGUAAUCUGAGGUUUCGAGUUCAAGACCAUUCAAGCUUCUGGUCUCAUUUAAUUUUUUUCGUGUAUUUGAAAAAAUAAUAAUAAUUUGUGUUUCACAUGGCUUCAUAUCAUUCUAUGUUCUUGGUCUUUAAGGUAUCGUUUGGUUCGGAUAUAAAUAAGAACUGUCUAUUUCAGAGAUAUGUAUAAGUUUAGGUGUAAACAAGAAUUAAAUUAAUUUUGUAUUUGGAUGAAAAUUGGGUUGUUUCCUGGAAGAAGAAAAAUAAUGUUUGGAUAGAUAAGAUAGAAUUAAAAGGAUAGUAGAUAGUUAUAAAUAAAAAAUAAUUAUUAUAAUAAAUUUAUAAAUUUUAUAAAAAUGCUACAUAAACUUAAAUUUAUUAAAAAUAAUUUAUUAUAAUAUUUAAAUAUGAUUUAUUAUAAAAUUUAAAUAUAAAUAAUAUGUAUUAAUAUAGCAUAAUUAAUAAUUUUAUAAUAAAAAUAAUAUAUUAUAGUAUAUAACAUAUUAUAUUUAUAUAAUUUAGUUUUAAUUCAAUUUAUAAUUUUAAUGAAGUUUGAAAGAACUAUUCCACUAAAAUGGUGGAAUAGUAAAUUCCAAGCUAUUCCGGGAUAGCUGGAAAUAGCAAGAUUUGACCGGGAUAGAAUAUUUCGGCCAAAAAUCAUUUCGUUUAGUGGAAUAGCGGGGAUAACUUUUGUUAUCCUGUUUAUAUUCCGAACCAAACGGGGCCUAAACAUAAGAGGGAUAUAACUUAUAAUCUAUAAGCCUGAUUUUUAGUAGCCUAAGUAUACGUAGAUAAAAGGAUUGGUUUUACAGAGAAAUGAGAAAAAUUUAUUAUGGGUCUUUCUUUCUUUUGUUUCCCUUUUUUCUGAGUGAAACAUUGUGCAAGUUUUGCAUAUUCCAAAUGGGAAUAAGAAAUUGUGGUUAAGAGACAAUAAAUUUCUACUAUGUUCUGUACUCAAAAGAAUCAAAAAAGAAAAAAAAAAAAAAAGAAUCUGAUAAUGCAAUGUAGGGAUUGUUGUAGAACAUGAAAUCCAUGCAAUAGGAAAUUUGGCAAAUAAUAAAGUGAAAAUGUACUUUUGUAUUAUGUAACUAAGUAUAGUUGGGCCCAAUUUGAAGUAAAAUGAAGGGUUAAUUUCAUAUAUAUUCCUACAAAUAUAGUGAAUGACAAAUAUAUCUCUACAAAGCUUAACUGUCAUAUGUUGUCCCUACAAAAAUCUUGAUAUUUUCAAAUAUGCCCCUUUGGUUUGUUAUCGUUAGAGAACCGUUUAUAUUUUCAAUUUUACCAUCAUAAAUAUAUUCCUCCAAAAGUUAUAAAAGUAUAAUAUAAAUAGGUAAAAAUGUCAAAAAUUAAUCAGGGUUAAGUAUUUAACCCAUGGUUAACUAAAAUUUUCUAACGGAUUCUAACGGCAGGAGCAUAUUUGAAAAUAUUAGGACUUUUACAAAAAUAUUAUAUGAAAGUUAAACUUUGUAUGGAUAUAUUUGCCAUUUAUUAUGUUUGUGGGAACCUGUAUGAAGUUAAUCCUAAAAUGAAUCACAGCUGCACCACUAAACUAUAUAGUCUGCAGGCGACUAAAUUAUUCUGGUAAAUCACACAAUUAUGCCAAAACUUAAAAUUGAAUUUCUGAAAGAAGCAUAAACCUCUGCCUGUGUAAAAAUUAACUUUUUUAUAAGCUCCAUUGAUUGGAUGUAAAUAAACCCUUACAAGUUACAAAUUUAGAGUCAAGUUGAACCCAAAAAGAAUUAAAAAAAAAGAAAAAGAAAAAGAAGAAGGCUCUUUAAUUUGGAGUCCUUGAAACUAAUAGUGAUAAAUUCUACAAUUAUUAUUAUUAUUAUUACUUGGUCAGGAGUUUCGUCUCCUACAUCCCCUAACUCCAAGUUCUCCCACUAAAUUCAAACGCAAGCUCUAAUAUUUUCAAAUUUUUCUCCAUAUUUAUAUUAUUACUGAAGAUCCCCGUGAUUUGACUUUAACCUGCAAUCGAAGAUUUACACUUGAAAAAUCGUUUUGGAUGAUGUCGGAAUAUUGAUCUUAUAUAACUUCAAUCUGUUAUCUUUUGCUUUCAUCUAUUUGAAUUAAGUUUAUUAUAAAUGUUUAAAUUCCUAUACACACACAGACAUGCCUAGUCUAGGAGAAACAAAAAAAAAAAAAAAAAAAAAAAAAAAAAAAAAAGUACUUAUUUGUCAAGAGUAUUACUCUUCUAGUCUAUGAUACAUAAAAAGGCCAAAUGAAAUGGUCCUGAUCAUCUUGGACUCAAAAUGUGGCUAAACCCAGUCAUGGUCUAAUGGGAUGGCUAUGAUAUAUACCAAAAAGACAAAAGAAAAAAUCAACCCUAAAGAAUAAAAUCCAUAUGAAAGAAGAAUUAACACACAAGUCAUUUUAUCACUACAUGCCUUAUUAAAGGAAGCAAUUAUAUAUGUAUUAUUAUUAUUAUUAUUAGGGAAAACUUCAAAAACCUUCCUUGUAGUUUCACUCUUUCUCACUUUAGUAUCAUAUGGUUUAAAGUGUAUCAAAUUAGUAUUCUGUGGUUUUGCACUUUCUCACUUUAGUAUCCCAUGGUUUAAAGUGUAUCAAGUUACUAUCCUGUGGUUUUGCAUUUUCUCACUUUAGUACCCUAUGGUUUAAGUACCCUAUGGUUUAAAAAUCAUAGGGUAUUAACUUGAUACAAAAAUAAAAUCACAGGGUAUUAACUUGAUAUACUUUAAACCACAUGGUACUAAAGUGAGAAAGUGCAAAAUCACAGAGUACUAACUUGAUACACUUUAAACCAUAAGGUACUAAAAUGAAAAAGUACGAAACCACAGUGGGAUUUUUUUGAAGUUUUUCCUUAUUGUUAUUAUUAUUAUUAUUUUGGUUCAACAAAGUCAUGAGUCAUAUAUGCUCAUAUAAGAAAAUUAACAUAGCCGGGGUUUUUGACUGUUCGAAAUUAACCUCACUUUUCUUUGCUUAAUUGUGCAGUUAUAAUAAAUUAACCGCACGCUAAGUCGCUUUAGCGCCAUCACUUUUGAAAAGGAAUAUAUCUACAAAAAAGAACUUCAUAUUUCUUCAUAUUGAUCAGCAUUUGAAUACAUGAACUUUUAGCACAUUUAGAGAGUAUUAGUUUUUCAUGAACAUGAAAAAGUGUUCUUUAUCAAAUGACUUUUACUUGCUGUGCAUUGGAGUUAACUUAGUCUUCAAAUUCUCAAGUGGAUGAAGAAAAAGAAAGCAUUGCUAUAAAGUCACAGUUGCCAUAGAAAAAGAAAAGAAGUGAAAUUACUGUUUCAUUUUAUCACAAGAACAUCUUUACAAAAAAAAAAAAAGAAAAAGAAAAGAAAAGAAAUUAUCACAAACUAUUUAAAUUUGGAGGCAAAAAUUAGAAGAGAGAGAAAAAUAAUUUAGUUAUGGGUAUUAAUUUUAAUUUUUCAUGUAUUUUAGGUGAAAGAGGCAACACAAUAAUUCUCACAAGAAGGUUAAUUAGCCAGUCUCAAUCAUACUGUUAAUUUCCUUAUAUUUUAAGUUUUAUAAACUAACUAAUAAAACUGUUCUAUGGCAAAUGAAGUUUUAUUUUUCUUUCAUUUUUUCCAUCCUUUAUGUUCCCAGCUUCCUAUCUAGUAAACUCUUGUAUUACAUCAAUUUUUAUAUUGCUCGAGAAUUAAGAAGUUAGCAAUUUAGAAAGAGAUUCUCUCUCUCUCUCUCUCUAUAUAUAUAUAUAUCCUAAAUCAACUANCUCUCUCUCUCUCUCUCUCUCUCUCUCUCUAUAUAUAUAUAUAUAUCCUAAAUCAACGAUUCACAUGCUGAUUUUCGAUCUUAGAAUGUUCAUAUCAACGAUUCACACCGUUAAAACUGAAUUAAGAUAUUAAAAUUUUUAUAAAUAAAAUUUUAUAUUUUUUUAACAUUAUUUAUUUUAUGAUCAAUUUUUUUUUUUAAAUUGUCAAUUUUUAAUGGCUACUAUGGCAAAUUUGUAGUUUAAUCGUAUAAAAGAAUCUAAAUUUAUUCAAAUUUUAAUAAGAAAUAUUUUAAACAUUUAGAUCAAGGUUAGCAUCCUUAAUUUUGAAUUUAAAAGUCUUAUCCUCAAAUUUUAAAGAGCGUUUAAUUUUUUUCGUUUAUUUAGAUAUAAUUCACUUACUAGAAUUUUAUUUGUAAGAACUUUAUAUAUCCUAAAUCAUAUUUAACAAUGUGAAUUAUUGAUUUAAACAUUCUAAGAUUGAAACAAAAAAUCUAUAUUAUUAGAGCUCCAGCACUAUAGAUUGUAUAGUAGCCUCAUUCUAUAUAUGUAUAUGAUGAUCAUCGCCACAUUGCAUGUAUAUAUAAUAUUGCUUGCCAUUGUAGCUAAAAACAAAAUAACCAAAAGUUUUAAUUUAGUACUUUUAAUUUAAAAAUUUUACACUACCGCAUAGUACGAAUCAUACGCAAGCACUUUACAAAACAAUACUACAACUAAACAAACUAUAAAUAUUCAACCCCUGCUCCUUAAUAGAAAAACUAUUUCUAAAGCCAAGCAAAAUAACCGACCGUCCCUAGAGCAAGUGACAAAGGGUUUGAUGGUUGGUAUCUGAGGUUCUAAAUUCGAAUUCUAAUUGAUUCACAUUUCUAGUUAAGUUUAUUUCUAAAUGAAAUAAACGAAACGGAUAGCGUGCUACCUAUCUCUCUCUCAAAAACAAAAAAAAAGGGAAAACUUCAAAAACCCCCCCUGUGGUUUCAUGCAUUCUCACUUUCAUACCCUGUGGUUUAAAACGUAUCAAUUUGCCCCCCUGUGGUUUCAUUUUUCUCUUUUUGUUAUCAAUUUUAUUAUUUUUUUUCUUAAAUCAGUGACAAAAUUAAAAUUAAAGGAUGCUAAAGUGAAUAUUCGAUAAACAUAGAUGGUUAUCUGAAGUUUUUUGUAUAUAAUUUAACGAAAUAUUAACGAAAAAGCUUCUGAAAAGAUAAAAACGAAACCACAGGGGGGCAAAUUGAUACGUUUUAAACCACAGGGUACUAACGUGAGAAUGCAUGAAACCACGGGGGGGUUUUUGAAGUUUUCCCAAAAAAAAAGAAAAGAAAAAAAAAAAAGCAAAGAAAAUAAGAGCUAGGCUACCUACUUUCGAAAGUAGAAAGGCUCAGUAUUUGUAAGUUGUUUUUUAUUAGAACAUUCGAUUCGGCGAUUGAUUUCGUUAAAUAUAAUUUACAUUAUUGAAAUUAUUUAAAAUUUAAAAUUCUUAAUUUUUUGAUCUCAUUGUCUAGUAAACGAUCGGCCUCAAAAUAAAUUGCUGAAAAUAAAAUCUAAUAAAAAUAGUGAGAAAAGACUCAAAUUUCAAAUCAGCAAUAUUGAUCUUAGUAUUGAUGUUAAGUAAAAUUUUUCUAUUAAAAUUUCAUGUAAUUUGGAUUAUUCUACAACGUUGAACUUAAAAACAUGCCAUAUCGAUCGUUAAAAUAGUUAUUUUUCAGACAUUUUGAUCACUUAGUAAAUGAUAUCGAAAAAUUAUAAAAUUUAGUUUUUUGUUAGCUUCGAUAACAUAGAUUAUGUCUAACGGAGUCAAUCGUCGAAUCGAAUGUUUUAUCAUUCAAAAUAAUUUAUAGGGACAAAAAUUUCCGUACUUUCGAAUAGACUUGCUCAGCAAAUAAUAGUUUUACCAAGGAUAUAUAUUUAAUUUGCUUGGUGGAGUUGGACACGGAUGUACAAAAAGAGUCCCCGAGAGUAAGAUAAUUUUCCAUGUCAAAGUCAAAUGCCAAAGGUAAUGUCAAGUGAUCACAUCCAUACACUUGGAAGCAGUAUCUUUCUUUUUCCUUAUUAAUUUUUUUUCUUUAUUUUUAUUAUUAUUAUUAUUAUUAUUAUUAUCACACUCAGUCAAAUAUUAAUUGCAUAAUUAAAGAUGGCUAAGACUUGUUCUCUAAUCCCCAACUUAAUUCCACAACACAUGCAUGCUAAAGAAUUUUAAGCAACUCAUUUGAAGAAUAUAUAGCAGUUUUUUUGAACCAAAAAGAGUUGGACUAAGAUGGAAUUAGUUGUUAGUUCGCGAGUGUUAGUCAUGGAGCCAUCACUCAUGCGAAAAUGAUAUAUUUUCUGAAUAUAUUAUGCGUGAUGAGAAAGCACGAUUAAAAAAAAAUAUAUAUAUAUUUUAUUUUCAGUAAGUGAUAAAUAUAGUGUAUAACUCACACUGAUUCGACUAAGAUAUAAUUUUAGUGAUCUCACUAAAAAAUCAAUAUUUUAAAAAUUAGAUUUAACAACGAACUGAAAUAUUAUUGGAUCAAGAGUUUCUAUCAGUGAAUCAGAUCUAACAACGAAUUGAAAUAUUAUUGGAUCAAGAGUUUCUAUCAAUGACAUCAGCAUGACGCUUUAAAUACAUUAUUAUUAUUAUUAUUAUUUGGAUAGAAAAUAUAUAUUAUUAUUUUAGUAUUAUAUUUAAUUAUAAAAUACUCACUUUUUAUGCCAAAUUAAAUAGAUACAGGUUUUUAAAAUUUUAUUUUCCAUUAUAGAACAUAAAAUAUCUAAAAAAUCAAUUAAACAUAAAAUUAAAAAUUACACUAAUAAAGAAAAAGAUAAAAAUAAAAAAUAAAAAAAUCUAGCUGUUUUGUUUAGAACUAGACCGAUUUACUGAUUCGCCAGUUGAGCCAUCAAUUGGAAGGACUUUUUUUCAAAAUAACUCUAUAAAUUCUAAUUGGGUUAAUAACCCUAUAAAUUUUUUUUUUAGGAAACUAAUCAAAUUUUCUUUUAAAGACGAUGAACGAUUCACUGCUUUCUGAACAAUUCAUCGCCUUUCUAAUUUUCCACAAAAACGGUGAAUUAUUCAUCGUCUUUUACGUAUUUACUGUUUCUUUCUAUAUCUCAUAUAUAAUUCUAUCUACCACAUAAAAAUAUCAACUAAUCACAUAUAUAAUCUUAAGAACCUGAAGAUCCUAAUAAUUUAUUCGUACAAUUUUAUAUAAUUUUAACAACCUAAAACCCUAAUAAUCUAUUCAUACAAUCCUAAUUAUUAAAUAAAAAUUCUAAUAAUUCACGUAUAAUCCUAAUAACUUCACUUUUUUCUAUUUCCCAUAUAAUCCAUGUACAAUCUUAAUAAAUACGGUGAACGAUUCACCGUCUUUAAAAAACAUGAGAGUAUGCGAUGAACAAUUUACCUCUUUUAAAAAGUAUGAAAAAUACAGUGAAUGAUUCACCGCGUUUCGAAAAAAAAUCCUACGUGGUAAAUAGAGGAUUAAUUUGCCAAAUAUAAAUUUGACCGAAUUAUCUUUUAAAUUAUAAAAUUUUAAAGAGUGAUUUUAUAAAAAAGUCCGAUUCGGACGGUACUCAAAGUUGAUUUUUGACAUAUUCGAUUCAAAUGGUUAAUUAAAUAGGAAUGCUUUAUUAAUUCAAAGUUGUAUUUUUGCACACAUAUUAAACAAGACAUAAAUUUUAUGGACACCAUGUCCCCAUAAAUUAAUUUAGGAUCGCCAUGAAUGGAUGCCGCGUGGCUCCUGAACUUCUCCGAUGGGCGCCACGUAAACCCCCAUGCGGGGCACAUCGCCCCGCUGCUCGGCCAUUUGGGAGAGCAGUAGGGUUUUUUCUAGUGCACCCGGUGCACCGAUUUUAACUCCAAAAUUUUAUUUUUAUUUUUAAUUAUAACUUAAUAUAAUAAUAGAGAUAUAUAUUUUAUGACAUUUAAAAAUAUAUGUAAAAGAAUUUUAAUUAUAUAUAUAUAUAUAUUUAUAUUAUAUUAAAUUAUAACUAAAAAGUAAAAAAAUAAAAUUUUAUAGUAAAAAACGAUGCACCAGAUUUAUCAAAAAAAAAUCCGACUGUUCCCUCACGCGGCAGAUGCCACGCGGCAUCCAUCUAUGGCGUUCCCAAAUUACUUUCGAUGGACACAAUGUCCAUAACAUUUUUAUCCUACUAAACGGCCUUGAUAAGGAAGAGACGUCGAAUGAUGAGACAUUAAUAAUAAAAAAUUACGUUUAAUAUUUAUUAUUAUAAUUAUCUUAUACCUGAUUUUUUCUCUCUAAAGACAAAAUUGAUCAUAGGGUCCUCCUGCUCUUGUCCUGUACUUUUCAAAUUAAAUUAUAUAUAUAUAUAUAUAUAUAGAGUCCGGCUGAGGUACUAUCGUGGUGCUAUCGAGUUUUUCACCGUUAAAUUUAACCCUCUGAUUAUUUUUACCCGUUAGAUUAUACUAUUCAACAAACCACUCACUCAAUCCUAGAGGGUCCACAUCAUCCUAGCCACCCAUUUCUCAAUCUAAGGGCUAAAAAAUCAAUAGCACCAAUAGUUUGAUGCUAUUGAUAGUAUUCCAGCCUAGUUCUAUAUAUAUAUAUAUAGAGAGAGAGAGAGAGAGAGAGAGAUAGACUUGGACUGGGCUACUAUUAGUAGCAAAAUCCCAUUGUUGCUACCAAUUUUUUAGCCUUUGAAUCAACUCUUUUCAUUAUUUCUAACCAUUGAAUUAAAUACUAUAACCUAGUAGGGACCACUCAACCCUAGGGGGACUACUCAACUCUAAUCGACUAAUAUCAUCCUGACCUUACAAUUUUUCAUCAAAGGGUUAAAAACUUGAUAGCAAAAAGAGCAUUUUACUAUUAAUAGUAUUCCAGCCUAAUUCUAUAUAUAUAUACUCCGACUACUAUAUACUUUUAUGAGUAUUGACUGUCUUAUACUCAUAAAUUUUCGGCCCUUAGAUUUAUUUCAUUAAUCAUUUUCAUUCGUUAGAUCAUACUACUUAACCAACUACUCACUCAACUCUAGGGGACCACUAUCAUUUUAAGUGGGGACCACCAUCAUCCUAACCACACAUCCCAUCAAUUAACGGUUAAAAAUUUAUGAGUAAAAAGAGAUCUAUACUCAUAAGAGUAUAGUAGCCCCAGCCUAUAUAUAUAUAUAUAUAUAUAUAUAUAUAUAUAUAUAUAGUAAGGCUACUAUGCUAUCGGAAGCACGAAGCCUUCCGUGCUUCCAGCUCGUUUUCGAUGUUGCGACUUUCGAAUCGUCGAUCAGCUCCGUUAAACUUGAUCUAGAGUAUUUGAAGUACCUAGAAAAUAAAUUAUACGAUUUUUCGAUAUUAUUUACCUAGUGAACGAAGGGGCUCAAAAUCAACAGCUGAAAAUAAAAAUCUUACAAAACGUUAUAAUAUGACAUUAAAAUUUUAGAUCAAAGAUAUUAAUCUUGUUUUAUAUAGUAUAAAAAAAAUUUUAUCAAAAUUUCACGUGAUUUGGAUAUUUCUACACCGUUAAACUUGCAAACGGCUCACUACGGCCAUUAAAAUUAUUGAUUUUGAGUCCCUUCGAUCACUAGGCAAAUGAUAUCGAAAAAUCAUAAAAUUUAUUUUCUAGGUACUUCAAAUACUCUAGAUCAAGUUUAACGGAGCCGAUCGACGAUUCGAAAGUCGCAACAUCGAAAACGAGCUGGAAGCACGGAAGGUUCCGUGCUUUCGAUAGCGCGCGCGCCCGCACACACACACACACACACAUAUAUAUAUAUAUAUAUAUAUAAAUAUAGUCCGGCUACUGUUCUCUUAUAAGUACGAUCGCUCUCGUACUCUUAUAGAGUAUAGUAGCCCUAGCCUAUAUAUAUAUAGGGAGAGAGUCCGGCUGGGCUACUAUCGAUAGCACGAAACAUUUUAUGCUAUCAAGUAUUCUGCCGUUAGAUUUAUCUCUUUUAUCAUUUUCAUCCGUUUGAUUAUACUAUUUAACUAACCACCCACUCAACUCUAUGAGGCCAAUAUUAUUCUAACCGCACACCUUUUAAUCCAAUGGCAGAAAACUUAAUAGCACCAAGUUAUUGGUGCUAUUAAUUUUUUAGCCCUUGAAUUAAAAAAUAUGUGGUUAGGAUGAUGUGGGCCCUCCAGGGUUGAGUGAUUGAUUUGUUGAAUAAUAUAAUUUAACGGGUAAAAAUAAUCAAAGGGUUAAAAUUUAACGGUAGAAAAUUCGAUAGCAUCAAGUCCUUUGUGCUAUCAAUAAUGUCCCAGCCGGACUCUCUCUGUCUCUCUCUCUCUCUCUCUCUAUAUAUAUAUAUAUAGACCAAAAUUAUGAGAAUUAGGAAUGUUUCAAUGUUGUUAUUAUACAUACACCAUCGUCUGAUCCGAGGGGCCAUGUGAUGAUGGACGGUGGAGAUUAAAUGAUCCCUUCCCACGUUGUGGGAGUAAUCCUCUUGUGGAGUGUGCUCAUUGCUCAAAUGGGAAUAUGGUUAGAGAUUCGAAUUUUUUUCCGGGGCUUAAGAUGUCCCCCCCUUUGGGAUCUCUCGACCUUUCUUCGCACGUGCGAUGAACAUAAGAAAAAAACAAAAAAGGAGGGAAAAUUGUACGGAGACCCCUCAGCUAUACAUCUUUCUCAAAAGGGCCCUCGAACUUUCUUGUACUUAAGAAAUGCUUUUGCGUCACGCGCUCCUACGAUCAGGUCAAAUUCUCUAGCCCAAAUUAAAUCACAUCUAUAUCAUGUGCAUUUACGGUUGAGAGGUUUAAAUCUAGUUAUUAGUAUUAAAAUUUUGAAAAAAAUUCAAAUAUCAUUCAUGUGGUUUUGUAUUUUCUUACUUUAAUACCCUAUGGUUAAAAUGUAUCAAUUUCGUACCCUGUGAUUUUAUUUUUAUUUUUUUUGUUAUCCCUUCAUUAUUUUUUUUUAUUAAAUUAGUGAUAAAGUUAAAACUAAAGAGUACUAAAGUGAAUAUUCAAUAAACUAUAAAUAGGAUAUCUGAAGUUUUUGUAUAUGUUUUAACAAAAAGUUAACAAAGGGACUGAAAAAAAAAAGAAAUAUGAAACCACAUAUUAAAUUGAUACAUUUUAAACCACAAAGUACUAAAUUGAAAAAAUGCGAAACCACAGGGGUGGUAUUUGAAGCUUAUCCUAAAAUUUUUAUGAUCUUUAUAUUACCAUUUAAUUAAGAUAGGGACUAAUCCGAGAUUAAAACCCUAUCUAGCAUGUGUGAGAGAGCUACGAUACACACAUGAUCCCUUCUAUAAGUUUUUUUUUUUUUUCUUUUUCUCUAAUGUGAUGAAGCAAAUGGCCCUUUAAUAUAACAUAUCGAACGGCUAUAAUUCUCUACGUCGACCAAGCUCAAACAUCUUGACUCGGUCUGUUCACUUUGCUCUCAUUCUACAUCCCGAUUUUCAAAGCAUCCCCAUCACAUGACUUGUGCAUAGCUACAUCAUGCAUUUACCUAUCUAUAUAUAUAACCAUUAUGUAUGUUAUUUAUAAAUAUCCCCCUCCCCACAAGCUCACAAAGCUCAUAUAUUAUUAUUAUUACAUUAUACGCUCCUUUGUUUACACGCGAGAGAGAGAGAGAGAGAGAGAGAGAGAGAGAGAGAGAGAGAGAGAGAGAGAGAGAGAGAUGAAUAUGAAGAGUGGAAAUGGAGAUCGACAAGGUGAAGAGGAAUUGGUGGAAGAAGCAGUAGAAGAUGAGGAGGACGUGGAGCUUCCCGGGUUUCGGUUUCACCCGACGGAUGAAGAGCUUGUGGGGUUUUAUCUACGUAGAAAGGUGGAGAAGAAGCAGCUGAGUAUCGAGAUCAUAAAGGAGAUGGAUAUAUACAAGUAUGAUCCCUGGGAUCUCCAACGUAAGUAUAUAGUUGCACCAAUGAAUCUUUUUUGUUCUAUUCUACUAUAGUACCUGAUCAAUAUGUUCUCGGUUUCAAUAGUGAUUAGUAGCAUAUUCUUUAUAAAAUGAUCCAAAGAGAGCACCCAAAAGGUAUUUAAUUAGUAAAGAGUGUUACGGAAGAUCAAAAUGAGCGAAGGUAUAGUUUAGAUGUGCAUGGUAGAGAUCAAAUAGAUAAGGCGUGUGGAGAAUUAGAAAGAUGCUUAAUUUAUCUAUUCCUGUUUACUUAAGAGCAAAUGAGGUGAUGCAUUAGAUCGAUCAAUUUGGGUCCAGACGAUGGGUGUAUAUCGUACGAACCCUGACCCUAACUACACCAAUUGCAUCAGUCUAUUCUAUUUACUCUGGAGUAAACGGGAGUGAGGGUGAUAUUUAUAGAGACACCAAGCUUUAUUUUCACCCAUUAAAUGCUGAUCUUUUAUAUCUUUUUUUUACUUUUAAUUGCUUUUUAAAAGUCAGCUCAGUGGGCGGGGAGAAAGAAUGGUACUUCUUCUGCCUGAGGGGACGGAAAUACAGGAACAGCAUCAGGCCUAACAGGGUUACUGGGUCCGGAUUUUGGAAGGCGACUGGCAUCGAUCGGCCGAUAUGUUCUUUGACCAAAUCUGGCGAGUGCAUCGGGCUCAAGAAGUCGUUAGUUUACUACCGAGGAAGCGCGGGAAAGGGCACGAAAACGGACUGGAUGAUGCAUGAGUUCCGCCUUCCACCGGCCGACAGCAAGAAUGGCGACAAUACAAACCCUUCCCUGCAAGAAGCUGUAAGAUUUCUCGUACCUUAAAUUCUUAGAUGAACUCUUUUGAAUGUACAUACCAUGCCUGAAAAGUUUGUCAGGAGCAUGUUUGUGUUUGGCCGGACUUCUGAAACAACUAUUUUACUCAAUAAAUAAGCUAGCUUUCGCACGCUCUAGCAAAAGUGUGCUGCUAUAGUGGGUAUAGCUCAAGAAGAGAUUCUUGUUGAAAAAAUAAGUAGUACUUAUUUAAAUGACUCCACUUAAACUACACUUCUGAAGAUCCACCGUAUACAUUUACUAACAGGAAAUUUGGACGAUAUGCCGGAUAUUCAAGCGAAACAUUACAUAUAAGAAGUACCCCCAAGAUUGGAGAGAAGCGACGAGCAAGAAGAUCCGGAGCGAUGAUGCGAGCUCAAAGUCGAAUAGCUUCGAGUCCGAGUCCGGAGACGAAUUGAUCAGGUGCUAUAAUGCAGCCCCUGUGAUUUUGCCGCAGCAACAACCUGAUGAUCAUCAGCGUAAGGUGGCCUACAACAACUUUGAAGAGAAAAACCAAUACAUGUUCCAAGGACAAUAUUGGAACACAAUAACACCCCAAACUCCAUUAAUGGCGUUUCAUGCAAAUAAUAACACAUACAUUAAUCCUCCCAUGAAUGAGUUUGUGAAGGACAAUUGUUGGGAUGAGCUUGGGAGAAUAAUGGAGGUUGUGACAGAUCCAAGUGCAAUUUGUGGAUGGAGAUAUACUUAAAUGAGCUUAUUGUGUCUCCUCUUAUUUCCAAUUUCAUAUGUAAUUAACUUAUGAGCUCAAUGAGGGGGUAUACAAAUUAAAGCUUUCACACUGCUAGCUACGUACACACAUUAAUUAUGGGUUAGUUUACACAGAGUUGAGUGUAACCUUGUAAUAAUAGCUCAGAAUAUUUUUUUUUUUUUNAUCCUCUGAUGUAUGGAUAUAUAUUAAAGAGAAAAAUAUAAAGUGAUUUUCAUAAUAUUAUUUUCCUUUUCUCGCCCUUUUUUCCACUUUUUAAUAUAAAUGCUUAGUUUCUUUUUCUUCUUUGCGUUCAUCUCUUUCUCCUUUCACUAAGUAUAUAUUAAUCAAAUUAAAUUUACUAUUUAUAAUUAAAUAGGUAAACUUCAAAUACCACUCAUAUGGUUUUGCACAUUCUCAUUUUAGUACCCACUGGUUUAGAGUGUAUUAAGUUAGUACCCUGUGGUUUCUUUUUUUUUUUUUUCGUCAACUCCUCCGUCAAUAUUUUGUUAAAUUAUAUACAAAAAACUUCAGAUACCCCACAUAGAUUUAUCGAAUAUUUACUUUAAUACCCUUUAGUUUUAACUUUGUCACUGAUUUAACGAAAAAAAAUUAGUACUAUGGAUAAUAAAAAAAAAAUCAUAAGGUGCUAAAUGGAUACACUUUAAACCACAAAAUACUAAAAUGAGAAAAUACGAAACCAUAUGGGUGGCAUUUAAAGUUUUACCUAAUUGAAUUUAUGAAUUUUAGGUCAUUUAUGUUAAUAAAAAAUCUGCAAAAAUAACUCCUAGCCCUAACCCUACGUUAAUCCUAUAUUAGUAGAAGCACACAUAAUUAUCUACAAGUACAUUUUCUUUUUUUUUUCUAAUAAUAGAUUGACACGUAAUGCAUGAGCACUGGUACCAUGCGUCUUGAAAUUGAAGGACACAUAUUUAGUGUGAAAAUAGAAUAAGUUCGAAAAUGAUGGAUACUUCAAAAACUAUUGAAACAAUCAAUCCACGUGCCUAUCUUAUGAAAGUAAUAUGAGCAUAUUCAUUCCCUAUGAGACAAAAUAAUUUAAUAAAUUUAUAUGGCAAUAUCAAAAUGGAUCCAAAAAAUCUAUUCUACAUGCCUAUAUGCUAAAACUGGUUGUCACUUGUCAAAAGAGAUAAAAUUAAAAAAGGAAACUAUUCUCUCGUGCACACAUUCAAACAUUACAAUUAUUAAUUUGAAUAGUCAAACAGUAGACAAGUACACACUGGUGAUUCUGGUCUCGUCUCUCACUAUUGUGUUGAAAACACAUUCCAUAUGAAGACUUUUUUACGACAAGCAUAUUAAAUAUAGUAACUAAAUUUAAACAUUUUAGACUAGUAAUUUAGACAUAACGAGUUAUUAACGCUGAUAGGCGGAGUCGCUAUAGUUAGUAUCAAAACUGAUUUACCAGUCGAAAGUGUGAAAUGAGCCUCACAUUCCCAAAAGUGUGAGGUGGGUGCGAGAAACUUACACGUGAUGUGUGACGGAUGCACUAAAACUAAAAAGUAGGCUUAAAUAUUUUAGAUUAUCGGUUUGGGUCUAAUAAAUUAUCAGUGUUAGUGGGCCAGACCUUUACAUAGUCAUAGAGCUCAUCAGCCAAAAAUAUGUAUUGUAGUUAAAGGUAACCAAUCAAAUGAUCAAGCAUAACACUUGCUUCAUUUAAUGAUGAAUGUGAAAUUAUACACUAAAUCUCAAAUUUUACACCAUAGGAAAAGAACAUAACACUAAAUUAUCAAUAUCAGAAAAUGUGGUGGGGAUUGCUUUUGUUUUCAACUAGGAAAAGCUAUGAAAUCAAGUCUUAGUUGCGGAAUUUUACAGCAGUUUCAUUUUGCAUGAGUUGCGUGAGUUUAAUCCAUAAAAUGCAGAUUGGCCCACCCAGACAAAUCUCAUCAACCCUAGAUUAGCCGUUUACGAAUUGAAUUUGAAUAUUCCGAGUACUAAUCAGUUUGACAUGUACAAUCCAAUUCAAAAUGCACCAACCAACUUUGGAAGUCAAGAUAUUUCUACCAUGGGGUUUUUGAAUUCCAUACGUCGGCUAUUCAAUUCGACGGGUUGGGUAUAGUCUAGUCCAGUAUGCAUACAAAACAAAGGGAGGGUCAAGAAAAAGAAAAGUAAAAGCCCCUCAGAAUUCAUAGAUGCAAUACAACCUCUGAAGCAGUUAAAAUCAACAUAGUCGAAACAGAAACUAGAAUGAUCUUAAGCAAAAAUGAACUGAACUAGUAAUGCAUACCAGAAAACUAUUUGGCAUCAAAAGCAUUGAUGACUUCUAAGUUUCUUUUUGUACAAGAACAAGCAGCAAAAACUAAUACCUCAUUUUUUGAUGCUGCUGGUUGCUGAUGGCAGAAGUAAACUGGAAUGAGCAACAGAAACCACCGCUUGGAAAAAAAAAACCAACUAUUGCAACACUGCCUUAAUGACACAUCAAGAACUCGAAGAGCUACGAUCACAGACUAGCAACGACGGAGCAAGAAAUAUGACUAGAAGUUUCAGGAUGCUGCUGUAUCACUUUCCUCACCUUCAUCCCUGAACUCAAUUGAUUUCCCAUUAGAAUGUUUCCUAGAAAGAAAAGAACAAACCAGCAAAUUAAGUUAAACAUAAGGCGGAGAAGAGUGCUUUCGAGAUUUUGUUAUUUUUCCGGAUAGGACAAGAAAGCUUCGACAGUUGGCAAUAACGCUUCUAAGUAGUAGUUCUUAUACUUUCCAACUUCGUGCUGCUUAUGGUUAUCAGCAUGAAGAGCAGGAAAGUAUCCACCUAACAAUCUUUUUUCGUCCAAUCACCUAUCUGGUUUUGGGAAAUCCAACAAAAGAAAUGCAAAGAGUUCUUUUUGCUGACUAAUUCAUGUAUACUUUUGCAAAUAUAUAAGUACAAGGGAGUUGAUUGCUGUGACACAUUGUGAAGGAUAGGUUGGAUCAACUUUUGAUUUUUUUAUUUAUUUCAUUUAGAAAUAAACUUAGCUGAAAAUGUAAAUCAACUAGGAUUCGAACUAGGGACCUCAGGUACCAACCAUCAAGCCCUUUGCCACUUGCGCUAGGAACAGUCGGUAACUUUUGAAUAAUUAAGCUCAGAAGUCUAAUCCCUGAGAGCUAAUUAAACUAGGACGAAAAAAAAAUCAAUGGUGGAAAAAAAAAUAGCUGUAGAUAAUUUACAGUGAGAUUGAAAUCGUAUAUGUAAUUUACGGUAUGAUAAAAUUGUGAUUAAAACCUUUGGGACUGUAGUUUCUCUUCUGAUAAAGCCUUCUCUAGCCUCUCCUCAAACGGGGUGGCAUGCCAGCUUACUUUCUGAUCCUGCUCUUAUAAUGCAAGAUUUACUUAGAUACAACUCGGGUUAAUAUUCAUAGCACCGCAAAGGCUAAAAGAUGGGAAUGAACAUCCUACCUCUUUAUACUUGUUCGUCGAGUUGGGGAUGCCAUUUCCGUCCCACCACUUUGGAGGAACAGGAUCUGAUUCUUCCUCAUUCCAAUGUGCAGCAACCAUUCCGAUAAUAGGCCUGUCCACAUCAGAGCUCAUUCCAGAUUGAGACCUGGACUUUGGAGAUAUCUCGUACCUCCCUCCACUAUUAGCCACUGGGGGUUUCAACCAUUGAGAUAAACUGGGAACAGCAAGUUCUGGAUCAUCCUGGUUUAAUGGUCCCUUUGCUCUAUUGGCCCAAGGUGUCACUGCAUUUCUUUGACUCUCCCUAAAUGCAUGGUUUCCACACAAUUCUGAAUCUGUAUGUUCUGAAGCUUGAGAUAGGUUGUGUACAGGAUUUAAAACUGGAUACAUGUAUUGUGUACAGAUUCUAGCGUUUUUUCUGGUUUUGAGUGACUCUUGAUCAGCUGGAUAAGCAGUUGCUGGAGUUUGCAUUUCCUCAGUCAGUUUUAACAGCAUCGGAAAGGGUUCACAUUUAGAACCAAAGGAUGGAAGAUGGCUUUCUUUGCUUUCUUGCGGUGAUGUAUUCGAAGUUACACUGCCAAUCCGACACUUGAGACCAGAGUCAUGUUUUACCGUACUCUCGUGCUGCACUGAGGUUUGAUGUCCCUUGCUAAUAGAGCUACAAUGAAGCCAAAACAGUUCAUUCUGAAUAUUUUCCUGUUCAAUUAUUUGCUUAAACUAAUAGGAGAGGUAAGCAGAUAGCUGUACCUUCCAUUUUCUGAAACUUCAGCAACUUGUUGUCCUUCAGUAAAAAGUGCUUUACCAGUUAUACCAGGGAGCCAUGAGCGAACAGGAGGCACACCACCCUGAUCAAGAGUUUCAGCAUUUCCACUUUCAGAUGCUUUUCGAAUUUCUUCUGGUGUUUCUAGUAAAGUGCCAAAAGAUUUAAGAAACUUGGCCUGUCAAAACUUCUUAAUUCAGCAUAUGAAUGUCCAAGAGUUAACGAUUUGAAGAAAGAGUAGUAAUUAUAUCUGAAAAAGGUGUCAACCGAUCAGCCCCGAGAAGUAGAGAUACAUAAAAUAGUUCCAAAGGAAUUCCAAUUUACAUUCUCGCUAUUAGAUACAGGUAAUAACACUUUAGGACCUUAGCCUUAAACUUCAGAUGCAUGUACAUGCAGUCGAAUUGCCAGCAAAAUAAAAUAGCGAGUUACAUGCUAACUUGUUGCAAUCAGAUUUGGUGUAAUGAUCUAUGAAAAAUUAAAAUGGGUUUGAUACAUUUACAAACCGGUCUUAAUUAUAAUCAGUGUGUGCAAUCUAUUUUAAUAAGAGAGACAUGAUUGCUGGAGAAAUUUAACCACUUUAUACUACCAAAAUACAUUUUCUAUCCAAUGAGUGAACUACCAUCAGCAACAAAUGAGUGGCGUGCUUACCAGCUCGACGGAAGCAUUUAAGUUUUGUAUGGAGGGGCGUGAUAAUCUGAUGACAAAGAGGAAAAGCCAACUAUAUAUCAUCGAGUGCAAACUCUAGUAGAUGAUACAUGGACUAUCUUAUAGAUACUUUAAACAGGCCUACACUGCCGUUACACAAUGAUCGAUUUCCAAGCGGACCAAUUAGUACGAAAUGGACGAUUCUAAUCUUAUUAAUCAGCUCAAAAUAUAUUGAUUGUUUAUACAAUAAUGAUAAUAAAUCAUAGUUGGUAAAACACCAGAGGGAUAAAAUUGCAAACUAGCGGUUGCAUUUGCACUAAAACAAGCAUAGAUCAAUGUGAAACUCUUUCUGCAAAAGAUGAACCAUUUGACCAACAUAAACCAUCAAAUUAACAUAUACAUAAUAAUUGCAUUAAAAUACAAAACACAAGCACCACAAGAAACUUGUUUGAAUGGAAAAUUGAGUUGUGCAAACGCAUACCUCAUCCUUGAGUUCUCUAUCUGACCUCUCUUUAUCACGCCUCUCUUGUGAAUUUUGAUACAAGCUUUUUUCACAGGGAGAACCUUUAUCUUCACAUACGAAAAUUGAACCAAAAUAAAAAAUUAGCUACUAAAAAGCAAAUUUAUUACUAAUUACAACAAAAAAUCACACCAAAUUACUCAAAUUAGGCACACGAUCAUGAUCAUUACCUUCCCGUAAGAAAAUAGCUGCUAAUUGAUUCUUCGACACCAAUUUCUCCCCAUUAAUCUGCCGAUUCCACAACAAAAUAACCAAAAAUACACGCCUCAAAACAAACUCAUGCAAUAAAACCUUAAAAUAACACAUAAAUCCGCCACAAACCUUGUUCGCGGAAGCAAUCGAGCUGGAGAUGAAGUGAUCCCCUCGAUCAUCAUCUUUGAUCCGGAAACAACCAAACAAGCAUCCCAUUCCGAGCGGAGAUCGAAGCCCUAGAAACCUCCGCGAUCGAGCUAGGGUUUUCGCCGAGCCCCUUCGAAUCGCGAGCUUCGGAGAGCUCGUAGUGAUCGAGAGAGUGAGGAGGCGUAGUUUGGAAUUUGGUGUUUAUACGUGUGCGUUUUAAUUGAGGAAAUUUGAAAUUGAAAUUGGGUGCCACGAGUGAGAGAGAGCGAAAAUGAUUUGAAAAAAAAAAAUAAAAAAAUAUUGGGGAAAUUUUUUGACCGUUUCAUGGCGUAUUUGGUGUGGGGCCCCUUGUCUUAUCAAUGAGUGGAUCCGCAAAAAAUAUUUGACCCGCUCCGGUACCAAAGUACCAACUCAUAUAUAGUACCAAAAAUGGCAAAGAUCCUUUUUUUUUUUCUUGAGAAUAAUAAUAUUACAUUCAUAAUUUUUUUUUAAAUAAUGCGAUCUAAUACAUUUUUAAAAAAAAAGUGAAUAUAAUUCUUGCACUUUUUAAUUUAAAAGUCAAUAUUUUACAAUUAUUCUAGUAAUUUUUUUAAUAUUAAAAGUUUAAGAGUGUUGUUUACCAUUUUGAAUUAAAGUGUGAGAUAUGCACACUCAUUUUUUGGAUUUUUAUAUAGCAUUUUCUUCUUCUUCUUUUUUUACGUAUAUAUAUUAUAGUUGGUGUAAAAAUACAUAGUUCGGAUUUAUUUUUUAAUUUCAAAUUUAUGUGUUAGUUAGUAUUAGGAAAAAUUCAAUCACAUGCUUUUAAUGCUUAAGAAAAAAUAACAAUGUAUAAAACUUAUCUCAACUAUCAUUCAUUUUGAUCUGACUAUCCAACUUUUAAAAAUAUAAAUUUUUCUAUCUAAGUUUUUAAUUUAUUUGAUUGACUAUAAGUUUAAAUUUGAAUACAUCAUUUAUAUUUACAAAUUCAAUUAAUAUAUUUUACAUAAUUUAUUUAUUUACAUAAAUUAACUUAAAUUUUGUAUCUAAAGAUAUUUGAAUCAGAAAAUUUUAAAAUUUAGAUAAUCUAAUCAAAAUGGUGAAUAGUUCACAUAAGUUCUAUAUAAUUUUACGAAUAAAAGAAAGUGAUUUUCCAUAUUUAUAGGUAAAAAGUAUAAAACUAAAAGCAAACAACAAAGAGAGCAAACAAACUUGUAUCAUUUAAAAUUUAAGUUCACGGACUCUUUCCACUCCAUAAAUUUGCUUCAAACUCCCAACCUCAGCUGUUUUUGGAUCUAACCAUUUUAAUGGAAUUUAUUGAAUAAACAAACAAGAAGAGGGGGGAAAAAACAUCUUGCAGAAGAAUUGUAUGACUCUGCGACAACGACUACAAUUCAAAACAUCAAUGGAAAAAAGGUUGUAAGACGAAAAAUGAUGCAAUAAAUAAGAAAUUUCACUUGAUUUUUCCGAUUAUUUAGUUAUGUUAAAAAUUCGCAGAAAUCACUUCAAGGGAACUAAAACAAAAAAAAAAAAACAAAAGAAAAGAAGCAACAAUCGAUUCAACUGCGGUUCUUCAUCAACCUGUUGCGUCACAUAAUGCAUCUAUGAACAAGUAACUUGGUUCCAACUUACUUUCCAAAAAUGGUACACUUCUAAAUGCGAAAUUUAAGAGGAUAAAAAGGAAAUUGCUUCAUUACUUCUUGGAUAACUAUCCUCUUAACAUGAUCACCGUAUUGUAGGUCGACAAACUACCGUGGCAAGCGAGAAAACUCUAUUUAGGUGAAACUGAUUUCUCCAUUUCGCCCUCUUCGAGAAGCGAGAACUCUCAACCUUAUUCAUUGAGACUUUACAUUCCCCGGUUUCCACCCUUUUUGUCGAGCCCUUAAUUCCCACAAUGCGGUGAGCUUCUUCUGUUCGAGCAAUGUGGCCUCGGCCCUCUCUCGUGCCUCCUCGCAGGUGUCCAUUCCUGAGCUGCACUUGUCGGCUUCCUUUUGAUACUGUGAUGCCAACUUCUUCGCCUCGAGUAAUGUCACGUCAGCACGCUGCUCUGCUUCCGUCGCCUCCUCUUCUCUCAACUUCAAUUCUUCUGUGAGGAGGUCUGUGAAAUUCUUGUCCAUUUCUUCGCUAACCUCCGGGUCGCGUUUCGCACAAUCUGCGGAAAAGAAUUAAGUACUAAUAUAGUUGAGAAAACAAAUGAAGUUAUAAGAGGAUUUGGUUCAUCGGGGAUUCAUUUAAACCACUUUGUGCAAAGCAGGUCCAUCAUUGUAAGCACUAAUUCAUAAAGGGUCCGCUAUUAAAAUUCUAUUUCAGCUAUUUCGUUCUGAUUAGGACGGUUCCUUGCUAAACGAAGUGAAAUCACAUUUUUAUUACCAUUUUCUCAAUAUUAAAAUGCAAGAGAGGUGGCAAUGGAAGUUAAAAUGCAAGAGAGGCGGCAAUUUUGAUGGUCGCUUGUUUACUUCACCGAUCAACAGAUAGAUAACUGAUCCGUAUUGUAUUGGUACACCAAAUUUUCUUGUGUUUGAUGAUCGGUGAAGUAAACAAGCGACCAUCAAAAUUGGAAUCGUCUAAUGCACAUGACAUGAAGGUAACUGGUGUCUGAAGAAGCAGUGUACUUUGAGGCGUUUGUUACCGUUCAAGAGCAGCAGUUUCUGGUGAAUAAAAGUAAACCUACCUGUGAAUGUUCCUCAUGAUCUGAAAUUACCGUAAUCUGUAGGAAGGCUCAGAAAUAGAAAUUUCCUUGAGGUAGCUCCUGUCAAUAUCAGAUGAAAAAUCUUUUUCUCCAUCUUUAAGGGGAUUGGCACGCUAAUUAACCAACCUACUUUUGGAAUUUAAGCAGAUCAAUGGUGAAAAUAACUGGGAAAAGAGAACUCCUGUUUUACGUGACUCAAUUUUACCAUCUGCGCAAUUUUACUGAUAAAAAGUUCCACGAAAUUAACAAAAAUGCAAGUCAAAUUGAACUAAUCAAAUCAUGAGAACAGCAUAUAACCAGCAAAUUUGCACUAAUGACACAAAUUCAACAAAUAAAUAAGACAUUUGCAAUUGCUUUUAGUCCACUCGAGCAAUUAACCUCAAUAACUACUUGAUACCUCCGAAAGAAACUGGAAAUUGAAAUGAUAAUAACCUGUGAUCGAGACGUUGCUCAACUCUGCAAUCAGAAACAGGAAAUCAGCGUCAGUACACUCGAUCUAACAAAAAAACAAGUAAAAUUGGGGAAGAAAUGAAACUCGGAUCUCGCAGAUGCGCCACCGAUCUCGUCGAAUCCAAGGGAAAAUUGGCACAGAUCUCACAUCUUCGAAGUGAAAUCACAGGGUAAAGAGGAAGAGGUAAAAGGACCGGCACCUUCGGGGAGGGAGAGGAGGGGUUGGGAGGAGCAAUCGCAGGAGCAGGGGGGGCACGAGGAGGAGCCGCCGAGGGCUUCGACGAGGUGCCAAUAGAGAGGGGGCCCGACGAUGUACGCCGCUAACCCUAGCCCCAUCACCACGAGUAUCGCCUUCAACAGGCUAGGGUUUAGGGCCCCCGCCAUUAUCGUUCACCUCCGAGCUCGCCGAUCGAGAGUGAGAGAGGUGAGUGGUGAAUGGUGCGCGGAUUCGGAGGAAUUAUUACGAACCGCGUCGGUCGUGGUUAAAAUACGCGCCCAAUAAUAAAUGUUAGUGGGUUUGGACCAGAUUCGGUAAAUGGGUCGGGCGUGAAUUUUGCUCGGACUCGUUAGUGGAUUCGGACCGGAUUCCGGUAUUCUUUUUUUUUAAAAAAAAAUUAAUACCAAAAAUAAAAAUUAGGAAUUUAGGAUAGAUGUUUAUAAGAGAGUUUAUUAGGACAAAAAUUUGGUAGGCAUCUGUCCCCAAACAAAUCCCCAAACAACUGGACGGAGCCUGUGAGUGUGUGUCCGGACGUCCAUUACCACAGCCCCUUUCUCCUUUUUCUCCCUCUCUCUCUCUCUAAAAAAUAAAGCCCAGAAAUUUUUUUUUCUUUUUCUUUGCUGUUUCCGAGGGUUGCGAUGGACGCCGCGUGGUCGGCAUCGUCCCCAAACAAUUUUAUCUGGGGAUGAUGCCCAUCAAAUUUUUGUCUAAUUUACUAGGUGUUGUUGCAUAGAUUGUUUUAUAAUUUUUUAUUAUAAAACCUAUAAAAUAAAUCAAAUUUUAAUGAUUAUAUAUUUGAGUGUAAAUGAUGUGUAGAUAGUAUGAUAAUUUACUUAAAAAAAAAACGAAAAAAAGAAUAGCCUCCCAGAAUUCCAAAAAAAAAAAAAAAAACGUACAGAACUAUUGAUUAUUAUAAAUUAGCUACCUAAUUUUUUAAAAUUUUAAUUUUAAUAUUCUAAUUUGUUUUUUGAGUCAGUUUAAAUACUUUAACUUCAAAAUUUAUACUAGAAAUUUACUUUAAUAAAUAUACAGUUGCGAAAUUUACUUGAAAUAUAUUAACACAAUCUAUAAAGAUAAAUAAUAUAUUUAAAUUUUAAAAUUAAAAUAUACUGACUCAAAUCAAAUAAAUAAAAAAAAUUAAUAACAAAGUUAAAAUAUUAAAUAUUAAAUAACUGGUUUAAAAUAAUUCAUAAUUUAGAAAAAUUGCUUUUUGAAAAGAAAAAAUCUUCUAUGGGCCGUGUGCCAUGUGUCCACUAGUUUGGUUCACGCGAGGACGUGGUAGACCGGGUCGGAGAAAUUUGUGACACGACACUAGGGGUGUAAACGAGCCGAACACCAGCGAGCUGGGGUUAGCUCGUGUGCGGCUUGUUCAAUAAACAGGCUCGUGUUUAAAUGGGCCGAACACGAGCUGACUCGUUAAAGUAUCGAGCUAAAAAAUUCAGCUCGUAUUCGACUCGCUGAUAAACGAGCCGAACACGAACUGGCUCACGAGCUGGCCAACAAAUAAUAAGUUAAAAGAAUUAGAUUGAAUAUAUAUGUAUAAUAAAUUUAUAAAAUCUUAUCCAUUAGACUUUGAUCUAAUAGUUGAAACUUUACUUAUAAAUAAGCUUUUUUAUAAUUGAGCUCCCCUUGAUAUUGUUAUUUUGUUAAAAAUUAAAUAAUAAAAAUAUUAUAUAUAUAUAUUUAUGUAUUUAUAUAUAUAUAUAAAAAUUAUAUAAAUUAUAUAAAUAUAAAAUAUAUGUAUUCGAGCUGUUAUCGAGCCGAACAUGAGCGAGCUGACCCCAGCUCGUAUUCGGCUCGUUUAAUAAACGAGCGAUUCGAUCUCGAGCUAAUUUCGAGCCGAACACAAGAUGGCUCACGAACAGCUGAAUUCACACCCUUACAUGACACUAUUAACGUAGACCGUUGACCCAAAAGGCCGGUUAAUUCUCGUCCCGUAGACAAGCCCGGUCCGGUUCAGCGAACCUUCCAAGAAAAAAAACCCACAAAAAACCCAUUCUCAACCCGUCAACGAACCUCUCAAAAACGCACACACUAGAGCCCACAGUAGAGAGAGAGAGAGAGAGAGAGAGAGCGGAGGGGAGAUACAUCACCAACGAAGACGACGAGGACGACGACGAGCACUGCGCCAUGGCGUCGCCCCCGACCUCUUCCUCCUCCUCCGCGGGACUCUUUCGCCGCGCCCCGGGCUCGGCGCGGGCGCAUUCAGCUCCUCCGGAGGCCGUCGGGGCCGGGGCCAUCCGAGCCGACGUGGAUCCGCCGCCGCGGCCGAAGCCCAUCAUGCAGAAGCUCGCCAUCGGGGCCAUCGUCCUCUUGGGCUGCGUCCAGUUCUUCCUCCCCGCCUCCCACUUCCGCGACCCCUCCGACCCCCGCCGCACCUGGAUCCCCUACGACCCCAGUCGCUCCUCCCCCAUCGUACGCCCUCUUUUCGAUCGAGUUGUGUUUGUGUUUCGAUGCUUAAAUCCCUUUCGAGGUGGAUUUUGGAGUGUGAAUUUUAGGAUUUGGGGAGGGGAGUUCACGUUAUUUCAUCAAAUGAUGAUCUAAAAUUUGGUAAAUUGCGCCAUUACUUUCGGGAAAAAGUCUUUUUUUCUAUUUUUUUUAGUUUUAAUCUUGUUGAGUUAGUGGUUUGAUGCGUAAAUCCUUUUGGCAUGGAUUUUGGAGUGACAUUUGAAAAAAGAUGGAUUUUGGAGUGUAAAUUUUAGGAUUUAGGGGCAAAAUUCACGUUAUUUUCUUCUAAUGAUGAUCUAAAAUUUGGUGAAUUGCACCAUUACUUUCGGAAAAAAAAAGUCUUUUUCCUCAAAUUUUAUUAGCUGAACUUGGUUCAUCUUUGUGUUCGUGCCCUGCAAUUGUUUUUUCGUCCAUCUCAUACUUAAACUAUAGAAAAAGUUGCAACUCAAUAGAUGAUAACGUUGCGUGGUGCAUGAAUGUAGAGAGGCACCACGUAUAGUCAAUCGUCUUCCUCCGAUAGUAUUUGGCGAAAUGGUUUUAAGAGUUUAGAGUGUUAACUAUUGAACUUUAAAGUUUGGAAUUAAAGUGAAACUACGAGAAAAAGUUUUUUUUUUAACCCCUUUUAAGUACUUUGUUUUAUACUUUUUCACAAGCAAAAACCUCGUAGAAAAUUAAUAUGUGGGCCAUUUGAUGCUUUGAUUAGCAUUAUGAAGAAGUAAGUCUAUUUCAGCUUCAUAUUUCGUCAUUUUCAUGUGUUUUUAGUUUCUAAAUGUGGUGGAUUGCAAAAUGAAUUUUCAACCUAUUUUGUUUGAAUGCUGGUACAGAUAAUGCUCGUAGGAAACUUUAAAAAAGGGUAUAUAAAAGAAAUUGCAUGGUUGUUAGAUAAUCCCAAUGUCUUUGGUUUCUUCGAUUUCGUCGUUACCUUUUUGGCAGAAAAAGCCCUGCCAUUGUUUUUAUUGAUGUCAAGUAGGGUGUUUUAACUUAUUUAAGAGGCAUUGUAAAUCAUACAAAUGAAAACUAACUUGUCAACACUAAACAUAUUGUUUUUAGUAGCCAACCAUAUUCACUUGUGAUGUCAUCAACCCUAAAUAGUCAUUAUAUGCUGAUCCAACAGUAAAUCUCUUAGUUUAUUGGUUAUAUUAACAGAUCCGUGCAAUCCUUUUGGCAUAAGAGUACCCAAAUAGAGAGUAGAUGUGUGAGCGUAAUCAGGUUAAAUUCUUCAGCAAUAUAAAUGGCUGAAAAAAGAAAAUGCUUCUGCUUUCGAUUUAUGUGUGGCUGGUAUAAGAAUGCUUGCGAUAAUUGGCCUAAAAAGCUUAUACUAAAUAUCAUUUGUUCCUAAUGGGCCAAGAUAGGGAUUAUUGUAAAUUAUGAGGGGCAUUGAAUUAGAUUUGUUCAGGGAUUCUUGGGCGUCUUUUGGUUUCUUUAUCAGAUUAAAAUUAUGAAUUGCAUAAAGCACUAAGAAACUGAACAAUAGCAAGGUACAAAACCCACGGUUUCUUAGUGCAACAGACUAUUAAGCAUGAAGCUUCUUGAUAUUUUUUAGGGCGUGUUUGGUUGUCGGAAUAAGUAAUCUGAUGAUAACUUAUUCGAUGUGAAGAUUUUCUUGUGUGAUUGGAAGGUAAUAGUCAAAUUUUUGCUCAUUGAAAGGACUUGGCAUCCAUGAUGUGGUAGGAUAGUAUAUUUUACCUAUGAGAUGAUUUAAAAUAUUUCGAAAAAAUGACUUGAAGACCAAAUAUGCUAUUCCUUUCUAGACACUUGACCACACUCUUAGCUUCUAAUCACAAUAAGAAACCCCAUACUGAAUAGGAUAUCACUAGAUAAUUUAUUCCAACAUCCAGAUAGGGUCUUACUGUUUCACAAUAGAAAUUUAUGUCUGUUAGUACUAGUUGUUACCUCAUUACUCUUAAAAUUCUGUUCAUAAGACAUAUUAGAGUUCUGCUCUUCAUAAUCCUAAUUUAAUUUUUCCUUCUUUAACAGAGAGAAAUACUACUACCAUGCUGAAAUUCCAGAUGUCUAGUGUUAAUUAAGUAAUAAAUUGUUCAAAUGCAUAAGGUUGUUGUCGUUGCGUGAAAAUUACUCUUAUUCAAUUUGAUGCAACUUUUGUUAUUUCCAGUCCACAAAUAAAAGAAGUUUCGAGGAGGAGCAACUUGAUAUGCCAGUGAAGCAGGAGGCAGAAGUCCCAGGGACACAUAUCUUCUCUUGGACAGACUGUUUAGAUUUGCGAGUUCUUGCAGUCCUUGCCAACUCAACUUUGUCCAGCUCAAGGUCCUAUUUUUCAUGUCUAAUGAUAUAAAUGUAUGAUGCACCACAUGCUUUUGAAUGUUGCAAUGUUUUAGUGAAUUGGAGAUUGAAGUACACUUAUGCAUGCUUUUUUGUUUUCCGUUUUGUGUCUCAGAUAUCCGGAGGAUGUAUUUUUCCAUUUCUUCAUACCUGAACAUGAAGACGAGAAACUGUCCUUCUAUAAGCUAAAAGUAGUCCUGCCUUCCUCAAACCUUGGUAUAAUUGGGUAAGUACAGAGUUAUUGAACUGCUUUUAUGUAAAAACUUUGUUUUGUACUCACACUUGAUGUUUCUGCAGUCAGAAGGAUGUGAAGGAGAAAUUAAACAUUGCUACUCCUGAAGCGGAAUUUCUUUGGAAUUACCGUCAUGAAUUGGCACCAUUUUUCAUUUCAUACCAGCAUUUACCUUUGAACAAAUAUGUAUAUGUCUUACCAGACACCAUCAUAAAGGUAGUUGAUCAUGUGUUUACCAUCUUCGUAGUUCGAUUUGUUGGUGAAUUGACUAUUAUGAAUUCUUAAAGAAAAAUAUCAUCAUUGAGAAGUACUUUUAUCACCUUUGAUUGCAAUCUUGAUAAUCAGGCUGAAAACUGUCCAUGCUUCAUAUAAGAAUACUCAGAUUGUUUAAUUAUUACUACACGUGGCAAUCACCAGGCAAACUUUCACAAGUAUGCGUUUUAUGGCGUAGGAGAGACUGUAUAAUGUAGCGUACAAUUGUGCAUUUGUUAAUUCUAUGUUCAUGUUGAACCAUUCAGGAGAUCUAUUGACACACCUAUCUAUACCUUUUUAUGCUUGCAAAUGCUUAUGUUGUUCCUUAAUCAUAGUAAAUUAAUUGCAUUCCAUCUGUUAUCCCGUAAUAUUUUGCUCUGCAACUGAGAUAAAUGAUUAUUAGAGAGCUUUCUAAUAUGGCAUCCAAAAACAAUCCUACUAUUUAAACCAUAAGUCUGAACGAAGUAUGUGUGAAACCAAACACUUCCUACAUGAACAUUCCCGUUUUAAAGUUGGCUAGAUUUACAAAACCUCGUUAAAAUUAAUAUAAACAUAUCAAAAUGUGCUUAGAGCAUAGAUUUGUUACACAGAUUAUAACCCAACUACGAGAUUUGUAAUAAGAUUGGGCUUCCAUUUCAGUUGUGAAAUUUGAGAAGGAUAGUCCUCGGCAUGCCUUCCCUUUCUUUCUGUCUUGUUGAAACUUUCAUUAUUUUCUAUACACAUACUGCAAUGGUAAUAUUCAGGACUCGAUUUUUUGUUUUUUUUUUUUUUUUCUGUGCAGGGAAAUAUUGAAGAUCUCUUUAGUUUUGAUUUGGCUCCUUAUGCUAUUGGAGCCGCCGAAGACUGCAGCAAGAGGGUGGGUGAUUACGUCGAUAUCGAGGUUUUAAAUGCUAUACAGAGAACUGCUGCCAAAAGUUGGAUAUCUGACAAACCUUAUGAUAAAAAUGCCUGCUUACCUGAUUUCAAUGUGCUCUUAGUGGAACCUCAUAAGUUAGAAAGCACUCUACUCGAGUCCAUUGUGUGGUGGAACAAAGUUCUUGACAAAGGAAGUGAAAGGUGUGCCAUAUUUACCAUAUAACAUUUUUCUAUAUAUAUGCAUGUAGCUACUUUUUGAGACUAAUAUACGUAGAUGAUUACUUUCGAUAGGUUCAUGCAAAAGUGUACGAAAAUCCUGCUAACUAUAGCCUAUUUGGGAAUUGGUCCUUGUUUUCCAGUUCUUUAGCACAAAUAUUGAGAUGCUUGAUUUUAAGUAGAAAUUUCAUCAGUUUCUAGCAGUCUUUGUAACAUUUUUUACGGAAUAUUAGGGUACACUUACUUCAUAGAUAAUUUGCUUUGUUUGAUGAAACUGUUAGUUUACCUGAUGGAACUUCUCUUAAAUUAAACAACAACACAAUAGUUUGGGACGUGCAAAUUGUCGAGGAUCUGUUUCCUGAAAAAUCCUAUAGUUGGGCGUGUCAGUACAACUUUGUGUACAUCAAACAAUAAUCUACAAACUAAACUAUAAUAUUCACUAUGUAAUUUCAGGGGCAACCGUAUGAAGUUCGCAAUUGCUCUAGCUUUCUAUGACAAAUAUUUCAAGCUUCCCUCUACUUGGAAAAUCAGCUCUUCAUUGGAAGCUGAUGAAACUAAUGAAAUCAAAGCACUCCGUUUUGAUGGGCCGACAAGAGUUUGCUCCGAAGAUGACGACCGGGAUCAAGGACCAAAUCAUGGUGAUAUUUGGCAGCAAUAUCUUUCGUCAAACUCGGUCGCCGUAUUAAGUCAUUGAAGCACCAAAUUCCUUCCUAUUCUGCCGCUUCAUUUUUUUAAAGAGAUUACACCAAUUACAACCGGUAAUGGACCUUAUCAACGAAUGAAGUGGUGGUGCUUAAAUUCCUGCCGCAGAGAAAAACUGUGCAGUUUGAGGAUACUAUAUAGAAGUUUUUGAUACCACACAGGCCAAAUGAAACAGGGUAGGGUAGUAGAAAAGAAGUGUCAUAGGUCAAAUUAUCACCAUUUGUUGAUGUUUAACCAAACAGAUGCUUGUUUGUUGCUGUUGUUGUAAGUUUGUAAUAACAACAUAUGAUUCCGUCGCGUGUUCAUAUGUUUUUAGCCAGUUUUCUGUUCUAUUUGAUUAUCUUUAUGCAGUUUUGUUAUCAUGUCAUGUUUCUGUGAAAGACAGUGCAGACAUCUUCAACAACUCCCUAAUCAUCAGAAACAACUAAUAAGUGGAAGACUGUAUAACUAACUAAGUGUCAGUAGUAAUAAACCAAUGGAGUGAUUAGCAGCUAAGCAAUGCUGUCAGCUUCUUGUGUUAAUAAUGGUGUUAAGAAGAAAUUUUCUACAAACUAUAGGCUUUCUGCAGCUAAUCACUGAUUCACUCACAAACAUUUGCUAUUUCUUCUGGUUCAAAAAAAACAAAAAAGAAAAAGAAAAACCAAGAUCAACUGAGGGAAAAAAUUUAGAAUACAUCAAGUAUAUUGCUGACGUGACGUUCCCAACCAAUAGUCCCCACCAAUAGAAUUAUUUUUAUUGAAUUGAUGUCCCAUCAUAGUUAAUAAAAAAAAUAAUUUUAUUAUAUUUUUUUAGAUAGAGAGAUAUAAUUGACUUGUUAUUUAACAAUGUGAAAGUAUGAUACAGUAAAUUUUCUCCGACUGAGGGUCUAUCCAAGAAAAUCUAGUCAACCUCUUUCUAGCCACAAGCACCCAAACCCCCCAACCAAUUCCCACUCUCCAACUCACACUUCCCCUCCACCACCUUAUCCCUCCCCUCCCCCACCCAAAUCCUCUCUUAUCCCCUCCUCUCCCCCAAAACACCCUCACCACCUUAUUAGAAGAAGAGGAAGAAGAAGAAGAGUGUGAAAGAGAGAGAGAGAGAGAGAGAGAGAGGACACAACAAUGGCCCCCUCCUCCACCACCACCACCACCACCACCAAACGCCUCUUCCUCAUCUCCUGCUUCUCCUCCCCCUCCUCCUCUCAGGAUCAGAACCAAAACAAUCCACCAGUCUCGAUCUCCGCCUCGAUCAAGAACUUCUCCGCCGCCGUCGCGCUCUCGUCGAUCCUCCUCUCGCCGGCCGCCCUCUCCCCUCCGCCGGCGGCCGCCGACAUCGCGGGGCUCACCCCCUGCAAGGAGUCCAAGGCCUUCGCGAAGCGCGAGAAGCAGUCCCUGAAGAAGCUGGAGGCGUCGCUCAAGAAGUACGACCCCGACUCGGCCCCCGCGCUGGCCAUCAAGGCCACGAUGGAGAAGACGAAGCGGCGGUUCGAGAACUACGGCAAGUUCGGGCUGCUCUGCGGCGCCGACGGCCUCCCCCACCUGAUCGUGAACGGCGACCAGCGGCACUGGGGCGAGUUCGUCACCCCCGGCCUCCUCUUCCUCUACAUCGCCGGCUGGAUCGGCUGGGUCGGCCGCAGCUACCUCAUCGCCAUCCGCGACGACAAGAAGCCCACCCAGAAGGAGAUCAUCAUCGACGUCCCCCUCGCCUCCAGCCUCCUCUGGCGUGGCUUCAUCUGGCCCGUCGCCGCCUACCGCGAGCUCGUCACCGGCAAUCUCGUCGUCGACGACGCCGACGUCGGCACCUACUGAGCCACCCCUCCUCCUUACUGAGUAAGUGUUCAAUUUCAAAAUAUUUAAAGAGCAGAAUAUUCUGAAUUCGAGUUAUGUCGGACUCCUAUCUCUACAAAUUUAAAUUUUUAGCUAUCGUUUGGUUCAGGGUUAAAAAAAAAAUAGUUAUUCCAGGAAUAGGGUUAAGUUCAGGGUUAAGGUGGGGUUAGAGUAUUUUUAUAUUUGGUUGAGAAUUGGAGUUAGUCUAGGAUUAAAGAAAAUAGUGUUUGGUUGAAGUAUGUGGGAUAAGAAGGAUAGUGGAUAAAAUAGUGUUUUAUUUGGUUGGAAUAGUGGGGUGGGGUGGGAUUAGCUGGGGUUAGCUAACCCCAUUCCGAAUUAGCCUAUUUGGGAUGGGGUUAGCUAACCCCACCACCCUAAAAUCAUGUUUGGGAAUAAAAUCGGGGUUAGGAAGUUAUCCCAUCCCUUAACCCUGAACCAAACACAAGCUUAGAGAAUAACAGUUGUUUUAUAUAAUUUAGUAUGGUAUAAGAACAGAAGAUCCUGAGUCCGAGUAAUGUCAGGCUCCUAUUAACUCUACAAGUUUAAGCUUUUUAAAGAAAGAAUAAUAAUUGUUUCAUAUAAUUUAACAUGACAUCAGAGCAGGAGAUUUUGAAUUUGAGUUAUGCCAGGCUUCUAUCUCUACAAGCUUAAACUUUUAGAUAGAAUAACGGUUGUUUCAUAUAAUUUAAUAUAGCAUUAGAGUAGGAGAUUUUGAAUUCGAGUCAUGUCAGGUUUUUAUCUCUAUAAAUUUAAGAUUUUAGAGAAUAACAAUUAUUUUAUAUAAUUUAAUGUGGCAUUAGAGCAUAAGAUUUUGAAUUCGAGUCUUGUCAGGUUUCUAUCUCUACAAGCUUAAGCUUUUAGAGAGAAUAAUGAUUGUUUCAUACAAUUUAAUAUGGUGUUAGAGCAGAAAAUUCUGACUUCGAGUUAUGUCAGGCUCCUAUCUCUAUAAACUUAAGCUUUUAAUUAGAGAACAACAGUUGUUUCAUAUAAUUUAGUAUGAUAUCAGAAGAGGAGAUCCUAAAUUUGAGUAAUAUCAGGUUCCUAUCUCUACAAAUUUAAGCUUUUAAAAAAUAACGAUUAUUUCAUAUAAUUUAAUGUGGUAUUAGAGUAUGAAAUUUUGAGUUCGGAUAAUGUCAGACUUUCAUCUUUACGAGCUUAAGCAUUUUUUAGAGAGAAUAACAGUAAUUUCAUAUAAUUCAAUGGUAAGUAACAAUUAUUGCCUACCGUAGCAGCAAAGUCUUUGUGAUUUCGCUAUUUGAAAUUUGAUUCAUUUGUUUUGUUUCUGCAGUUGUAGCUGCUGAUACGCUGCUGCUACAUGAUGUGGAGAGCUCUGUUCUGUUGUAUUUAAGAACUGUAUCUGUAUUUGUACUUCAUCAAGCCAAAUGAUGAUUAUAGUUUUUAAUCUCUUUGACCAAUUUGAAGCACAUUUUGGAUGUAAUUUCUGGUUUUUUAUAUGUUGUCAGUGAAUGUAACCUGAAAUUGCAGUUCUUCUAGAAUAUCUUCUUCUUUUUUUUAAUUUACUGCAACUAUUUACUUGAUUUGGUGUGAUAGUUUUUUAUAUGUUAUCUUUGAUUAUUAGAAUUACCAUUCUAUGAGCAUCAAUAACAUUGGUUUGGUUCAUGAUUUGCUUCAAUUGUCCGAAUUAAAACUCUCCAUAUACUACAGUAUAUUGUGAGGAUAUUGUAGCGUCUGUGGCGCUAAUUGAGACCUUCCGAUUUAGAUCAUAUUUCUAACAGAAGAAGCUAUGGCUAAGCCAAACAAACUAUAAGAAUAUUUUCCUACUCAAGUUUCGAAUUGAGUUUAAACAAAUCACACCACAUUUGCUAAAAAUUAUGAAAUGCAUUGGGAAACACUACGAUGGUCGGACCAUAAACAAUUGCUCUCUCGACCACCAAACGAACAUGUCGACUGUAAUAUUUUAUUUUAUAUAAUCUAUAAACUAAUCCAAAACAUAAUGAAUAACUGCGGUGCUUAAGCUUCUGAUAAAUAAGGCAUUGGACAAUUUUGCUAUUCGACGAAACUUAAAAUAAUUUUUAAAACAAUCUUAAAAUAAUUUUUAAAACAAUAUUACAAAAAAAUCGAUAACUGCAAUUUAUGCAGUGGUAUAUGUAGUGUUUAACCUGAGAACUCGACCGUUGAGGAACAGUGGCACUCUCCGUUAUUUUCUACAACUCCAGGGCACAUUUUAAAAAUCCCCUCCCAAUUCGACCGUUACAAAACCCCCCAUUCAAGAACCAAAAUUCGACCGUUAACACCAUUCCAUUCCUCUUCUUUACUCUCUCUCUCUCUCUCUCUCUCUCUCUCUUUUCUAUAACACCUCUUCUCCUCCCCCAUUUUCUCCUUACCAUCUCUAUCUCUCUCUCUCUCUCUCUCUCUCUCUCUAGACCAAGAUGAUGAGCGAGGCAUCGAUGGAAUCGAAGCCGCCACCGCACCCGCUGCGGCAAAUUGCGGAGAGCGCGACCCACAAGCUACUUCUAAAGCAGUGGCUCAAGGAGGAGGAGCUCCUCCUCCGCCGCGUCGCCCUCAGAGAAACUCGCCUCGACGCCGCCCGUAGGGAGACCACCGGCCUCUUCUGCGCCUUCUUCGUGUUCCACUCCACCGCCCUCCUCCUCCUCUUCUCCUCCGCCUCCGACGCCCCAGCCCCCCGCACGUGCCACCGAUCGUGGAUCCCCUGCCUCCUCUCCCUCCUCUCCUCGCUGGGCCUCAUCUGGGCCGUGCGGUACAAGGGCGACACCGAGAAGGUGCUCGAGAGAAUGCUCGAGAGGGAAAAGGAGGACGCUUUGCUGCUGGGGAAGUGCGUGGGGGAGCUCCGGAAGAAGGGCGCCGAGUUCGACCUGCUGAAGGAGGUCGACGCGCUGCGGCGCGCGAAGAGCCUGCGGGUCGAGGCGAAGGCAGCGGCCGCAGUGAGGAGGUGGUCGGGGAGGGAUUUGGGGAUCAUGGCGCUCUUCGCGGCCGCGUGCGGGGCGGUGGCUCUCACAAGGUUCGUGCUUUGUAGCUAGGGUUUCUCUUUUGGGGUAUAAAGGAAGGAUCUUGAUUCCGAUGUGAAUUUCGGUUUUUUUGUUUUUUUUUUGUUCUUUGUGUUGUGGAGUUGUCCUGAUGGGAGAAUUGCAGAAUGUUCUGUUCUGCUAUUUUGUUUGGUGUUUUAGUUUACAUUUUUUUUGUUCUUUGUGGAUCAUUUUAAUGGAAAUCUUGUAAUAAGAUUGGUUAUAAAAUUACCAGUAAAUUUCUCUCAUUGACUCAUUUAUCUCCUUUUUUCUCCUUUUGUUUUGAGAAAAAGCAAUUCACUUAUUAUAGUCUAUCAAAUUUAUAUCUUUCGAUCGAUGAUGAACUCUAAUCAACAACAAAAUGAUAAGUUUAAGUUAGAACAGAAAAAAAAAAAAAAAAAAAAAAUCUUAUACUUUAUGGUGGAAAUGUUUGAUCAGAUGGUAUUAUUCUUAUAUAAGAAACACCUGUUACAAAAAAGAUCUCUUUUUUUCUUAAAAAAAUAAUAGCCUCAUGUUUUCUGAAGAAGUUGUUCAUAUUUAAAGGAAAAAUUAGAGUGAACUUGAGUUAGAAACUAACAUUGUUGUUUGAAUCACAAAUUCUUGCACACAAACUCGCUACACCGAUUAUUUGUUCCUCCUUUUAUAUAGCUUCUUACGGAUGCGCGAGUGUGAGAGGAGUACCGCAUUUCUCGAGUUUAUUCUAAAUCUCUAGAGUGGUUAGUGCCUAUUUAAUUUGAAAUCUUCUCUGCUCCGAGAAGCAAUUACACAUGUUCAAAGUACCUGUAAAAGCUUUUGCUGUGUCGAAAAGUUAAAAAUUAGCCUUCUGUUGCUCCUACAUUGGCAAUUAUUGGAAGUUUCUGAUUGAUUUGAAUAACUCUAUUCAAAUAGCACUUUUCGGAAACUCAAGCCCAAAUAAAGAACAUUAUCUGCAGUGGUCACAGUUAGUUAGGUAUGAGUUGCCAUCAUUCUUGGAUUGCAGGUGAAGGAAACAUCCAUUGCAAGUAAUGUGAGCAAUAGAAUCAAAGAAACUAAAAGCAAGUAAACUUUGGUACAAACAACAAAACCAUUUUAUUCUCUAUAUAAGAACAAACAAAAAUAACAAACAAAUUUAAGUUUACAUGAUCAGCCCAAUCAUACAUUCCAAGCAUACAACAAAACACCCAAAUUCCAAGUACAACUGCAUCUACACAAAGAACUGAAGCUUCUUCCUAAACAGUACUCUCAGGCCCUUCCUUGUUGACAUGGCUCAUCGGGGGCGGUGGCGACGAGACUACAACACCCGGCGGGGGCACGGGAGCGCCGUAAACCUGCGAGGCCAACCCCGCGCGCGCCUCCGCCCGCCCCUUCGCCCGGCCGAGGAAGUAGCACCCGAAGCCGAGCAAGAUCGCGAAGAGGAUCAGAGGGAGGGAGAUGACUAUAACCAAACCCAUAACUCUCCACUCUUUAUGCUCAGAAACUGUAGCCUGAUUGAGGAAUGAAGAAGAUGGUGUUUAUAUAUAGUGAGAAAAAGGAGGAAAAGAAUAGAUACAGUUAAGAGGGUUCUGAGAAACAGAAGGAAUUAAUGACAGAUAGGAAUAAGGAACUUGGAUUACAAGAUAAGUAGCUCUCUUUAAGGAUUUGAGUAUAAAGGUGGUGAACAUUUCUUUCAAUUUCCAGAAGAAUCUUUUAUGUACUACAGGUUUAUAUAGUUAUAGUGUAGUAAAAGAUUGAGAGAAAGGACAAGAAAAGAAGAAGCUUCGACACACUUUUCCCCUAGCUGGACCAAGCAAUGUGACCGUUGAGAGUAACGUUCAAAUUCGAGAAAAAAAAAAAAGAAAAAGAAAAAGAAAAGAAAAGAAAAGAAAAGAAAGAAAUUUUGAAUUUCAUCUUAGCCAAUCUCUCAGUUAUCCUUUUAAGAAGAAAUUGUGUUAGUUUUAAUCUGUGUUUUACUUCCCUCUUAAAUAGAUACCAAAAAUUAGAAUAACUGUUAAAUUCAAGUGUAAAAUUUAUAGGUGGGUGAUCAUGGUGUUUAUAUUUAGUUGAGUAGGACCAAAUAGAUUAAUUAAAUCGUCUAAUCGAGUCUCAAUUUUGAGCUGUAGUAAUAAAGAGAGAGAUCUCUUUUAUUUAGUUUUAGAUAAAUGUUUAGAUAAACAACUUAUAUGGUAUGCCUAACUACUUUUUAAGUUUUACAUCGGAACUUCAAAAGUUCACGUACUGAUUUGUCCUCUAUCUGGACUAGAUGUAUCUGUAAAAGUCGGGCAUCACAAUAUGAUCGGUCCUCUAUCUCAUCUCAUAGAUGCACGUACAGUUCACAUCGAACUUGCAUAAGUAUCAAAAGGAUAUGGUGAAGAAGUCCAUCGUGCUGUGAGCGCAUGUUCAAAUGAAAGUAGGGCGGGGGAAGAAAAGAGAGAGAGAGGAUUCUCGUGCGCACGACAUAGCUUCACUGCCCGUACUUCAUCACAUUACUGGAGCUCGCAGCGAUGGAGUUCGGAUAUGAUCAGCAAGGGGUCGCAUAGUGAUCAAUCUAAUUGCUCUCCUUCUUCCCUCUCUUGAUCUCUCCUACCCUCGAUGUAACAAGUCGGUAAGAGGGAAAGAGGUUUUUGACACUUUUAAAAAUGUUUUGGACAUUUUGAGAGGUUUGCGGUUAUCUACUGUGAGAUGUGUCAUUCUCAUGUUUUUCAUAGAGACCCAAAAAAAAAAAAAGCAUCACCAUCCAGGGAUUUUCUUGUUUCAUGUUUUUAUUAUCCGAAGGAAUUUUCCAAAGGAUUUUACGGUGAAUUACUUACAAUUAUUAAGUUACCAUACUCUUACUCAAGUUUUAAUUUUUUAAAAUAUAGUUGAUGAGUCAGAAAUGCAUAAAUUUAACUUUUGAAAUUCAAACCAGUCACCUUACAAAACAUUAACUCAAAAUCAAAAUCAAUCACCGCAAACAUACCAAGUUCGUCACACGAUAUCACAAAUGGUUUCGACGCAAUUGAGGAGGGAAAUUUUAUCUACCAAUAUCGAUGAAUCUUUUGCGAUGCUUACCCGUUAUAAUACAAACUUUAUAGUAAUGAGACUCUCUUCAACAUUUUCUCCUAACCCCUUUUCAUGUCAUCAUAAUCCUAUAGCAGCAACACUUCCCACGUAGCAAAAUAUUUGUUGACUAGAAAGGUCUACUAAAUCGCAAGUUAGAAAAAAAAAAUGAUCAAAUAUGAAUUGCAACAGCUUUAUACUCGGCCUUGGCUAAAAUGAGAUAAUCAGCAUACGCAUCAUGAGAUCUGCGGAUCACUAGAACCCUUUGCCCUCGAAGAAGCUGAAUCGACUGCGAUCCAAUCACUCAGAAAGGUGCGCCGAAACCCUUACUUGCUGUUACUUGGAACAGGAGGUUGAGAAAUUAUACAGCAGCAACCCUGAAGGGGUAAAAGGGGUGACGAGAAUCAGGAAAUAAUAUCCCGAGGGUAAUCUGCUUAAAGGAUGCAAUAAUAUUAAAAAAUUAUUUUGUCCUUAAAGAGUUUCGCAUUUGACAAUGCAAAAUUCAAUCUGAUAUGGCACUUAUAAUCGCCAUUUCCAAGAUUAAGUUGUCAUGAAGCCUUCUAAUCACCAUUUUGUUGAGGUAAAAUAGUUUAGGUCUCCAGCUAAAUUGCCAAUUGAGCAACAUAUUUACCACCAAUUUUGUUACUUCAAUCCGACCGUAUUCCGAGCGCGCGAACUCUGUAAAAUACUAGCGUAGUACUGGGUGAACGAGGCAUUUGAACCACUUUUCUCGAACUGCAGAGAAAGGCAUCAGAGAAAGAGAAAAGGGAAUGUUAGUUAGUAUUCUGAGACAACAGGAAUAAAGGAAAAAAAGAAAAAUGAUAAAGACCUGUAGGAAACUCUCUACAGAUUGUUGAUCAUUUGGAGAGAAAGAGACUUCGUCUCGCUUUCUCUGAAUAAAAUCUCUGUUCUGCUCAACCUGCAGACAAGGAAAUAGAAUACAAGAAAAGAAAUUGAAUUUAAAAAAAACAUUUUUUCCAUUUUUGAAAAUUUUGACCUGCUGUUCUGGGGUUUUUUUUUUAACAAUUUUCAUAUCAAACUAUGUUGUUAUGGAUCCACAUAUGCUGACUGAUAUAUCUAAUGCAUUUUAUUCAUCGGAAGGAGUUCCCAAGCUACUUCAGUCAACAUACGAAUAUUUCAGUCCGAUUAGGAGAAAAGAAGAUAAAAGUUGCAAAUUCAGACAAAUAGGAGAUACGUGUUAUUUUUCUCAAAGCAAUCUUUCUAAGUUCUAACUUUAAUGUGUGACAAAAUAGCUUGUAACUAAUGGAAUGAAAGUUUAUAGCCCUUUGCCCUUACCUGGUCUAUUAACCGCUUAACAGGACGACGGAGACCUUCGAUGCUUGUUUUUGCAUAGAAUCUUUUUAAGAGAAUGAGUGGAAUAGUAGCAAGUUCAGGAAAUGAAAUAUGAUAACUCCACUGGCCAAAAUGUGCAGAUAGAAGCUCAACCACUGAAAGAAUGCACUCCGUUUGGAAUUCUUGAGAUUUUAACAACUGCUUUGGAACCUGUGUGCAUAAUAUAAAAUUAAGAUAUCAUUCCAAAAAAAUCUAAAAGUUGUCCCAAUUGAUCAUCAAGCAGAUACAGAGGAGUCUACCUAAUGAUCAACGGUACCAAAGAGUAAACAGAAAUGAGGUGAAAUUGAAAGAAAAUAAAAUGAUGAAGACAUGAAUGAAUGUCAAGGAAUACAGUAGAUGUCCCACUAACCUUCAACAAAGAUGGAAAGUUCAUCCUUAUUCCACUAGCUUCAUUCAUACUGCUGAGUUCUCGAUAAUCUAGGGAGUCGAACAGCAACGAUGCAAUAGGAAUGAAAACUCCACAAGAAAGAGAGAGCUCAUUGAGCAUUUGCACGCAUUUAAGUCUCAAAGGUAAGUAACGUGGGCCAUGAAAUAAGUGAGCCACUGCAGUUAUGACUUGGAUAAGACAGACUAUUAAUUGCUGGAAAUCAUUAUCCCUGAAGUUGCACGUGAUAAACUUAACCCACAGUUUAAGGCAGUUAAUGUACUGCCAAUUGUGUAUCUUCCUGAGUUCUUCCUGCACCAAAAAAGAAAGAUAAGGUCACAAUGUACAUCAUUUAAACUUGUACCUACAUCACUGACAUUCCAAUUCAUAGCAAAUGCAUUGACAACAAACAUAGCCCAUAGGCAGGUCGAGCAGGAGACAUUUAAAUCGAACCCAAAUCUUAUUAGCGUAUACAGAGGUGAAUGUAAUCCUGUUUAAGAAUUAUUAUUGAUUAACCAUUACAAGAAAGAUAUGAAACCAGCCACAUAAACACAAUGCCAAAGAGAAAUAUUCUAAUAUAUUGGAAUAUAAUAUUUUUCGGAUAUUGCCAUUUAACCCAACAGACAAGAUAAAACUUGCUACAACAUUUUAUAAAGAGACAGCAGUAAAGCGAAAAGGAGUAAAAGGAGUAAACUACAAAAUAAGAAUUACCAACUAAUCCCUCAAUUUCUACUAGGAAGUCAAUCAACACAAGUAUCUUUAAUUGUUGUUGGCAUUACGUGAAAAAUCAUCUCUCGGAAUUAGCAGACAUGACACAAGUAAACCUAAGUUGUCGAUUUGGCAUAUUACAGAUAAUAAUGCAGUUCUUAUUAUUCAAUAUUUAUAGCAGUCAAGGUUUGCAAGAAAAUUAGACAUAAAGCAACUACUUGGUGCUACAAAAACUAAAAAUAAAAAGUUGAAUUACUUUACCUUUUUCUUUGUUUUGUAAGCCUGUCUCAAUAUACUAGCAAGCUGCUGCAAAGAAGUAAGUGCCCUUUCAUAUGAUUUCUCAAUUUCCAGGGAAUAUAGUUCAACUAGCGAGUUGACAAGAAAAUCUAUGUGCUUCAAGUUUGUAUCAUCUACAAACUUGGAUGAUGCAAUAAAAGACUUGUAUGUUUUUGUCAAGCACAUAUCAACAUAGUCAGAGGGUGACUGGGAGGCAAUAUCGUGUAUGAUAAGAAAAGAGGAAGAAGAGAGACUCUGAUCACCAGUGGCCCACAGAUGAACUGAAAUCUGCACUAGGAUGUGAAUUAGAUUAGAUACCGGCAACAUAUUUUACUAAAAAGAAUAUGCAACUUAUAAUAGAGUGAAUGAUGAUUGAUACAACAUGUUCUCAUUACUUAUAGGUCGUUAGACUCCAUACUCUCGCCCAAUAUGUGAGCAGACUGAAGUACCAGACUGUAGUAAACUAAAAGAGAAAUACACUGUGAAUGGUCUUUUGAUUCAAUAACUUUUGUUUUCAACAAUUUGAAAUUUCACUAGAACAUUAACUGCACAUGCAAUUAUGCAGAAAUACAAGAAGAGCUAUUGAUCGUGACAGAGUAUGACAUUAUUUCUUUUUCUUUUGAUUCCAAAAGAGAACCAUAUUAGAAAAAAUGUAAUGUAGAGAGUAAUACAAUGCCGUUGACCAUACUCUUAUAUUGACAGAAGUAACCAUGUUUAAAGUCAUUGUUAGUGGCUUUAUUAGGAAGAACUUUGACAGGAAGACCAAAAUUGAUGAAAUAAUCCACAACAAAUGAACCAUAGUUUCUACAAUUACCAAAAGAAGAUCUUAAGUGAAUUUUGCAACCUGAUGAAUGAUUCCCUCAGGUGCCAGAAUUGAAAAGCAACUGAUUUAAAGAUGAAGUACAGGAUCUUUAACAGGAUAAUAUUUAAAGCACCUUGAUGAGCCUCCUUGCUAUUGACGGGAAAGCAGAAAAGAACACAACUGAAGCCCUCAGUUGAGAUAAGACAAAAUUAAGUAUCUGGUUGUCGGUUACUUGAUUUAGAAGAUACAGUGAACUUCUUAAGUAAGACUUGAUUAGCGGACUUGCAGUCUUCCACUCUGGUUUAUUUUUCACUUUUAGAAGAUUUACUUUGCUCAAAGAAUCUGAAAUUCCCAACAUUCUGCGGAAAAUGCCAUCUGCCUCACAAAGAAGAAACAUCAAUAUCUUAGAGAACACUUCUCUACUUUGAAUUCUUCCAGCCAUAACUUCAUCAGAGUCAAUGCCAUAACGACAUGCAAAUUGAAACCCGCUAAGUAGAUUACGAAGUGCUGGCCCAUUUGGCUCUUCCUUAACUAACCAACACCAAACAUCUAUGGUCGGGCUUGUGAGGACCUUAUUAUCAGUGUCUCCUACUCCAUCUGGAAAACUUGUAUCAUCUUCUUCAUCUGAAUACUAUAAAGCAAAGAUUAUUCUGAGAGAUGUCAAAUAUAGUAAUAAUGUAAAGCAAAGCACAAAUAGGGGAAAAAAAACGUAGAGGAAAAUACAGCUUAAAUUACUCAACAAAGGCAUGAGAUGUGUAUUGUGACUUGAUGAAGAAUAAUAAUAGAAAAUUUUAACCAAAACGUGAAACAAGAAAACAUGAUAUACUUUCCUUAAUCAGUAAGCUUGUUGUUUCCUUUGGUUUCCAGAAAUAAAUUCCAGUUUCAUUUUUCAAUCUACUAAGUGUUGUAAUAAGUCUAGACCCACAAAGCGGGUCCAUGCAUAGAGCACGUCUAAGGUUCAAUUCAGAGCCUGACUCAACUUAAACAAAGCCCAGACAACGCUUGGUCCAAUACUAAUACUAAAUUUUCCAACAAAGAUCAAGUUGCCAUUUAUAUCUUCACAGAAUCCUUGCCCAGCAAAAUAGUGGAGCUUUACUAUUCCGAGCUAUGAUUUGUAAAGCAAAGGCUUAAUCCCAGAAUUCUGGGCCGUGCCAGUAAAGGACUUCAGCACCCCACAAACUCAAGACUAGGAAGUACAAAAUACUCCUCCAUAUUGGAGCCAAUCAUGCACCAGUACAGAACUGGGACAGGUCAGCUAUACCGAGCAAAAAUAUCCAGCUAACAUAUUGAACGAACAGUAAAUGACAGGGGUAUACAUUCGUGAGAGGGGGAGGGGGAGGGGGAGGGGGGGGGGGGGGNGGGGGGGAGAUUUUCGUUGCUUAUUUACUUUCAGCUAAUAUUCUUUCUUUUCUUGUCAAAGAAAGCGACAAAACAAACAAUGAACUCAUUUUGUAGUUUUUUUUUUUCAAACUUCAGAAAAAGGCAGUUCCUGCCAAUAAAUUGAGAAAUAUAGUGUAUGUGCUUUUUAGCGUUACCAAAUGUUAAGAAUCAUUUCUUACAAGUUCUUCUCUCCGGGAAAUUUCCAUGUCAUGUCGGCAUUUUUCCAAAAAGCUUGAGAAGUCCGGUUCCUAUAAAAUGCAAAAAGAGUAAAAAAGAAACAAAUUGUCAAAAGAUGUCAUUGAAAUUUAUUCUUAGCUCAUGCAACAGAUUACAAGUAAUCUAGCCUACGACAACCAGUUCUUCUUUUCCAUACAAAUUCAUCACCUUUUCUAUCAAACUGUCCAACUUUUUCUUUUGUUCCACAAGCUCCAAGACAAUUUCCUUGUUUUUUCUUGUUAAAUCUUUCUGACCACUCUCCUCUGCGCACGUUUUAACAAAGUAAUAUCAGUCAAAAGUAAAGUAGUUCUCUGAAAGUAAGCAGGCAAAAGUAUGUGCUUACCGGAAGAAUCAUUCUCUCUCUCGCUCUCAGAGAUAUAAGGGCAAUCAGGAUCCUGCAUAUUAGCCGAAAGAUUAACAACUAAGAAAGAAUAAACAGACAAAAUCAUAUGUAUCAUUAGCAGAUGCCCUUCUGAAGAGACGAGCAUAUUUUUACAUGUUGGUGAUGGCUUAGAAGUCAGUUUUAAUGCGUCAACUCAAUGUAGCACAUCUAAUGAUGAAACUUUUUCAUGGAUAUCAUUUGAUUUUUACUAUUUAGAUAUAAGUCUAGAUAACACAUGUCCAAAAAAUUAGAAGUUGGUAAUGACAACCAACUCUACCUGUGCUUUGAAUUACAGUCAACAACAUUAGAAAUUCACAAGGAUAAUGAUAGCAAAAUACCAGAGCCUAGAUGAUCAGGAUUACUUGUUUCACUCUAAAGAGCAUUACAAAUCAUGAUAGUCAAUUUCCCUGAAAAGGGACAGGUUCAGGAAGAUUUGAUUCCAGUGAUAUUCACAAAUUUGCAUCUAAAGAGACAUGAAAGACAAUUGGUAACUUAAAAACGACAUCAAUGAUAGACUAAAAGCUAUGGAAAGAGAAUAUUGAGAAGUUUGUUUCAGCAAAUUGUACAACAAAGUUUCUGAAACAAAUAGGUGCAACAAGAUUAGGAUGAUAUGUUCAUCGGAUAGUAAAAGAGGGCUAGCAAAAGAGUACCUCUGACAGAUAGCCAUCACUUUCUGAGACAUCUUCAUCCAAAUCUUCAUCAUCUCCACCAAACAAGUUCUCAAGAUAGUCAACAGAUGCAGAUCCACCUAAAGAUACAGCUUCAGCAUUUCUACAGAAGAUAAAAUUGAAGUUUAGUCAGGCUAAGGAAGAAAAAACAAACUAUUCAUUCCAAUACUAUAAUAUAAUAUCCAAACACAAGGAAAAUUGGUAAAUGCAAACUAACUAAACUUGGAGAAGGGUGGAGGAGUUUGUUUGUAGAAUCAGUAGCAAUAACAACUCCUGAGUUUGACGAUAGACAAGUUAAUCUCAUACUUCAGGACAUGAAAAAGUGUCCUAUUGCAAUAUGUUAAAAUGAUGCCUCGUAAGAUAUUUUCAAGGCUCGCUAUAGUUCGUAGCACAGCAGGGAAAACUAAAUACAAUAGAUAAAAUUGCAUUUUCCAAAUGGAAGGAAAAAUUGCAAUGUGUGAAAAGAUGUCUUGUACUCUGAUCCGCAUUUGGCAUGAAUAUAAUAUAAGUACAAGUAACAAGGCUACUAUAAUCCAUCCAGAGUAAUGCAAUUGUUGCAUGCAAAUUAUGCCCCACUAAAAGAUUAGUAGGUAAACAAUGGCAACAAUCCAUUACAACAACGACAAAAUAACUGAGAAAAAAAUUCUCACUCUUCUAUGUUCUGUUCCGCUUUCAUCUUCUCAUCUUCCUGAGAUCCAUCCCCCUGACCCACUGCAACAAAAAGAAAAAUCACAUUUUGCCUCACAAAUACAAAUAUUUAAUAGCAAAAAUUGCUAAUUAACCUCCCUCCAUUGUCAAAUAACAACGUGAUCACAUAUAUAAGCUAAAAAAGCAACGAAAGACAACUGUAUAGAUCAAUUUCUACUAGAAUUGUUUCCUCCAAACAUGAAAUUUAGGUCGCGAUUGGAUUCAGUGACACUAGAACAAACUUAAUCAAGUGAAAGCAUUAAAAGAUGAGAUUGAGACCUCUACGAGGAGGUGCUCUUCUCUUGAACGUGGAUUUGAGCUUGCGCCUCCGCUUGAGCACGGAUUGGAGGUUCUUCUUCGCGAACUUCCUCGCCUUCUUCCCCAGCUUCUUCGCCAUGGAGCGGUGGAGUGAGCGACGAAGCGAAGGAGACGAAGAUGGAGGAGAGGGGGGAGAAGAGAAAGGAGUAGAGCGGAGUCUAGGGUUUAGGGGGAGCGAUAAUGGAGGAAGAGGGGUUUAGCGACGGGGGCGGAGGAGGUGCCGUAUCCACCGUCCGAUCAUCUAGUGUUUGAUCAUCUUAGAAAAUCAGGCUCGGGCCGGAUCCGGGUAAGAAUUAACCGAUCGGGCCGGGUCGCACCUUUCUUUUUAUUAACACCCGGCCCAUUAAGGUGGAUCGGCCCAGCUCGAAUCUCCUUGAGAAAGAAAUUUGUGAAAAGAAUUAACUGCACCGGGUGUAUGAGCCCAUCCCAUACUCCGCGCUCUAAAAUCCUGUAUAAAAGAGAUCUGAAAAUUAGAAACUAAUUUAUUAGAAUGUGUUUAAUAAUAUUUAAAAGACCUACAAAUUCAAAUCACAAAUUAUAAUUCUUUUUUGUAUUUAUCAAGUUAAAUUUUGAUUUUAAAAUAAUUUUCAUUAAAUAUUUAAUAUAAUACUUGUAACUUACUUGAUUAAAAUUUUUUUUAAAGAGGUUUCAUUAGUUGAGAGUUUUGAUUGGUUAAGUUUUACACGUAACCAACGCAUAAGGUGUUUCUGACUCGGCCAUAUAUGGUUCAUUAAAUCAAAUCCAACACGUUAAGAUAACAUAUCAAAUGGUCGUUACAAGUGUGUAGGUUUUUUAUUCAAAUUCUAUUUAUUACAGAAAAUAAGAUGAGCACGAAUGCGCUCAAAUAAAUUUUAGUGUGUAUAUAUAAUUAAGUUGAGCUAGAAUAUUUUUAAUAGUAGUACAACAGUUGCAAUUUGUACUUCAAAUUGUUUCAUUUGCAAAAAAAGUUUUGUAAUACCAAUGUAACUAAAAUUAUAAACAACAACUAUUCCAAACAGAUAUUAAAUAAAUGCUGAAGGGGUGAUUAUUGCCCUCAAUAUAUCACUUGUUGUACUUAAUCCUUAAAAUUUUAAAAAGUGUACACUCAACCCCCUUAAUAGAUUAAAAAUAUGCAAGAAGAUUACAAUAUUAAAAUUAACAUUGUUAAAAGUAAAUAUUUGACAGAAUUAGAAAGGCAAGUUAGGGGAAAAGGUUAAGUGCUACACUGCUACUAGCGACAGUUUUUUAGAAAAUUAAGUGCGCAUUAUUUUUAGGGAAAACUUCAAAAACCCCCCUGGUGGUUUCAAUUUUUUUCACUUUAGUACCCUGUGGUUUAAAAUGUAUCAAGUUAGUACCUUGUGGUUUCUCACUUUUUCACUUUAGUACCCUGUGGUUUAAAAUGUAUCAAGUUAGUACCUUGUGGUUUCUCACUUUAUCACUUUAGUACCCUGUGGUUUAAAGUGUAUCAAGUUAGUACCUUGUGGUUUUGCAUUUUAUCACUUUAGUAUCCUGUGGUUUUGAUUUUGUAUCAAAUUAGUACCCUGUGGUUUUUUAAACUAUAGGGUACUAAAGUGAUAAAGUGAAAAACCACAGGGUACUAACUUGAUACACUUUAAACCACAGGGUACUAAAAUGAAAAAGUGUGAAACCAUAGAGGGGGUUUUUGAAGUUUUCCCUUAUUUUUAUUUUAACGGUUAAAUGUAAUACAUGAUAUAUAAGAAAGAGUAAAGUGCGACGCCUCACUUUUCUGAGAUCAUUCAUUCUAGAACUACUCUAGUCCUAACACGCUUAACUCUAAUCUUUAAGUCAUAACCACCGUCCAAAAUGCUAUAGUCGGAUUGAGAGUUAAGAGUGUUUAGUCCUAUUAUCUCUUAUAUGUAAGACUAUCUGGGAUCUCAUAUUUUUCUCUUCUUAAGUACUGUCGUCUUCCUCUAAGCCUCCUUAACCAACCUUAUGGGAAUACCCACAACAGCCAUCAACAUAAGAACCUCAUUCUUCCCGCUGUAUAAUUCCGACUCAGUUAAGACUUAUUUUAUAUUUUCGUCUGGUAAUUGACUCUGAUACUAACUGUGGUACCCCAAUUUUUAGAGAGUUAUACAUCCUAAAAUUACUCUAAUCUUAACAUACUUAACUUUUUUAACCUUUUAAACUUAGUCACUGUCCAAAAUAUUAUAGUAUAAUUAAGAAUUUUUAGUCUUACUAUCUCUUAUAAAUAAAACUAUCUGGAGUCUUAUAUAAAGUGUAAUCUUUACCUAAUAAUAAUAAUAAAAUGAUAAUGAUAAGAUCAAGAGAAAUUAAUAUAUUGUGUAUUUUAUCAAUCUAUUCAAAAAUGAUAUAUCAGCUACAUGGACGGAGACUUUUCUUCCGUAUUCAUUCUUUUCCCCCGACACAGAGCUAACUUUGGACGAGUCUCAUCACCAGCCGUCAGAUCUGAAGAUCACACACCACCGUCCGAUCGAGAAACCAUCACCUACACCUAGUCCACCCUAUCCUCCGUGGACUAGCUUUUUUUUUUUUUUAGGUAAAACUUCAAAAACCCCUUGUGGUUUUAUAGUUUCUCACUUUUCCCCCCUGUAGUUUAAAAUGUAUCAAUUUGCCCCCCCAUAGUUUAUUUUUUCUCUUUUUCUUAUCAAUUUCAUUAUUUUUUUUUCUUAAAUCAGUGAUAAAGUUAAAAUUAAAGGGUACUAAAAUGAAUAUUUGAUAAAUCUAGAUGGGUAUCUGAAGUUUUUUGUAUAUAAUGUAAUAAAAUAUUGACGAAAAAGCUACCAAAAAAAUAAAAACGAAACCACAGGGGGGCAAUUUGAUACAUUUUAAAUCACAGGGGGGCAAAGUGAGAAACUACAAAAUCACAGGAGAGGUUUUUGAAGUUUUUCCUUUUUUUUAACUUAUUUAAACAACCAUAGCUGGAGCACUUCUUUAAAAGUUUAAAUUACUGGAACGUAAAAAUACUCGAAAAGUCGAUAUUUAGUACAAGAAAUUUCAUAAGCAAAUUUUCGUUAUAAUUCAUGUAAUGUUUUUUUUUCAAAAUAAUUAUUGAGUACAACAGGAAAUAUAUCGAAUUUGUUCAUAUAAUUUUUACAAUUUGUAAUAGCAUUAUGAAUUUUAUGGUACCAAAGUCUCCUAGGCAUGCACCCAAAAUUCAAGUAGACCUAUGGCGAAGAAUAAUAAAGCUAUUUUAAUUAGUUAUGAUGUCUAAACAAUUAUUUAUCAUCUACUUAAUUUUAUUUU